ACAACCAGUGAAUAGAUAAUGAUGACGUUGGUAUGUAGUUGGGCCCAUGAAAUGAACACAUCCAUGAGCAAUUGUCAUGUUUAAACGUUCAUCUCUACCGAGCACAAGUAUCUCCUGACCAUAGUUUAUGUCACUACUAAACCUAGGAAUCUUAGCACACAAGUCUAAAUUAACCUUCAACACGGCAAUAUUGAUGUGCUUGUCAUAGCGAAACAAGAUUGCAGGUACGGUUGUCUCAUCUUCAUCCAACAAAUGAGCAAUAAUCUAAAGACAGAUACAAAAACAUAUAUUAUGACAAGUGUUAUUUAGCAUACAUAGAUGAACAAACGUAUUCAUUUGUAAACAUACCUCAGCAUCAGGUACAUACUCAUCUGUACCUGACCACUGGGUUAGGGCCGUGUAUUUUGAGCAGAUUAUUCGCGCAGAUGUCAAAACAGUGCCCUCUUUACUCCCCUCAUCCCAAUCAAUUAGAAAACCAGAUGAUCGUGCCAUGAGUUUACCAUCUGUAGAUGCAACAAUAGAUAAGAGAAAAACAAAAAUUAUAGAUGCAACCUAAAAAGCACGGAUACAGCGACACGCAUACGGGACACAGGAUACGGCAUUUUCCAACAACAGCCUAUCGGGGAUACGGCAAAUACAUAUGAAAAUAAAUAAAAAUAUGCCAUGUAAUAUAGAGUUAAAGACAAAAAAGAAACGAGAAAGAGAUCGCCCCAUUCAGCAGUAACUCUCUGAACAUAAGCCCACGGAGGAUAUUUCGGAUUCAGCAGUAACUCUCUGAACAGCUAGUGCCAUUUCCUCUCCCAUUGUCAAGAGCCACAGAGAAGAUUAUCCAUUAGUAGUUGGGUCAGCCCAGCUAGUGCCAUUUCAAGAGCCACUGGAUGCUACAGAUUAAUGUGCACCGUCAAAACUCAAGCCCUAUCUCUCUCUGCCCUAACACUUGACCAACCCGCCACUCUCUUGCCAUCGCCUCUCCUCCCAGCGAUGGAUCUCUCAACUCCCCGCAGCAGCUCUCGCCACCGCCCUCCUCCCAACCUGCUCCUCUUGCCGCUGCAGCAGCAACAGCAGCAGCGGCCAGCGCUGCAGCGGGGGAUGUAGCAGCAGCAACGGCGGCGGGGGCACAACAGCAGCAACGGCGGCGGGGGCAAGGGCGCAGGCAGCAGCAGCACGGUGGCGAGGGCGCAACAGCAGCAGCAUUGAGGCAGGAGGGUGCUCCAGAUCCAGCGCUGCCUCAAGUCGCACGAGGGUGCUGCUCCGACUGGUGGAUUAAUCUUCCAUUAGCCAUCUAAUUUUAUUCUUUGCGAGUCCCCCACGUGUCCCAGCCAUGUCCUCCCUUUUAUUUUUCUUUUUUUAAUUCAUAAUUUGGAAAAUACUGAGGGAUACGUGUAUCCCCGCGUGUCCCCGUGUCCGGCCGUAUCAGAACGGGGAUUCGGCAACUUCUUCUGCCGUGUUCAUGCUUUGUAGGAUGCAACAAUACAUAAGAGAAAAACCAAAACUAUACAGAGACACUAAAUAAAGGCAAUGUGUUACAUACCGACAUAGGACGAAAAGCUAAAAAUAACUUUAGCUGCUUGGAGGAUUGUUUUUGUAGUAGACUCACGAACGCUCUGCAAGUUUGCAUUCGCCAUACACGAACCACAAAUAGACAUAUCAAGCGUUGCAAGCUGUUGUUGGAGCUCUGCAUGUUAACAUGCAAAAAAUGGUGAAUCAGUCUACUGUGUUCAAAUACAUAUCAUCUUGAGCAAAAUAGACAUGUUUCAUUCAUUAUUGACAACUGUUUUUUUGUUAGAGGUGCAUAGCUAUCCUAGCAAUCACUAAUCAGAUAGUAGAAUGAAAGCAGAGUGUAUGCGUCUCCCAAACUUACUUCUUUUUGCACGGUACUUGCAUUUGAGCUCGUCAUAAGCUUCAAGGGCAUCCUUCAUCGCAGGGUCAUGGGCAUUCUCUGGGUUUCGGAUGUAGGCUGGGGGGUGAGGCCAACGCAGAGGAGAGCUGACUGCAGAGGAGGAGGAGGAGGAGGCAUGCGAUGCGCCUGGUGAAGCUGGGGCCGCCUGCUCGCCCGUGCUCGUAGCGGCUUUCUUCUUGUCAGUUCCCUUCCGCUUCUUGGUGGUUCCCUUCCGCCUCUUGGAUCCCUCGGACGGCUCUAGGGGGGCUUCGCUCUUGCCUCGCUGCUGCGAUGCUGCGGCCGACGGCUCCGGGGAGGCUUUCCUCUUGCCUCGCUGCGAUGACGGCGCGGCUUCCGGUUGGGCCUUCCCCGAACAGUCCGCCACCGGGGUGCGCCGCUGCCGCCGCCGCUUCCACCGCCCUGCCCUCGACCUAGAUCCCGAAAUCUCUCCCGCCUCGUCCUGCGGGAUCGGCAUUGGGCGUGCUUCUUAGGGUUUGGUUGGCUCGGCCGACCACAGGAUCGCGAGAUCGCCUAUGCCGCGGUAUCGAUUCGGCGAGGGGCGGGGGAUUUUCGAUUCGGGGAAGGGGGAAGGGAACAGGGACGGGUAGAGAGGGAGAGUAGAAGAUGGGAAGACAAGGGUCGGUCGGUCGGUUCGCCACGUGACUGCCUGUCUCCACGGUGGCCAUGGGCAGCCCGGCCCGACCCGAUCCGGCCCGAAAAAGCCCGACCUGACCUUGCCCAAGGGCGGGACCUGGGCCUAGAUUUUGAGACCCCGGGCCCGGCGUAUUCACCAUUUAAGGAAGAGGCCCGGCGGGCUUUUAGCGUGAUGGGUCGGGCUUGGGCCUGGUUUUUAGGCCCGACGGCCGGCCUGGCUCGGCUCGGGCCUGUGUUUUUUAAAUCGGACUUUGGUAGGACCGGCCCGAAGCCCGGGCCGGCUGACAGAUGGCCAGGUAUACUCCGCGGGAUGAGACGGACAGGACACUGUAUUCCACGCUGCCGCACGGGGCACGCCCAUUCAUAUCCGUUCCCCACCAGUUACUCAGCCGCUAGGAACGCAACGGAAUGGCCCGUCAGACCUUAUCAGAUCCCGGGUCAUGUCAACUCCAACGCGAUCAUCAAAUUGCCCACAAAUAUCUGCAAUAGGGGUCCAAUAUUUUUUUUGUCAAUCCAAUAGUAGUCAUAAAAUUAUCCAAAAAGUAUUCUAACAUUCAAAAUCCCACAAAACCGAAACCCAACAAAAAAAGAGGUAUACGAGCAUCCAACAAUGCGGAUCCACCCAAAAACCUCUCUACUGCCACUCUUAUUGCGUCCUAUCGCUCUUUAAUUAUGCCGCAUGAUGGGACCGAGCGGGGCGGCUUUCCACCCUCAUUCAUGUCGGACAUCCGCCUGCCCGACAUUCACACCGAUGGGGCAAAAAAAGAAACUUUACUUCGGCCACCCACAUCAACCCAACGAUUCGCUUGCUCGGGCUAUUUAAAGCCAACUAGCAACGCCCAAAAAACCUACCACCCCGAGCACCUUCUCACUCCGUCCUAGCCAUAGGUUGACCGUCGACCGAUCAUCUCGGUAGAGGUCACUGUCGCCACAGCAUCGAACCAAGAUCAUAGACGAGGUCCGCGCCACAAAGGACAUCGUCAGACCUGCAUUGCGACGGGCCAACCUCCAAGCUCUUCGAAGCAAAGCUCAUGCGAGUCGGAGACACGUGCCUCUCUUCAUCAGUUUGGACUUUGGGAUGAACUAGUAAUUGUUCACGUGCAACUGCACAUCUCGACUAAUAUUACAAACAUAUGUGAGAAUUAGCAUGUACAAAAAGAUAUUUUAAUUGCACUAAAAAGUAGCGAUUCAAGUUGAUUGAUCAGAAUAUAGCAUUGCAUUGACAAUACCCAUCAUAAAGUUAUUGGCAAUUGGAAAACUACAAAGAGAGCAUAAAUACUUAGUGCAACACUUGAAUAUACAUACGAGAUAAUACUGUUGGAAAAGCUCACAUACAAGAAGCAGGGAGCUUCCUCACACAAGCUUCCUAGUUAAAAUACGGCAACCCACAAUUGCAAUAUCUUAACAGAUCACACUACAGACAUGUAUCACAUAGGUAUAAGGAACACGUGUAGCUACACUAACAUUUGGUAUAUUUGAGGUACUUGACAUGAUCUUUUCUUUAAACCCCACCCAUAUAUUAAUUAACUAAAACAAACGUUGGUACAUAAACCACACAUGGCGGAACACUAUUAAUACGAAUACCAUCAGGCAUAUUAAUAAAACUAAACUUCUCAAUCUCCUGCGCCACAUAUUCGCCUUCCUGUUUUAUCUUGAUGAUUUUUAAAUUCCUCGUCAUCUUGGAGACAUGAAUAAUUUCAGCUAUCAACAUCGUCUCAACUUAGCUCGAUUCUUUUUUUUACUCCAGAAGAAAGUCAAUCUUAUUUGUUCUAACCUGUCUGUUAGGGAUCUUGGAGCUGCAGGCAAAUGGACAUGUCUCAGUUCAGAGCAUGUUUCUAAGCGAAAGUUAUACCUAAUGAUAUAAUCUGCACAAACUUAAUGUCCAGACAUAAUAGAGACUAAACAGUCAAUUACCCAGGCAACUACUAACAGAAAUAACAACAUCAGAUAGCACUGUCUCUUCUAGAAAAAUAUGCGCCACAGUUACCCAGGAAUAAGGAAAUUAUUAAAUAAAACCUUAGAAGUAAAUACACCCUAAUUGUUUCACAUUCUGAUGCAGUUGCAACAUAAAGGAACGGACAUGUUGGAGAAGAUUGUAAUAUCCUGGCUUAAUAGGGAUAGUAGACUACUCAUAUCAAUAUGAAAUUCCUUCUUUUCCGGAAGCCCAUUCAGAAAGAACUCUCAAGUUAAGCGUGCUCAGCUUGAAGUAAUUUCAGGAUGGGUGACUGGCCGGGAAGUUGGUCCCGGGUGCGCACGAGUGAGCACAGAAUGCGCAGGAAAGACUAGUAUUGAUCUGUGCGGCUAGUCUAGAUCUCGCCAGGAGUAACAACCACCGACGGGUGUGUCCGGGGCGUUACAAAGGUAAGCCGAUAAACAAAUUAAUAAUUUUUGCAUGUGAAAGUAAUUCUUUCAAAAUGGACAGACUUAAGAAAAUAAAAAGCACACUAUUGUACUUUAGAUAUAAUUAAGGCUAUGAUUGUCAAUUCCAACACCUGUUGUAUUUUGUUUAUAGGGUACUAUGUCAGUUCAACGGAACUACAGUUUGGUUUAAUAUCCAGCUAUCAAGGUUAACUUGUUAUGAUAUAUAGCAUUUCUCUAGUUGGUAAUCUGGUUGUCAAAUAGGAGGUACUAUAAAAUUUAAUGGCCCAGUAUGAAAGAUCAAUAGCAACAAGACAUCAUCAACAAAAGAGAACAACACGUAGCCGGGCAAUGAUGGGUGUCAAUAUAAGAAAUAUAGCCACCACGAAUAUUCCAUUGUGUACCUUUGCACUUAGUUCUCGCUAGUAAUCUUUCUUAACCGUCUCCAUCAGAUCUCUCUAAUCCAUCAACCUACAUAAAUAUACAGAAGAGUACUUUGACAUACACAAAAGAAACAAUUCCACUAAAUGUGCUCUGGAUGACGAGAAAACAAUUUCUAUAAAGAAUCAUCUGAAUCAUCCUUUUCUCAACAGUACACGUACAAUACCUCCAGAAGCAACAAAAAGGAACGACACGAAUGAUAUAUGUAUUACAUUAACCAGAAGGUAAACAAUGAGAACAUGAGAAUACUACAACAUACCUGAAACAAUAGUAGUAGGUUCAGGGUUUAUUUUACUUCUGAAGUGGACUUAAUUGUAGGUAGAUUUUUUUAAUUUUUUAUUAGCUUUGGCCAAACUAAUACAGUCAUAGUUGUAUACAUGGUCAGCCCCUAAGUAUUCAUCCAUGAAAAUGUACAAGGCCAUUAAAGGGGAAAGCACAACACACAAUAUCUUCAGACUCCUUUGGAAAACUGCAUGCACACUUAGGCAUAAGAUCUUCUUUUGGUUGUUAUUCAGUGACAGAGUAAGCACUAGGAACUUAAUUCAAAGGAAAGGUAUGUAUCUGGAGGAUUACAACUGCGCACUAUGUUCAGAUGCCACUGGGGAAACUGUAACUCACCCCUUUUGGGAUUGCCAAUUUGCCUUGAUGUGGUGGUGUUCUAUCAUUCCUAGUAAACAAAGAGGCAUUUCAGUAUAUGAUGAAGUUCAUCUGACCUUGACCAAACUCCCUUCGGCAAUUGCUAUGGAUGUCAUAAUAAUGGGGUGCUGGGGCAUAUGGAUGAGUAGGAAUGAUAAGAUCUUCAGAAUGGCAACACCAACAGUGGACACAUGGAAGCAUUAUCCGAAAGAGGGGCUCCAAGCUACUGAAAUAAGAGCUAAAGAAACCAAGGCUGAUAAGAUCCGUUCCUGGAUAGAACAGAAUCUCUAAUUUAAUUAUGUCGAUCCCUAGAACAGGCAUUGGUUGAUUCAAACUAUUUCUUUUUUUUAGCUUUGUAUUUGUACAUUCGUUAUAUAAUAAAAAUAUACCAUAGAACAAUUGUUCUGCGGUUUCGGUUCAAAAAAAAUCUUCGCAAAGAGAUUAUCCAGAUCUAGUGAUCUUUUAUACAUGCUAACAGUUUUUAGUUUCACCAAAACCACUAGCCAAACCUCUGGUUGGGUUUAUCAUGAAAUAAAUCAGUGGACCAGCUACAAAAUAGUAUCCUCCAUAGAGUCAGUGGUAAAUACGAUGGAAGCAGGUACGUAUCGACGACACAUUCCAUUUGAUUAUUACAUGUUACAAAGGUUAAAAUUAUAAUGGCUCAAACUGAUGAACAUCUUUGAUAUUUCAAAACAGAUUAGACCUCAGCACAUCCGUUCUUCUCUUCUCCAACAGUAGACAUAGCUCAACCUUCAGUCAGAUUACUUGAAAUAAUACAAGCAAACUUAAAACUAUACCUAUACUAAUUCUAGACUUCCUAAAAAUUCCCACGUUAAUUAUAUUUUACGAGUCGUUAAUCUGGUAGGACCGAGUUAUUACGGUGUAGAUCAACCGACAAAAACCUCAGAAAAAAAUGCCACGGAAAAAAAUUAAUACUCCAGGAUUUGUUUCCUUGGUUGUAGAAGAAAUAAAAAUAAUAUCUCUAUCUAUGUUAAUGCAGCACAAUAGGUUUCCUCGGUUGCAAAAGAAAAGACUCACGUUCUCCUUUCUUCGUGUUCAAAACAGUACAAAAAUAAUAAUAUCCCAAUCUAUCUUUUUAAUUUAGUCUAUUUAUAUCUUAAUACUCCACGAUCUGUUUCGUUGGUUGUAAAAGAGAAAAAAACAAUCAUAUCCAAUCUACGUUAAUACUCCACAAUAUGUUUCCUCGGUUGAUAAAGAAAAUAAACCUUCCUUCUUAACGAACCACAAAGUCCUCGGAAAAAAAAACUAGGCCAGAAAAAUCAUAUCUCAGUCUAUCUUAAUAUUCCACGAUCUCCUUCCUUGGUUGUAAAAGAAAAAAACUCUUCCAUAUUAAUAUAUUUAUAGCUCGAACAACAUGGAGAUAUCCUAUAGAUGCCAACCCCAUGCAAUUGGUUGUUAUGUGGAUUAUUGUUCCGGGAAUUCAACAGGUUGGACAUCGAGCAGUCGGACUCUACGGCAGCUCAUGUUAAUAUUGAGCAAUUAACUCCUCUUGGUCGACUAUGAGCAUCAACUCCAAGCCGCAAAGCUGCCGUCGUCAUCCAGAGGUGCGCCACCGUUCAUGACCGUUUUUCUUGCCAUUCCGCCCCAAGGAGAUGCAUCGGCUACUCAAGUUGUUAAGUUUAUGUAGUUCUGACCAGGUUUUUUUAUAUUCGAUUGAGGCCUAUGUUUCCUCAUGGCUGGUGGUUUCAAUCCAAUUCAGCAGUCACCGUUCUGAUCUCCUCCAGCACGCCAGGAAGAAUUCGCCUGAGGGUAUUACUCCGAUGCGGCGCUGCGGGUCACUCGGUAUUUUGCGGGAUCAUUCGACAUCACGAAUGACCUGGGGCAAAAGUAAUAUUGUACCUUAAACUGAAAGGAAAUAUUGCUUUACCCACAUAUCAGCGGCAGAUGUAGAAGUUGUUGGAUUACACAUCAAUCUGGCGGUCUUCCACAGACCACAACACGCUAAGCAUAUAUCAUGUUAUCUAGCAGUCUUUGUAGAACAAUUGUUAUCCUACACUUCCAAUGUGUUGUCUUAUGUUUCCUAUCGUCCCUUUGUCUUCUCCAUAAGGACAUGGCCAUUUAAUUUAAAUUUGUUCACACUGUCUUUCCCAUAUGCAUGGUUUCCCGGACAAUAAGACAACCAGUGAUCUACCUUUCGAUGUUACAAGAGUCAACNNNNNNNNNNNNNNNNNNNNNNNNNNNNNNNNNNNNNNNNNNNNNNNNNNNNNNNNNNNNNNNNNNNNNNNNNNNNNNNNNNNNNNNNNNNNNNNNNNNNNNNNNNNNNNNNNNNNNNNNNNNNNNNNNNNNNNNNNNNNNNNNNNNNNNNNNNNNNNNNNNNNNNNNNNNNNNNNNNNNNNNNNNNNNNNNNNNNNNNNNNNNNNNNNNNNNNNNNNNNNNNNNNNNNNNNNNNNNNNNNNNNNNNNNNNNNNNNNNNNNNNNNNNNNNNNNNNNNNNNNNNNNNNNNNNNNNNNNNNNNNNNNNNNNNNNNNNNNNNNNNNNNNNNNNNNNUGAUGAUCCAUGUGUCGAACUGUAAUUAGAAGUUUUACAUUAGAUGAUGCUAAGCAAUUGGAGAUGCAUUACGUGGUCAGGGUGCAGGCUGUUCUAUGGUCGUUGAAGCUAUACCUAGAUAUAUCUUACCUUAUUAGAUCAUAAUUACCAAUUAAACCCUUAUGUGUAGCUAAUCCAUGUUUUUUCUAAUUUCUCCUUAAUUUAGCUUCUCUCCUUCUGUACAAUUCCAUAGACAUGCAUGUCUGAUGGUGCACACGAAGUUGUGGCUUACAGUACAUCAUGGCCAAGGAUGAAUACAACACAUGGUGACAGAUGAGGUGCACAUUCAAAUGUAAUGUUAGAUAAGGAAAUUAAUAUUACAUGUAUUAGUAAAUCUGUCAGUUCUCUGUACUCAAUAAUAAUAGGAUAACUUCUCUUACCUGAAUUGUACAAACCCAAUGAUCACCUAUUAUUCACAAUUUAUUACGGAAUGCUACAGACAUCAUGAUAUCAUGAUCAAAACCAUUUAAAGUUUCCCCAUUAACCAAGUAGCCAAUACUAAAUACGGAGCACUUAUCUUGGGCUGUUUGUUUAAAAACAGUGCAGAACACAACCAUGUAGUUUGUACUUGAACAUGGAAGUAAAUUUGUCACAUAAUACCAUCAUUGAUAGUAUAUCUAUGCUAUAUAUAAUCCACAUUAAAACUUCCAUAUAUGUAGUUCAAGUGCAUCUUAUUUAAAUCAGUUAUUUGUAAGGUUCUUUAUUACGGUCUAUAUUUUUGUGUUAUAUUAGGGCCAGACUGCAGUAUCAUGUAAGGAUGCUAUGUAUAUUUUCAUGUCUCUUAUAAGUUAUGAGCUGAAAUGUGCAACCCUCUACACAAGCAAUGCAAUAUUCCACAUUAACUGAAUCAUAUAUAAAUUUUUAAUUGAUCUUAAUUUUAAUGGAAUUAAGCUGAUUCUGUUAACUUUAACAGUAUAAUGCAUAACUUAUAGAUGUAGUACUAAACUGAAGUACAAUAGUAUAUUUUGCAUUUUCCUGCAAUUAUAGCUAAAAUAAAGUACACAUAUUUUCAUAUGUUCAUCAUAUUCAAUAUUCUCCGUGCUAGCACUGGAGCUUCUAUGCAUGCUUUGAUUUACUCUCUUUUUUAUCUGUUUUGAAAACUAUUUCAUUCAAGCACGGGACAUAAGCACCAUAUAUUAUCGAGGCUGAAUCAGCGAUCUCAUAAUUUUCAGCUUGGGGCAUUACUGCAUGUAUAUAUAGGUGGACACCCAUGCGUAAAAUACGUUCAAAGGAGAGAUCCCAUAAUUUUAAACAUUGGAAAUAAUAUUACAAAAACCUGAAAUAUGAAUGCCCAUUUAGUGUUUACAUAUCCUUCAAAUGUUUCUCUCUUUUCUAAAUCUUCUCAGGCAGCAAUCUUAUGGUGUCAACAUGUUGCCAUGAUGACGUUGGUGAGAUAUCAAUUUUAAUUUGGUACCAUACUCUGUAGAAAGUAGUACGAAAAUUCUCAAGGUCACUAGACAACUGUGAGCAAGAUUAACCAGAUAAGGUUGGUAUUGUUCCAUGGUCAAUAAUAUUUUUAUCAUAACCAUUUGUUUUUAGUCCAGAUACAUAUUUUCUCAACUUACCAUGCCAAGUAAAUGUACUAUUUAUGCUAAAAAUUUUGUGGCCUAUGCAAAUAGUGCAAAAAUUUGGAAGGUUUCGGCAGUAAGCAAGGUGAAUCACGUAAGGUUGUUAUUAUGCCAUUAUUCAUCAGGUUUUAGUGUCAUUAUCUAUUGGUCUUUCCAUCUAGGAAUAUAUUCUUUUUUGACUUAUCAUGCAUGUGAAGAUAAUUUAAUGCUGAAUAAGAAUGAAGCCAUAUCUUGCGGUGAUAAUAUUACAAUAGUGUCAGAAAUUAAUACUAGCCCGUGCAAUUGCACGGGUUGACGACUAGUGAUGUAAGUAAUCCGGUGUGGCGGAUACUUACUAUCAGUAGCACCACUAACAAAAACACAAAAGGACCCCGAACUUAUUUUAAACAAGAGCAAACCAUAUAUGAUCAUAAUAGGUCUGUUUUUUUUACCAACUUGCAUUAAAUAUGACAAAAAAUGACCAAUUCUACACUAGCAAGAUUGGUCUAUAAAAAGCACAUGGUAUAUUAGCUAAUACCAUGCAAAAAGUUGUCCCAAGAUCCCUGCUUCCAUGAAGACAACUGUGUGUAUGAGUUACUAUUGGAAGAUACAAAACCUUAAUACAAAAGGUGGGAGUCAAUUUAUCCAGAAAGUAAUUGGUUAUAUUUUAGAACCAUGUGCAGGAAAAAGGGGCUGCAUGCAUCGCUCUGAUGUUGAGACCGGGGGUAAUCCUCCUUUUAAAAAAAUGUGCAAAAAAGGUCUUGUGUUGAAAGACCCUACUAGCACGUAUUAAAAAUAGGGAAAUUUUACGUUGCAUCAUAAUACACCAAAUCACGUGUAUUAUAUGGGCAAUCUAACGGAUUAGAAUAACUGGGCCUUUUUUAGCCCAAGGGUACUUUCAACCUAAUUUUUUUUAUACCUUUAAUCAGCCCAAUUAAGUCCAGGGGUAUUCUCGUCCGAAAUUUUUCGAUUAAAUUAAUUGCAUUAAUAAAACACUCAUUAUAGAGGUCCAAUCAUCGUGUGUACUCUUUUGAAAUUUGGUUCGAGUGGUUCGUCCUCUCUCCUCCUCUCGAGCCCUAACCUCGGCGCCCUCGAUCGCCGCCGAUCGCCUCCAGCGCCCUCGAUCGCCGCCGAUCGCACUCGCCGUGUCACUCCUUCCUCCUGCUCCUACUCCCUCCUCCCCCUCCAUCGGAAGUCACCCCGCUCGGGUCGCGGCGCCAGAUCUUCUGACGAGCCUCCCCUCCUUCCCCGAGCGCACGCCACCUUCCCCGACCCGAGAGGCCACAUCAUCCAAAUCGACGUGCAUCAACUUUUUCACGCCGGAUCUUCGCUGUAAGUGCCUAGCCAUCUCAAAUCUUUACUGGUCCCUUAUGCUUAUAGUACCAAUAGGGGUCGGAUUUGAUUAGGGUUUAGGAUAUGUCAUGUGAGGUUUAGGGUUUAUGGUUUCAGAAAGUUGUGACGAGAUUUCUAUUGAAAGGGAGUGUAAGUUGGAUUUAGCUAGGACAUGUUGAUGUAGUUAGUUAGGGUUUAUGGUUUCAGAAAGUUGUGACAAGAUUUUUUUUAAGGAAGUGUAAGUCGGAUUUAGCUAGGACAUAUUAAAGCACUUCGUUAGGGUUGUGUGCCAUGAGAAUUUGUCAGCAAAUUUGGAUUGAAAGAAAGUUAUUUUGGAUUUAGUUAGGAGAUGCUUUUGAAUUGAGUUUCCAGAUAUUUUUGAUUUAGUUAGGAGAUAAUUAUUUUUGUAUGGAGUUUGGAGAUAUUUUCGACUUAGUGACGAGAUAAUUUGGAUUUAGUUAGGUGAUAUUUUUGGAUUCAGUUAGGACACAAUUUUGAAUGGAGUUUGCAGAUAAUUGAUCUAUCAGGGUGGAUCUAUCAGGGGACUUGAAAGAUUCGUGCACUUUGGAUUUAGUUAGGAGAUCAUCAGUUACAACAAGUACAAUCAAUUAAAUAUUUCUGGAUUUAGUCAGGGAAUAUUUUAUACUUACUUACGACUUUUGAAGGACUGAGUUUGGUACAUGAAUCCGAUAUGAAAAAUUAAAUCAAUUAUUUAAGCAGAGUAUUGCAUAAUUAUUAUGUAUGCUAUCCAUCCGUAACAUUGACUAUCUGUUUUCGUUGGCAGCAUAACGACAUGGAUGAUAAAGGCAACUAUGGCAACAACUUGGGGAAUACAAGCAAGGAUGACAAGGACAUGGGUGCUAGACGAAAGGAAGGCAAAUGAAUGGAUGGUAUGCGCACGGAUGAUAACGAUAAUGAGGAUGCAGGCAAGGAUGGCAUAGACCUAGAUGAUGUACACAUGCAAGGUAAAGGAAUUGAUAUUAAAGGCAGGGCUGGUUCAGAUCUGAAUGAGUGUAUGGAAUACAUAGAGAUUGUGAAGAAGACUUUCAGGACUGAGGAAGAAGCCUACAUGUUCUAUGUAGGGUAUGCGAGAAAAAAGGGUUUGGUGUUAGAAAGGAUGAUCUAAAGUACAGGGGUCCGGGUCCGAAACAAAAUGCAUACAGAAGGACAUACAAGUGCUGCAAACAAGGAUGGCAGGCCCUUAAGCACUUUAAUAGAGCUGAUAGAAAAAGAACACCGAGGGGUCUUUCUCGGUGUGGGUGUCCUGCUCUUUUUCAGGUUGAGCUACAAGAUAGUAGUGGCCUCUGGUUCGUCAAGAAUUUUGUGGACAUGCAUAACCAUCUGUUUGUCCCUGCUGACCCGACUCCCUACUUAUCGGCUCAUCGUAGAAUGAUUGACGCACAAAAGGCCGAUGUCAUCGAGUAUGCUGUUGGUGGACUUCGAACACAUCAGAUUAUGAAUGUAAUGGAGAAGAAUGCCGGAGGUCCCGACAAGCUUGGAUUUAUAGAUCGAGACCUAUACAACCAUGUUUCAAUCCAGAAGAAGCGCAAGAUAGAAGGCAGUGACGCUAGAUAUUUGCUCAGCUAUAUGAUUGCACAGAAAAGGCAGACCCGGAAUUCUUUUUCAAAUACACAAAAGACAAUGAAGGCCAUUUGAGGAACAUAUUCUGGGCUAAUUCACAAUCCCGGAUUGACUAUGUUGCCUUUGGUAGUGUCGUGGUGUUCGACAGUACAUACGGGUCUAACAAGUACAUGCUUCCAUCUGUUCCAUUUGUUGGUCUGAACCAUCACCGCAGCACAGUUUUGUUUGGGGUCGGUCUAGUGUCAGACGAGAUAGUUGCAUCAUACCAGUGGCUUAUUCAUGUAUUUUUGGAGGCAAUGUCCUAGAGGGAACCCAUUUCAGCAAUCACCGAUGGGGACGGUUCAAUGGCUAAAGCAAUAGCUACUGUCUGGACUGGAACAGAUCAUCGUUUGUGCACGUGGCAUAUCGAGGAGAAUAUGGUGAUGCACCUCCGCAAGAAAAAGCUUGAGGAAUUUAGAGAAUUCAUUUACCGUCGUUGGGAUGUUGAUGAGUUUGAGAAAAGAUGGGAGGCUUAUAAGGUUCGGUUCAAAAUAAAACCAACGGGAAAGAGGUCAUCAUGGGUUAACAGGAUGUACGAGCUACGACACAAGUGGGCUGCUGCGUACACAAACGGUAGAUAUUUCCUUGGCAUGAUGAGUAAUCAGAGGAGUGAGUCUCUCAACUCGAGGCUUCAUGUGCACCUGAACAGGAAGAUGCAGCUUGUUGAUUUGUUGCAGCAUGUUGAGCACUGUGUAUCCAUAAUGCGUAAGAAUGAAGCAGCAUUAGACACAUUAGCAACACAUACGAUACCCUUCACUAAGCUAAAUGCACACCCUCUGGAGAUUGCUGGCUCUCAUAUUUAUACAACUAUGAUGUUUCCAAAGGUAAAGCGUCAGAUUGUCGAAGGGACAAAUUGGCAGGUCACGGACCGGGUAGCAUGUGAUGGUUUGGUCGUGUUUGGAGUUUUGCGCAAAUCCCCAUAUGAUAAAGUCCCAUAUGGCAGGGAUGCUACAAAAUUGCAAGGUAAGGAAGGUAAGGAUGCUGAGGACUUGCAUGCAAAAAAAUUGGAUGCUGAGGAUCCCAAUGACUUGCAAGGUAAGGAUGCUGAGGACUUGCAUGCAAAAAACUUGGAUGCUGAGGAUCCCAAUGACUUGGAAGGUAAGGAUGCUGAGGACUUGCAUGCAAAAAACUUGGAUGCUGGGGAUCCCAAUGACUUGGAAGGCAAGGAUGGUGUGGACUUGCAUGCCAAAAACCCAGAUGCUAAGGAUCCCAAAGACUUGGAAGGUAAGGACAGUGAGGAGUUGGAUGCACAAGGCGUGGAUGCUAAGCAUGUGGAUUUUAUAUAUCACGUGACUUGUCUAUUUUCAGGAGCAAGACUGGAUGAUGCAGCUUGUAAAUGUAAAAAGUUGGAAAGUCAGUAUUACCCAUGCGCACAUAUAUUCUGCGUUCUGGAUCAUCUAGGUGUAUGCACAUUUCCAAAAAAAAUUGUCAAGAAAAGAUGGACAAUACAUGCCAAGCCAGCAUUCCCUUCUUCGAGGACUGCGAAUACUCAUGUAUGGUCUGAUCACAUGAGUAAGUAUCAUCAACUACGCAACAUGGCUAGUGACGCUUUAUUCACAGCCGCAGCUAGCGAUUCACAGUCAGAACAGAUGAUGGAGCUCCUCCAGAAUAUAUUGGUUGAUGGAGAAAAACUGAUUUGGAUGAAGGCCAUAAAUCGUUUGUUCCUUUGCCGGUAUACUUCUCUGCUGCUCGUGAAUGCUGCACUGAUGACGUGGAAAAUCCAAUCAAAAUAGUUCCAAAAGGGAGACCAACUACCGAAGAAUCGAACAAGAGGAUUAAAUCCAGGCGCGGGUGGAUGAGAGGGAAAAAAGCAACGAAGUUAGUGCACAUGUUUAUCUCAUUGUUCAUUUCCAUACAUGCUUACAAUGUUAAUAUGUUCUCUCUUUUUCUUCAAUUUACUCAGGAACAAAUCGGGGAAAUCGAAGGUCACAAGGAGGAAGAAGCGAAAAGAGAAAGACUCAGAGACAGAAGAAGACACAGAUUUAGAUACAGAAGAAGAGGAAGAUUCAAAAAAAGCAACAAAGUUAGUGCACAUGUUAAUCUCAUUGUUCAUUUCCAUACAUGCUUAAAGUGUUAAUAUGUUCUCCCGGAGAGUGUUCACAUGUUUUUCUUAAAUUUAUGCAGGGAAAAAUUGGGGAAAUCAAAUAGCACAAGGAGGAAGAAGCAAAAAGAAGAGACUAUUGGAAAUAUGCCCUAGAGGCAAUAAUAAAAGGAUUAUUAUUAUAUUUCCUUGUUCAUGAUAAUUGUCUUUUAUUCAUGCUAUAAUUGUAUUAUCCGAAAAUCGUAAUACACGUGUGAAUACAUAGACCACAAUAUUAUGGUUUCCUAACUAUGGACAUUGGAUGUCAUUGAUAACGGGAUCACAUCAUUAGGAGAAUGAUGUGAUGGACAAGACCCAAUCCUAAGCAUAGCACAAGAUCAUGUAGUUCGUUUUGCUAGAGCUUUUCCAAUGUCAAGUAUCUUUUCCUUAGACCAUGAGAUCGUGUAACUCCCGGAUACCGUAGGAGUGCUUUGGGUGUACCAAACAUCACAACAUAACUGGGUGACUAUAAAGGUAUACUACGGGUAUCUCCGAAAGUGUCUGUUGGGUUGACACGGAUCGAGACUGGGAUUUGUCACUCCGUAUGACGGAGAGGUAUCUCUGGGCCCACUCGGUAAUGCAUCAUCAUAAUUAGCUCAAAGUGACCAAGUGUAUGGUCACGGGAUCAUGCAUUACAGUACGAGUAAAGUGACUUGCCGGUAACGAGAUUGAACGAGGUAUUGGGAUAUCGACGAUCGAAUCUCGGGCAAGUAACAUACCGAUUGACAAAGGGAAUUGUAUACGGGGUUGCUUGAAUCCUCGACAUUGUGGUUCAUCCGAUGAGAUCAUCAAGGAGCAUGUGGGAGCCAACAUGGGUAUCCAGAUCCCGCUGUUGGUUAUUGACCGGAGAGCCAUCUCGGUCAUGUCUACAUGUCUCCCGAACCCGUAGGGUCUACACACUUAAGGUUCAAUGAUGCUAGGGUUGUAAAGAUAUUAGUAUGCAGCAAACCGAAAGUUGUUCGGAGUCCUGGAUGAGAUCCCGGACGUCACGAGGAGUUCCAGAAUGGUCCGGAGGUAAAGAAUUAUAUAUGGGAAGUCGAGUUUCGGCCUUCGGAAAAGUUUCGGUGUUCACCGGUAUUGUACCGGGACCACCGGAAGGGUCCCGGGGGUCCACCAGGUGGGGCCACCCAUCCCGGAGGGCCCCAUGGGCUGAAGUGGGAGGGGAACCAGCCCCUGGUGGGCUGGUGCGCCCCCCUGGGCCCCCCUCUGCGCCUAGGCUUGGGAACCCUAGGGGAGGGGGCGCCUCCACUUGCCUUGGGGGGCAAGUUUCCCCCCUUGGCCGCCGCCCCCCCUAGGAGAUCCCAUCUCCUAGGGCCGGCGCCCCACCUUGGGGUCCCUAUAUAAAGAGGGGGGUGGGAGGGCAGCCGCACCCUGACACCUGGCGCCUCCCUUCCCUCCUUGCUACACCUCUACCUCCCGCAAGCGCUUGACGAAGCCCUGCCGGAACCCUGCUGCAUCCACCACCACGCCGUCGUGCUGCUGGAUCUUCAUCAACCUCUCCUUCCCCCUUGUUGUAUCAAGAAGGAGGAGACGUCAUGCUGACUGUACGUGUGUUGAACGCGGAGGUGCCGUCCGUUCGGCGCUAGGAUCUCUGGUGAUUUGGAUCACGACGAGUACGACUCCCUCAACCCCAUUCUCUUGAACGCUUCUGCUCGAUCUACAAGGGUAUGUAGAUGCACUCCUCUCUCUGUUGCUAGAUGAACUCAUAGAUUGAUCUUGGUAACGUAGGAAAUUUUUUAUUUUAUGCAACGUUCCCCAACAGUGGCAUCAUGAGCUAGGUCUAUGCGUAGUUCUCUAUUGCACGAGUAGAACACAAAUCUGUUGUGGGCGUAGAUGUUGUCAACUUUCUUGCCACUACUAGUCUUAUUUUGCUUCAGCGGUAUUGUGGGAUGAAGCGGCCCGGACCGACCUUACACGUACGCUUACGUGAGACAGGUUCCACCGACUGACAUGCACUAGUUGCAUAAGGUGGCUAGCGGGUGUCUGUCUCUCCCACUUUAGUUGGAGCAGAUUCGAUGAAAAGGGUCCUUAUGAAUAUGACAACCGGCAGGAGCCAUAGGAGUUGUCUUAAUUAUUGAAUGACCUAUGUGUCAAUGAUUUAACACCAUGUAAUUACUUUACUUUAUUGCUAAACGGUUAGCCAUAGUAGUAGAAGUAAUAGUUGGCGAGCAACUUCAUGGAGACACGAUGAUGGAGAUCGUGAUGAUGGAGAUCAUGGUGUCAUGCCGGUGACGAAGAUUAUCAUGGAGCCCCGAAGAUGGAGAUCGAAGGAGCUAUAUGGUAUUGGCCAUAUCAUGUCACUACUAUUUAAUUGCAUGUGAUGUUUAUUAUGUUUAUGCAUCUUGUCUACUUAGAACGACGGUAGUAAAUAAGAUGAUCUCUCAUGAUAAUUUCAAGAAAGUGUUCCCCCUAACUGUGCGCCGUUGCUAAAGUUCGUCGUUUUGAAGCACCACGUGAUGAUCGGGUGUGAUAGAUUCCUAUGUUCACAUACAACGGGUGUAAGAUAGUUUUACACAUGCAAAAACACUUAGGUUAACUUGACAAGCCUAGCAUGUACAGACAUGGCCUCGGAACACAGAGACCGAAAGGUCGAACAUGAGUCGUAUGGAAGAUAUGAUCAACAUGGAGAUGUUCACCGAUGAUGACUAGUCCGUCUCACGUGAUGGUCGGACACGGCCUAGUCGACUCGGAUCAUGUAACACUUAGAUGACUAGAGGGAUGUCAAAUCUGAGUAGGAGUUCAUUAAAUAAUUUGAUUAGAUGAACUUAAUUAUCAUGAACUUAGUCUAAAAUCUUUGCAAAAAAUGUCUUGUAGAUCAAAUGGCUAACACUCAUGUCAACAUGAACUUCAACGCGUUCCUAGAGAAAACCAAGCUGAAAGAUGAUGGCAGCAACUAUACGGACUGGGUCCGGAACCUGAGGAUCAUCCUCAUAGCUGCCAAGAAAGCAUAUGUCCUAGAAGGACCGCUAGGUGAAGCACCCAUCCCAGAGAACCAAGACGUUAUGAACGCUUGGCAGUCACGUGCUGAUGAUUACUCCCUCGUUCAGUGCGGCAUGCUUUACAGCUUAGAACCGGGGCUCCAAAAGCGUUUUGAGCAACACGGAGCAUAUGAGAUGUUCGAGGAGCUGAAAAUGGUUUUCCAAGCUCAUGCCCGGGUCGAGAGAUAUGAAGUCUCCGACAAGUUCUAUAGUUUUAAGAUGGAGGAAAAUAGUUUUGUCAGUGAGCACAUACUCAAAAUGUCUGGGUUGCACAACCGCAUGUCCCAGCUGGACAUUAACCUCCCGGACGAAGCGGUCAUUAACAGAAUCCUUCAGUCACUCCCACCGAGCUACAAGAGCUUUGUGAUGAACUACAAUAUGCAGGGGAUGGUGAAAACUAUUCCUGAAGUAUUUUCAAUGCUAAAGUCGGCAGAGGUAGAAAUCAAGAAAGAACAUCAAGUGUUGAUGGUCAAUAAAACCACCAAGUUCAAGAAGGGCAAGGGUAAGAAGAACUUCAAGAAGGACGGCAAAGAUGUUGCCGCGCCCGGUAAGCCAGUUGCCGGGAAGAAGUCAAAGAAUGGACCCAAGCCUGAGACUUAGUGCUUUUAUUGCAAAGGGAAGGGUCACUGGAAGCGGAACUGCCCCCAAAUACUUAGCGGACAAGAAGGCCGGCAACACUAGAGGUAUAUGUGAUAUACAUGUAAUUGAUGUGUACCUUACCAGUACUCGUAGUAACUCCUGGGUAUUUGAUACCGGUGCCGUUGCUCAUAUUUGUAAUUCACAGCAGGAGCUGCGGAAUAAGCGGAGACUAGCGAAGGACGAGGUGACGAUGCGUGUCGGGAAUGGUUCCAAGGUCGAUGUGAUCGCCGUCGGCACGCUACCUCUACAUUUACCCACGGGAUUAGUUUUAAACCUCAAUAAUUGUUAUUUAGUGCCAAGUUUGAGCAUGAACAUUGUAUCUGGAUCUCGUUUAAUACGAGAUGGCUACUCAUUUAAAUCCGAGAAUAAUGGUUGUUCUAUUUAUAUGAGAGAUAUGUUUUAUGGUCAUGCCCCGGUGGUCAAUGGUUUAUUCUUAAUGAAUCUCGAACGUAAUAUUACACAUAUUCAUAGUGUGAAUACCAAAAGAUGUAAAGUUGAUAACGAUAGUCCCACAUACUUGUGGCACUGCCGCCUUGGUCACAUUGGUGUCAAGUGCAUGAAGAAGCUCCAUGCUGAUGGACUUUUAGAGUCUCUCGUUUAUGAAUCAUUUGACACAUGCGAACCAUGCCUCAUGGGCAAAAUGACCAAGACUCCAUUCUCCGGAACAAUGGAGCGAGCAACCAACUUAUUGGAAAUCAUACAUACUGAUGUGUGUGGUCCAAUGAGCGUUGAGGCUCGCGGAGGAUAUCGUUAUGUUCUCACUCUCACUAAUGACUUAAGUAGAUAUGGGUAUGUCUACUUGAUGAAACACAAGUCUGAGACCUUUGAAAAGUUCAAGGAAUUUCAGAAUGAAGUAGAGAAUCAACAUGACCGAAAAAUAAAGUUCUUACGAUCAGAUCGUGGAGGAGAAUAUUUAAGUCAAGAAUUUGGUACGCACUUAAGGAAAUGUGGAAUCGUUUCACAACUCACGCCGCCUGGAACACCUCAACGUAAUGGUGUGUCCGAACGUCGUAAUCGCACUCUAUUGGAUAUGGUGCGAUCUAUGAUGUCUCUUACCGAUUUACGGCUAUCAUUUUGGGGAUACGCUCUAGAGACAACUACAUUCACUUUAAAUAGGGCUCCGUCUAAAUCCAUUGAGACGACACCGUAUGAAUUAUGGUUUGGGAAGAAACCUAAGCUGUCGUUUCUAAAAGUUUGGGGAUGCGAUGCUUAUGUCAAGAAACUUCAACCUGAAAAGCUCAAACCCAAGUCGAAAAAAUGUGUCUUCAUAGGAUACCCUAAGGAAACCAUUGGGUAUACCUUCUACCUUCGAUCCAAAGGCAAGAUCUUUGUUGCCAAGAAAGGAUCCUUUCUGGAAAAAGGGUUUCUCUCGAAAGGAGUAAGUGGGAGGAAAGUAGAACUCGAUGAAGUACUACCUCUUGAACCGGAAAGUAGUGCAACUCAGGAAAAUGUUCCUGUGGUGCCUACACCGACUGGAGAGGAAAUUAAUAAUGAUGAUCAAGGUACUUCGGAUCAAGUUGCUACUGAACUUCGUAGGUCCACAAGGACACGUUCCACACCAGAGUGGUAUGGCAACCCUGUCCUGGAAAUCAUGUUGUUAGACUACGGUGAACCUUCGAACUAUGAAGAAGCGAUGGCGGGCCCAGAUUCCAACAAAUGGCUUGAAGCCAUGCAAUCCGAGAUAGAAUCCAUGUAUGAAAACAAAGUAUGGACUUUGACAGACUUGCCCGAUGAUCGGCGAGCGAUAGAAAACAAAUGGAUCUUUAAGAAGAAGACGGACGCAGAUGGUAAUAUUACCAUCUAUAAAGCUCGACUUGUCGCUAAGGGUUAUCGACAAGUUCAAGUGGUUGACUACAAUGAGACUUUCUCUCCCGUAGCGAAGCUGAAGUCCGUCCGAAUCAUGUUAGCAAUUGCCGCAUACUAUGAUUAUGAGAUAUGGUAGAUGGACGUCAAAACGGCAUUCCUUAACGGCUAUCUUAAGGAAGAACUGUAUAUGAUGUAGCCGGAGGGUUUUGUCGAUCCUAAGAAUCCUAACAAGGUAUGCAAGCUCCAGCGAUCCAUUUAUGGGCUGGUGCAAGCAUCUCGGAGUUGGAACAUUCGCUUUGAUGAGAUGAUCAAAGCGUUUGGGUUUAUGCAGACUUAUGGAGAAGCCUGCGUUUACAAGAAAGUGAGUGGGAGCUCUGUAGCAUUUCUCAUAUUAUAUGUAGAUGACAUACUUUUGAUGGGAAAUGAUAUAGAACUUUUGGACAGCAUUAAGGCCUACUUGAAUAAGUGUUUUUCAAUGUAGGACCUUGGAGAAGCUGCUUACAUAUUAGGCAUCAAGAUCUAUAGGGAUAGAUCGAGACGCCUCAUAGGUCUUUCACAAAGCACAUACCUUGAUAAGAUAUUGAAGAAGUUCAAUAUGGAUCAGUCCAAGAAAGGGUUCUUGCCUGUGUUGCAAGGUGUGAGAUUGAGCUCGGCUCAAUGCCCGACCACGACAGAAGAUAAAGAAGAGAUGAGUGUCAUCCCCUAUGCCUCAGCCAUAGGAUCUAUUAUGUAUGCCAUGCUGUGUACCAGACCAGAUGUAAACCUUGCCAUAAGUUUGGUAGGAAGGUACCAAAGUAAUCCCAACAAGGAACACUGGACAGCGGUCAAGAAUAUCCUAAAGUACCUGAAAAGGACAAAGGACAUGUUUCUCGUUUAUGGAGGUGACGAAGAGCUCGUCGUAAAGGGUUACGUCGAUGCUAGCUUUGACACAGAUCUGGAUGACUCUAAGUCACAAACCGGAUACGUGUAUAUGUUGAAUCGUGGAGCAGUAAGCUGGUGUAGUUGCAAGCAGAGCGUCGCGGCGGGAUCUACAUGUGAAGCGGAAUACAUGGCGGCCUCGGAGGCAGCGCAUGAAGCAAUAUGGAUGAAGGAGUUCAUCACCGACCUAGGAGUCAUACCCAAUGCAUCGGGGCCGAUCACUCUCUUCUGUGAUAACACUGGAGCUAUUGCCCUUGCCAAGGAGCCCAGGUUUCACAAGAAGACCAGGCACAUCAAGCGUCGUUUCAACUCCAUCCGUGAAAAUGUUCAAGAUGGAGACAUAGAUAUUUGCAAAGUACAUACAGAUCUGAAUGUCGCAGAUCCGUUGACUAAACCUCUUCUGCGAGCAAAACAUGAUCAACACCAGAACUCUAUGGGUGUUCGAUUCAUCACAAUGUAACUAGAUUAUUGACUCUAGUGCAAGUGGGAGACUGUUGGAAAUAUGCCCUAGAGGCAAUAAUAAAAAGAUUAUUAUUAUAUUUCCUUGUUAAUGAUAAUUGUCUUUUAUUCAUGCUAUAAUUGUAUUAUCCGGAAAUCGUAAUACACAUGUGAAUACAUAGACCACAAUAUGUCCCUAGUGAGCCUCUAGUUGACUAGCUCGUUAAUCAACAGAUAGUCAUGGUUUCCUGACUAUGGACAUUGGAUGUCAUUGAUAACAGGAUCACAUCAUUAGGAGAAUGAUGUGAUGGAGAAGACCCAAUCCUAAGCAUAGCACAAGAUCGUGUAGUUCGUUUUGCUAGAGCUUAUCCAAUGUCAAGUAUCUUUUCCUUAGACCAUGAGAUCGUGUAACUCCCGGAUACCGUAGGAGUGCUUUGGGUGUACCAAACGUCACAACGUAACUGGGUGACUAUAAAGGUAUACUACAGGUAUCUCCGAAAGUGUCUGUUGGGUUGACACGGAUCGAGACUGGGAUUUGUCACUCCGUAUGACGGAGAGGUAUCUCUGGGCCCACUCGGUAAUGCAUCAUCAUAAUGAGCUCAAAGUGACCAAGUGUAUGGUCACGGGAUCAUGCAUUAUGGUACGAGUAAAGUGACUUGCCGGUAACGAGAUUGAACGAGGUAUUGGGAUACCGACGAUCGAAUCUCGGGCAAGUAACAUACCGAUUGACAAAGGGAAUUGUAUACGGGGUUGCUUGAAUCCUCGACAUCGUGGUUCAUCCGAUGAGAUCAUCGAGGAACAUGUGGGAGCCAACAUGGGUAUCCAGAUCCCGCUGUUGGUUAUUGACCGGAGAGCCGUCUCGGUCAUGUCUACAUGUCUCCCGAACCCGUAGGGUCUACACACUUAAGGUUCGGUGAUGCUAGGGUUGUAAAGAUAUUAGUAUGCAGCAAACCGAAAGUUGUUCAGAGUCCCGGAUGAGAUCUCGGACGUCACGAGGAGUUCCAGAAUGGUCCGGAGGUAAAGAAUUAUAUAUGGGAAGUCGAGUUUCGGCCAUCGGGAAAGUUUCGGGGUUCACCGGUAUUGUACCGGGACCACCGGAAGGGUCCCGAGGGUCCACGGGGUGGGGCCACCCAUCCCGAAGGGCCCCAUGGGCUGAAGUGGGAGGGGAACCAGCCCCUGGUGGGCUGGUGCGCCCCCCCUGGGCCCCCCUCGGCGCCUAGGAUUGGGAACCCUAGGGGAGGGGGCGCUUCCACUUGCCUUGGGGGGGGGCAAGUUUCCCCCCUUGGCCGCCGCCCCCCUAGGAGAUCCCAUCUCCUAGGGCCGGCGCCCCCCUUGGGGUACCUAUAUAAAGAGGGGGGGUGGGAGGGCAGCCGCACCCUGACACGUGGCGCCUCCCUUACCCCCUUGCUACACCUCUCCCUCCCGCAAGCGCUUGGCGAAGCCCUGCCGGAACCCUGCUGCAUCCACCACCACGCCAUCAUGCUGUUGGAUCUUCAUCAACCUCUCCUUCCCCCUUGCUGGAUCAAGAAGGAGGAGACGUCACGCUGACCGUACGUGUGUUGAACGCGGAGGUGCCGUCCGUUCGGUGCUAGGAUCUCCAGUGAUUUGGAUCACGACGAGUACGACUCCCUCAACCCCGUUCUCUUGAACGCUUCCGCUCGAUCUACAAGGGUAUGUAGAUGCACUCCUCUCUCUCGUUGCUAGAUGAACUCAUAGAUUGAUCUUGGUGAACAUAGGAAUUUUUUUAUUUUAUGCAACGUUCCCUAACAGAGACAGAGUCAGAUACAAAAGAAGAGACAGAGGCAGAUACAGAAGAAGAGACAGAUGCAGAUACAGAAGAAGAGGAAGAUUCAGGUACAGAAGAAGAGGAAGAUUCAGAUGUAGAAGAAGAAGGAGAUUCAGAUGCAGAAGAAGAGGGAGAUUCAGAUGCGGAAGAAGAGGAAGAUUCAGAUGCAGAAGAUGGUGGGCUGAGGAGGGCUAGGAAGAGACCAUUGGAGGUUGCAGAAGAGGAUUACGCAAAACCAAACAAGUGGGCAUCAGCACAAUUGUGCGUACUUAAACAUGUUUUCGAAUGCUGGCUGUAGAUUCAUCUAUUUCAUUUUUUGCAGGAAACGCAAGGGCGCUCCAAAUGUCAAUGCUGGGAGGAAGAAAAAGAACGAUGACAAGGGUGCGCUAGGAAAACCAGUGAAGUUAGUGUCUGUACUUACAUGUCCGCUCUAGAAGUCAGGUAUUUUCUAGUACUGUGUUGACGUUUGUUAACUUUUCUAGGAAAGACUCUAGGAAGGGCGGUAAAGAACAUGCCAAAGGGGUGAUGCAGACAAAAAGGCCUGCUAGGAAUGUACCACAGGCUGAGCGAAUAAGAGCUGUCAAGUUAGCUUCUGUAGCUAUGACGAGAAAAUCAGUGAAGUUAGUGUCUUUUCUGUUAUAGUGUACUGUACAUGCUCAAAUCUUCUUUGCUAUCCUAUUAACAAACGUUGUUUCAUGCAGGAAAGCUAUAGUGAAGUAGAGACAGGAUGUUUAGAUGCACAGGGUCAAGUAGAGAAAACAAAAGGAUUUCUGGGGUCGAAAAAUUGAGAACAAACUAAAGUAGACAAUUUUCCAUGCCGUGAUCCACCUUGUUUCUGAUGUAUUAGACCUAUUUGAUGGACUACCACUAUUUUUCUGAAUUCCUCUUUGCUUGGUACACCCUCAUUUUAUUAUGGACGAGACGACAUGGUAGGCUAGUUAUGAUUUAUCAACAUCGAUGAAACAAUGCAUUUUUAGUGAAGUUGGUUUUAUGUAUUUUUUUUCUUUUUUUUACAUAAUAUAUUGCUGAAAUUUGUUCAAGUGUAGUCAAAUUUCAUACUUGAAAUAUAAAAUAGAAACCGAAAAUUUAUAUAUAGAAGAAAAUAGAACGUUAAUAGAAAUCUCGUUUUCAAAUAACCUUGAAAAUCAUUUAUUUUCAAAUAGAAAAUAAGCAUACUGAUAUUUUAAAAAUAGCAUGCUCAUUUGAAAAAAGCAUGUUCAAUUGAAAAUAAAAUAGAAUGAAUAUGCGGAUUUAAAAAUAGCAUGCUGCUUUGAAUAUACUAUUUUUAAAAUAUCACACUAUUUUAAAAAUAGCAUGCUGAUUUUAAAAAUAUGAUUUCAAAAAUAGCAUGCUACUUUUAAAAUUAUAAUGCUCUUUUCAAUAUGCUACUUUAAAAAUAACAUGCUGAUUUCAAAAAUAUCAUGCUAAUUUUAAAAAUAGCAUGCUACUUUUAAAAAUAUAAUGCUUUUUUCGAUAUGCUACUUUUAAAAUAGCAUGCUAUUUUCAAAAAUAUCAUGAUAAUUUUAAAAAUAGCAUGCUCUUUUCAAUAUGCUACUUUUAAAAUAGCAUGCUGAUUUCAAAAAUAGCAUGCUGAUUUAAAAAAAUCAUGUUCUUUUGAAUUUGAUAUUUUAAAAAAUAGCAUGCUAAUUUCAAAAUAACAGCCUCAUUCUAAAAAUAUAACGCCGUUUUUAAAAAUAUAACGCUGUUUUUAAAAAUAGCAUGUUGCUUUCAAAAUAACAGCCUCAUUCUAAAAAUAUAACGCUGUUUUUAAAAAUAUAACGCUAUUUUUAAAAUAGCAUGCUGAUUUCAAAAAUUACAUGCUUUUUGAAUAUGCUGUUUUGAAAGCAGCGUGCUGAUUUUGAAAACAGCAUUUUUUUAAAUUACGCUUUUUAAAAGAUAGCAUGUUUUUUAUUAUACUAUUUUUCAAAUAAAAAAACAUGCUGGUUUGCUUUGUUUUUGAAAAUAGCAUGCCAUGCCAUUUCGAAAGUAACAGAAACAUCAUUUUUUGCAUUGCAUUUUGACCCGCAAGUUUUUGUAUUGCGUUGCAUUUUUUUGUGCGACACACAUACAAACCGCAUUUACAAAAUAACUCGUACUAGCCAACACAAAAACCUUGUUCAAAAAUGAAAGUAGUGUCCAAUCCAUUUGAAACCCGGUUAGAUUUGAUUCUAAAAAUACUAGCAUCACUGUGGCAAAAAAAAGAAAAUACAAUUGCAGUCCAUAAAGAUAAUUAUAUCAAGGAGGGUACUAGGGUGCGUUAUAUAUAUAGACUUGCAUAGCAAGUACAUUACGCCACAUAGGGUACCACCAAGUUACUGCCAAGUUCCACUUACUGGACGAUCUUCAUACCCAGUCGGACCCAAAAGUUAUACCACCAAAGUACCAGUUACUACCAAGUACCAAUUACUACUAAGUUGCACUUAUUGGACCCAAAAGCUGAUACUACCAACUUGCAGUUACUGGCUACUACAUACAGAUAAUAAAACUAGCAUCAAACUACUGCCAUGGGUCAACGAAUCCUCAUGCCACUAACCAUGUUCACCCUAAGCCCACCUCCACUCCUUUCCAUGAACCUGAAGAUAGCCAUUUGAUCUUCUUUCAUUCUGGCUCCCUCAACGACUUCUCUCCAGUUCUUCGUCAUGAUCGCACGCCCAUCCUUCUUGCCCAUCUUGAACAAGACCUUUUUAUUACCUUCAAAAUGUUCGUUGGUGACACGCACAACCAUGGGCUUUCGCAGAUAAUCUUUGAAGUAGGCCUGACUGUAAUCCUUUGAGAAGAUCUGAUUGCACAGGGAAACAAAUAAUGUUACAUAAAAAAUUAAGUAUGAUUUGCACACACAAAAAGUAAGUAUGAUUUGCACAACCACGCCCGUCCUCCUCUCUGUCUCUACAUGAUGGCAUUUUCACUAGUGAAGUAUGAUUUGCAAAAAGAAAAGUCCAAGUGUUUACCAUCUUGCUCUUCCCUCUGAUGACUGCCGAGCGAGUGAUGGUGCUGACAUAGUAUGGUAUGGGAGGUUGGCACUGCUUUACUAUGGAUUUGAGAUAGUCCCACCGAUCCUCGUUUAGCGAUACAUGGUUCCCAUAGAAGAUGCGAUCCUCGAAAGUUACUUUUCUCACAAUGUAUCCCAGACCUGUAUCAAAAAAAAUUAAGAUGACAGAGUAGUAAAUAAUUUCAUACGUAAGAUCUAGAACAUCAGCAGUGGGUUAAUGAUCAAUGCCUACUCCAAUGAUCAAGAAAUGAAGGACAUAGAUAACCCAAUCACAUCCACCCAGCAAUAUCUCAUAGAAACAUGGGCAAAUUGAAUAUUUGAUUUAUUUAAACUAACAACUAAACACUCCUCUAUGUAAGCUCUAGUUCAGUCAAUGUUGAUUUGGAAGGUCAUCUAGAACCCAAACAGAGUAAUGUGUGGUAAUCAAGUGUCACUCAAACAUCAAGUUUUGAUAUUUCACGGUUCACUUAAUAUCUGACCAGUCAUAUAGAACUUUACCCCGUAGUGCCAAGAUAGGAUCAUGGUCCACAUCUCCAUCUCCAUCAGAACUAUCAUCAGUGUCAUAGUCGCUAGAGGUGUCAUCAUCACCGCUAUAGCCGUCACUCCCACAUGAAGUGCCAUCUGAAGCAUCAACUGAGGUGGUCCGGUGAUCACUCUCUUCACUGCUGAUGAGGAUGGUUUCCCUUGCCAUUCAAACCUGUUGCAUGCAUUGCAAUGAACAAAUGUUAGUUAUUGAUAUAUGAAAUCAGUCUUCCAUUAGGAAUUGUUAGCACCAUAUACAAUGUGAAUAAUCUUUUCGCAUACUUCUCGGUAAGUACGUAGUUCAUGUAUAAACAUCUACACGAAAAAUCUAGUCGACAACUAUUCACACGACUAGUCAAGAGUAGUGGUUAGACUCGUAAUCAUUGGGCAGACAUAACCAAUUAGGAUAUUUCAAGGUUACAAUUUUGUGAGCUGGACAAGAAAACUUGGUAACCAACCAAUUAGUAGCCAUGUACAAAUGAACCAUGAUUGACUGCUCUCAUCGAGCAAUACGUGAAACUAUAACUGAUCUGCCUUUGAUCACUGCAAAUUUCCUGAUGGGCUAUUGUGUGGUACCAUCAGGUAAUAAAUAUAAAGUCUUUAAAUUGUCUCAACAAAACAAAUAAUGCAUUUGCUGCUGUACAUACCAUUUUUAGAGGUAGCGGUGGAGGUUAAUUUUCCAAUUUCCAGUGAGAAUAAGGACAUGAUAGAAUCUCUCAAGCAAGAUGACAGCAUAGUGAAGGCUAUGAGAACGAGCAAGGUAUGCUGACAAAUAGUCACCCUUUUGUAUACUUGCUAUUUAUUUACUCAUUACUACCCAUACCAACAAGUAAAAUCAUGAUCAUGAAGUAUAAUGGCAGAAAAUCCAACAGUGAGGAAUUUGUUGCAACGUGAACUACUAGCUCACAACAAAUUUUCAUUGACCCCAACAAGACCAUACCAUAUCUUGGAGAUAGGCUGACAUAAUUCAAGUAAGCAGUAACAACAAUCAGCAAAAAUAUGCACCAACCAAAAAUAUUACAUGUGUGCACAUAUCAUCAAAAACAUGCACCAAUCAAGAGCAGUCUAUACUUGACAAAUCCUUCAAAAUAUGCACUAAUCAUCAUACUACCAUCGAGUAAUACAUGAAACUAUAACUAAUCCUCAUUCCAUCAUUACAAAUUUCCUCAUGGACUGCUUUUGUGCUCGCCUUUUUAGAUUUUAAUAACUAAGCAUCAGCAAAUACAUAUACACACUCUUCAAACUAUCCCAACAAACCGAAACAUGUGUAUGCUCCUGUGAAUAUACUUUUUCUAUAUCUAGCAGUGGGGGGUCAUUUUCCAGGGGAAAAACUACUUGAUAGCAUCUGUCAAGCAAGAUGAUGGCAUAUUAAGGCUAUGUCGACGAGCAAGGUAUGCUGGCCAACACCUACCUUUUUCUCUUACUUGCACGAAAGUGUUUACCCAUUACUACCCAUACGAACAAGUAAAACCAUGAUUAUGCAGUACAUUGUCAGAUUAUCUUGCUGUAAAACUACUUGUUGCAAUAUGACCUACUAGUUGACAGUAAAUCUGCGAAUACUCGAAAUAUGCACACAAGCAAGUGUCAGAUUUUAACUUGGGCAGUGCUGUCAGAUCGACAUUCGAAGGGCAGGGAAGAUCAAUCUUACCUACUAAGUGGUACCAGAUGGGCCUAGAGUGGACUUGUUUGAAGCUGGCACCACCGGAGCUUCGGGCGGCGCGACCAGGAUUGGGGAUGAAAAGUUGCGGUUGUUGGACCUUGCUGUCGACGAAGCAGUGGAGGAUCAUGGCCGGAGCAGGGGGGAGUGAGUGGCCUCGCGGAUCCGGCGGAUUUGACAACGACGGGGGCGGCCAAGGUGACGGCUUGGCAAACCCUAGCCAUCGCCCUCCGCGUCGCCUCUCUGUCUCUGCAAAGAACGAAGUGGAACGAAGUGGGGUGGGAUUGGGAUGGGGGUGGGGUUGGGGUUGGGGCCAUCACCCACUUUUCUCUCUGCCUCCCACUUGUACAGGCCCACAAAAGGAACAAAGUGUUGGGCCGGAUCAGAUGCAGAUUUGGCAGCUUUACCAAUUCUGGCCAAACAGAAAAGAUCAGCAUGAUCACAUGUGUUCUUUUGAAGAAACCCUAAAAAUACACUGCUGUUCAUAUUGCAUGUGGAUAAGUCUUUCAGUACACCAAUUGAUCUUGAAUAAUUUUAAGCACUCCACAGUAUAUAUAUAUAUGAAAAUAAUGGUUAACCAAUAAAAUGGUAAACUAUUAGAUGCAAGGUUACAAAUAUUUGAAAAAAUCAAUAAUUGAAUUGUAUGCAUUUUUAUGAUUAAUUUUAAUAAAUGUAACAUUUCUGCAAAAACUAUGAUAAUUAAAAUAUUCAUUGAUAUUUAAAAACAACAACAACCGCAAAUGACUACUUAUGCCAACCAGAACUUCUUCAGGGUUACGUUUAUUCAUCUAUUCUUUGGCAUGCUGGUUCUCAUAACGCCUUCUUCGGACCUUCUCUUUGUCUGACAAAUUCCUGAGAUAUUGGGCUAGCGCCUUGUGUUUCGCCCUCACACCAUGCUUCAUUUGGUAUCCUUUGGCAACUCCUUCGGCAUGCUCAAGAAUACUAACAAAAGCCGGGUCCAGAUAUUUGCCACAGAACGUGCAACGAUACGCCAUGCGCUUAAGCACGUUGCACUGUCCAUUCUGCAAUUCUUCAAGGGUUUUCUGAGUGUGUGCAUCCAUCUCUCCUUCGGAAAUGUCCGCAUAAUCAUGAGAAUAAGGCUGCAAGUUAAAAUUAUGUAUGAUAUAAGCUGCACCAUUGUUUACAGUACCUAAUAUUCCCUAAGUUUCAUACUGUAGUGCCUAUAAAUUAUUUUUAAAGUAAAUGUUUAUUAACUUUGAAAAUUUAAGGAGAAAAAAGCAAUAUCAAAUCCAUAUGAAAGCAUAAAUCAUAUCAUGUACUUUUAAAAAAAAUGUCAAUAAACAUGCACAACCUUUAUGAUGUCUGACUUUUGGCAUAAAACCAAAACGCACUAAAUUGUGGAGUGGAUGAACCAUUAAUUUCUCAAAGAUUGAUUGAAUAAAUAAUGAUCAUUACGUACUGAUGAUCAACAUUAUAUUUAGAGCUAGAUUCCAUUAUGCCAAUUCAACAAUGUAUCGAUGGUUUAAUGAUUAACCUCUAACCUUAAACUUGAAGACAGAUCUAUGGUUAAAAAAUUAAAAUUACCGUAACGGAAUUCCAGUCCAUGCCGUGCAUGUGCUGCUGCUUGUGAUCGACGACGGAGUACUGCACCUUGUUGACACGAUGCUUCUUUGGAUCGGACACCGAGUAGUACAAAGCUUUCUCGUGGGGAUCCUGAUCCAUGAGAUGGACGACGACGUCGGUGGUUAGCCCCGCAAGUCCACAAUCUGUCACGACGCCGUCCAUGACAGGCCCCUCACGUCCAUGGCCACGAUCUGUCACGACGGCCAAUCGACCUCCACGAGUGGAUUUCAUAUCCGGCGGCAGGGAGGCGGGCGUGUGAGCGGCGGCGAUGGUUUUAGAGCAUAACCUAGGGGGAGAGAUACGGGGAGUAAUUGGUAGUUACCUACUAUAGCGGAAAUACUUAUGAGAAAAAUUGAUUGGUCGGCAUUGGGCACCUUCAAUGCAGCGACGCUUAUUUAGGCGCUUAAUUAGGAUCCUGGAAAAAAAAUCACAAGCAUAGGCGCUUGGGGCAGGACCUAGGAACUGGAUUUUGUACAUCUACGUGAUGCAAUCCAAAGAUCGUGUCCGGGGUGGAUGGGUUGGGGAUUGAAAAUUGUGUACAUAAACCCUAAUUCUCAAGACUUGUGGAAACAUCAUAUCAAAUUGUCAUCAAGUGAUCUAGUAUUACUUGGAUCGAGACUUUGUGAUCAUCAUGUAGCCACGCCACAAACAUGAUGGUUCUAGUAUUACUUGGAUCAACACCUUAGGCAGCAAACUAGUGCAUUUCCUUUUUGAGUCACCAUCUUCCUUCUUGAAAACCACAUGUACACACUCAUCAUGUAUACCAUAACACAUCAAAAUCUGUUAACGAGUGCUCACAAGCUUAACUAGCUUCAAACGAACCUAGCCAAUCAGGGUUUUAUGCUACUUAAUCUAAAUGAGCCAAUGAUUAAUAAGCACGAGUUUAACAAGCAGAGAUGCCAAACAACACACCAAUUAGCAUAGUUCUACCUUAGUUCAACGCUUCCAUAUAUGCAAAAGCAAGCACCACUUAGUAGUACUGGUGCACAUAGUUCAACCAUAAAUGUUCACCAACAAAGUAUAGCAUACGAUAGUACUUAGCAUAGUUAAAACCAAAAGAGCAUCAGUUCUAGCUGCGAGGGUGCGCACUUCCCUAAAUCAUCAAAGAAUCCUCAUCAAGUAGUCGGCAUACCCGGCGUGCUUCACCGUGAAAGCGUAGCCAUUAUUGAUGCUGCCUUGGGAUGUUCCGACUGCAUGGUUGAUGGUACUCGACAGGUCGCCUUUCAUCACCUUGUUGCAGUAAGGGCAUCCGUAGCCCUUUCCGAAUCUAGGCCUCACAGCUUUCUCGGGCUCACCACUGUUCAGCUGCCUCAAUUUCUGCCUCCUGAAGAUCCUCUGGGUUUCUGGGUCGCUAUCGACGUCGUCACUUAGGACCUACAUGUAGUACAAAAUGUUGCGUAAGUAUAUUUAAUAUGAUAAUUCAGCAGUCACAUAGUCUAUGAAACAUAAUGUAAUUGAUGACAACGUAAAAUAUCUUCAAAUGACGUUGAAAAAAUAAAUGCAUAACUUAUUAGUUGCUACAUAAGCAACUAAAUGGGAUAGUACCAUAUAGUAAAAAAAAGAAGGAUCAACCAUACAUGUCGAAGAGAGCACUAGCAUUGCCACAUUUUGCCACACAUUUUUCCCAAGCUUGCCUAAGGUUAGUUCAUCAAAAUGAGAGCCACAAGUUGGCAAGCCGAAGGAACCUUGCCACACUUAUUGUGUGUAUGCCAUGUGGGACCCAAGUGUGGCCUGCCUAAGGUGUGGCUGGAACCAAACACUCAGUUAAGUUGGUCAAACUUGCCUAACCUUAGGUAUGUCAAUCUUUGGCAAAGUUAGUCACAAACCAAACAACACUUUAGUGCAACAAAAUUCACUUGUUACGUAAAAAUGCAUGAACUGAUGAUCUAACAUGGCAGAGCAGCAUACAUAUGUACUAAUGCAAAAAAAGACUUAUAACUUACAUGCAUGAUUAGAUAAAAUAGCUCGUGAGCUGUAUCUAUUUAGGGUUAGAAUUUUGUGUGCUUAUGAUGAUGGAUAUUGAAAGUCCCCAUGUUAUCGUCGUGGAAGUUUCCCCUGUUGAUCGAUACCCCACCCAUCAAUGUUCCUGAACCAUUCAACGUUCUUGGUAAAGUAGUUAAUUAUUAUGAAUUUUGACAAUAAGUGAUCCCAAAUGUUGUACUUACAAAAAAGGGUUUUUAUCAUUUAUACCACCAGUUGUGUCCCACAACUAAGUAUCACCACUAGGAAUUUCUACUACUAAAAAAAGCCAUCGCUUCGUUAGACACAUGCUUAAAAAUGCCACUGCACAUCAUUAUUGUGAUAUCAAAUCUAUCUUGACAUGCUAUAAUGGCAUCAAUACCUAUGGACCAACAUGCCAGCUCUCCCUCUAUCUCACUACAAUAAAGUGUGGGCCCACUUGAUCCCAUCAACGUUCUUAUUUUCCUGAAUUUUUUUUUGCUUACUUACUCCUCACAAGUGCGGCCACACUUAUCAUUGUGAGAUAGAGAGAACUGAAAUGUGGGCCUGGGAUUUUUUUGUCAUAUUGGAUGGUCAACAAGUUUUACAUGAAAAUAACAAUGUCUAAUGGCAUUAUUGAGCAAACAUCUAAUGGAACGAUGUCAUUUUUGAUACAUCUAAUGGCAUUUUUGAGUAAGCAUCUCACGAACCGAUGCCAUUUUUGAGCGGCUGUAACUUCUAAGGGAAAAACUGAGUAGUGGGAUACAACUGGUGGCAUAAAUGAUAAAAACCCUACAAAAGAACUAAUUAAAACAACUCAAGUAAAACAUUGAUGAUAUCCAAUUUCUUUCUAAAAUAGCCAUUGCUUAGAGAUAAUCAAUGUUUAAAAUCAUUGCCACAGCCAGUUAUGGAACAUUUAAACCAAAGAUUGAUCUAGUGCAACCAAAUAUGUACUCAACAUUUUAAUACCUUAUUUGCCUUGUACUGACCAGGGAAAACCUAGGAUAUUACAAAAUAAAUAAAUAAAUAAAUAAAGGGGAUAGACGACUAACCUCUUCUUCGUUCUCAUCGGCGACGACCACAGGUGGGGGCAGGGGAGGCAAGAACCGCGGCAGACGAACACCCGGCUGAGGCUGAGGAGCCACCACCUGCUUCGGUAGAGAAGCCAGAGGAGCUACCUGUUCUGGAUUAUUAGCAGAAUAAUUUAUAUAGGCCAAAAACUGACAUAUACAUGCCUCGAUAAAUGUAAUCUAGCUACACAGUUGUGGAUCAGGGAUUUCAUACUUGGGUGUUCAAAAAUUUAUAUUGCAAACUAAAACCACAACAAUAUUUUUCAAAUGGAGGGAGUAAUAUCUAAAAUUUUCAUGUGAAAUGAUUCUUUGUCCAUCGUAAUGAUAGUACUGAUAUGAAUGAUAGAAAAUGAAGAUUAUUUACUUCAUGACCAUAGAAUAUGACAUUUCAUAAACAAGGCAUGGUGUUGUUAUCCUUAAGUUGCAGAAAAUAUUUUCACAAUCACCUACGUAGGCAAUUCAAUUCCAAGGUCAAGCUACGUAUUUGUAUUAACGUAUUUGUAUUAGCACAGCCACCAAACCUAGGUGGAUUUAUUAGCAGAAUAAUUUAUCUAGACCAAAUAUUGCCUAUACAGGGCUCAACACAUGUAGCCUAACUAGUUACCUAACACAUCUAUAGAAUAUUGAUAUGGAGUCCAUCGACCAAAGAUAAAAAGAAACCCUGGACUUCCCCAAAAAUAGACAAAAGGACUGACCAGAGCACACCUAGGAUUUUACAAAACAAUUAAAGGAGAUAGAUGACUAACGUCUUCUUUGUUGACAUCGCCAACGACCACAGGCUCGGGCACAGGAGGUGUCACCCGCGGCAGAGGAGACACCUGCUCCGUCUGAGGAACCAGAGCAGCUACCUGGUCCCACAUAAAUAGCAGAAUACUUUAUAUAGAUCAAAAAAUGGCAUAUACAUGCCUAAACUAAUGCAACCUAGCAACAUAGCUUCGGACCCAGGAAUUCAAAGUUGGGUGUUCAAAAAUUUAUAUUGCAAAACAAAACCACAACAAUAUUUUUCAAACGGCUAAGAUCAAGUUGGCUUUUGAGUCCAGAAGGCAUUCUUCUGCCUCUGCUUCUGUUACUCAAGAAAUUAAAGAGUUAGGAGUAAUAUCUAAAAUGUUCAUGUGAAAAUAUUAUUUUUCCAUCAUACUGACAGUACACACAUGAAUGAUAGAAAAUGAAGAUUAUUUACUAUGACAUUUUCGUAAAAAAGGCAUGGUGUUGUUAUCCUUUACUUGCAGAAAAUAUUAUGCUGAAAAUAAGCAACCAAAUAAUAUAUUUCAAGUAGGGAUGAUAACAAGUCUAAAAUAUUACAGCCUAUGGUAAUUGGACUCCAGGAAUCAAGCAAUUGGUGUUGAGCAAAUUGAACGACAAAAAAUGUGUCAGCUGGAUUAAGCGUGAGAGGAUAGUUUUAUACAAAUUGACAUGAAGUUUAGUGCACAAACUACACCACUUUUAGUCCAUUUAGCAAUAAAAGAACCAUAUAUAAGAAAUUUCAGUCAAAAAAUUUCGGGUGGUUGGUAGAUCUAUCUUAAAAUUUGGCAUCAAAACAUUUUGGAUGCACGAGAGCCAUGGAUCAGAGUGGUUGGUAGAUCUUAAAAACAAGAUAACCUAUACAAUGAGGAGCCGACCCCCACACCCAUGCGCCCAUGUGGAUCCGCCCUUGAAACCUACCAGAUCUAACGAAUCUUGGUAUGGAUUUCAUAGAUGGAAGAAAAGCAGAAACCCUAGCCAUGCCCAAAAAUAGAUAAGGACUGAACAAGGAAACCUAGGAUAUUUCCUAAAAUAGGACUGACCUCUUCUUCGUCGUUGUCGCCGUCAACGUUGACCACGGGCUGUGGCAGAGGAGGCUGAUGGCGUGGCAGAGGAGGCAGAUGGCAUGGCAGAUGAGUCACCUGCUCCGGCGGAGGAGCCACCUGCUCCGGCAAAGGAGCCACCUGCUUCGGCGUAGGUGGCACCUGCACCAGAGCCUGGACGUGGUCGACGAUGUCAAGGCCGCCCUGCUGCUGGCUGGACACCUCGCCGGCGGGGAGGGGUUUCUCCAUGUGCAGCUUCGCCCGGCGCUUGGAUGCUUCGUGUGCCAUGGCGUCGGCCCCGGCGUCGGCCCUCCCUCCCAUGGUGCACUUGGGCAUCUCGACGGCGGAGGUGCAGCGGCAGGAAGGGAGCAGCGGUGGGAAGGGAGCAGCAGCGGGAUGGGCAGGCGAGUGGUAAGGCGUGAGAGGAGAAAACCCCCGUAUUUGUGGAUGGAUAAGAGGACGGGAAGAGGGGGGUGGCGAUGAGAUAAAUGCUAAUGGGGAAGCAGAGCAUGCUAUGGGGAAGCGGAGCCGUCGAUUUAUUCCUGGGCAGCCAAAAGGAGUUGUUGCCACGUUCACACCUCCCCGUGCAUUGUUCAAACCACCACGUCUUGGCACGUCAAAACGUAACUUUCACUUCUCACUAAAAUGAAUAGCCCGAUCGUGCACAACCAUGAUUUAGGGGUAAUGCAACUUCCCUUAAAAAAUUGUGUAAUGCAACUGCUCCCUCAUUACACAGAACAAAAUCAUACAGUGGGACAACUGAAUUUGUAGGCUUGUUUCAUCUGCACAUGUCAUGUUUUAUAUUGUCCUAAAAUAUGUUGUAAAACUUUACAAACAAUGGAAUGGCAAAUGGAUGUGACAAAACUUCGUCAGCAACCGCGCGGAUUCGUCUGCCAUAUAUCCGAUGUCCGGUACCGAGGAGGGGAAUGUUGAUCCACGCGAUGCCAUGUGUUUCGUCUAGACCCAUAUCAUGCACCCCGAGCCAACCGGGCCAAAACAUGUGCCGCUAGCCUUCUCGAUCCAAACAACGAGCUAGUGUCCACCAUGCACAGAGAUGCUCAUGUGGACAGGUUUGCUAGCACUAGUGAAUGACGUCGGAUCUCGGCGUGCAAUAUGUGUAGCCGCGUGUCUCUUUGGUGUGCCUGCCAUACCGAAGGGACUCGUCGAAGGUCCAACGAACCACGGUGGGGUCAAUGAUGGAUGUAUGGUGUGGGUCAACCUGGCUAAUGGUGCAUGGUUUGAGUUUAGGUGGCUAGGUUUGCAUGGCUGGGGGGCUAGAUGGCUAAUGAGCGCGCAUGUGUCAUCUGUACAUUGUCAAGGUUGAAUGGUGGUUGUCUACGUGGCCAUGCAUGCAUGCAUGGUGUGGGUCCAGUUUACGUGCGGCGCACCGGAUGUGCCUUGGUGGGUAGGGCCCACAACUUGCGGCCCAGAGUUUUGAAGCAGAUGAAGGGGCGGGCCCCGAUCUUCGUCCACAAGCAGGACCCUCUCGGUGGCUAGCUCCGGGAUGCGUUUUGGUCUCGUUUACACACAACCUAUGUGAAGGCUUAUGCGUGCCGCUCUUGAUGCUCAACCACACCCACACCGCGAAAGGUCCCAAGAAAUUUGGAUCCCUCAUGAAUUUGCACGGAUUAUAGCGGCGGAAGACGAGACCCGGCAUUUUUGCCCUUAACAAUGGCUCUGAGGCGGCCCUGCCAAUUGGUCGCACAUGGCACAUAUAUGGACCAGAGCUUAGCAUGGAACUGUCACCCCCAAUCCCUGUUGUGAUUUCCUGUGGCCGCGGUAUAGAUCAUGCAUUUCCGAGGAUACUACCCUAGAAAUGCGGCAAAUGUCCCGAAUAUGGCAAGCGCGGGCUCCGAGAAAGGCUGGGACCUUGCAUGCGCUUUUUGAUUGUUCUCCUUGACCCGAGAGAGAGCAUCGACGAAAAUGGAAGAACGGGCCUGCAUUCAUUGUGCAAACCGGACAUGUUACCUCAAGGUAGCUAGAUCCAAACCAUGCACCCCCGCCGUCUAGACCCACGUGGUGCACCACUUAGACACUAGACCCACAUCACUUAUGCCGGCCCCCAAGCCAACCAUUCCCCAUGUAGACUCAUAUGCCGCACCCCACAAAAUAGCUUAGCACAAGACUUCCACCCCGAUUUCCACAACAUGCACCACUACAUGUAAGUGUCCAAAAAAUGGACUAUCGCAUUAUCAACAUUUUUUUGCCAAAACAUGUAAGUUGUUUUUAAAUUGCUUGGAAAUAGCAAGGUUUCUGUUAAAUUAUAAUUUCAUUAAUUACACAUUAUAAUGUGCAUUUUUUGUCCCUCAAAAAGGGGUGCAUUCCUUUUUUGUAAACCCACAAAAUUACUUCCUUUCCCUCGAAAAAAUGAAUCCUUCUUCACCCUCUCAUGAUCACGUUCACGUUCACGGUGGCCUCACCCUAUAAUCUAGGAGUGGUCGAUCCAAUCUCCCCACGGGGGACAACUUCCACGCACUAUCUAUCUUGGUUGGUUGCAACCAUCUCGCCAUCACGGUUUUUUAUGGGAAAAUCACAUUCUUUUGUUUUUCCUUCCAAAGAUGUGUGGCGAAAAAACAUGGAACAAAAAUUGUAGAAGGCAUGGUGGGAUACGUGCACAUGUUGUCUUUUUGUACUACAAGUGCACUUGUUGGCAAGUUGCAUGUGCACGUGUCAUGUUUCAUUUUUUAUUGAAAAUUAUGUUGUACACCUUUACAUAGACGCUUGAAUUAUUGUUUUCGUAUGUUAAUAAUUCCUAAAUAUUGAAAUUUAGCAUGCACAUAACACAUGGCUUCUAAGCUUCGUCAGUGACCGCUUGGAUUCGUCUGGUAUAUGCCCGUUGUCUGGUAUUGGGCGGGGGAAUGUGGAUCCAUGCGAUGCCAUGCGUUUCAUCUGGACCCAUGUCAUGCACCCCCAGCCAAUCGGGCCGACAUCAUGUGCCGCUAGGUUUCUCGAUCCUAACCAUGCGCUAGUGUCCACCAUGGGUAGAGAUGCUCAGGUGCACAGGUUUGCUGGCACUAGUGAAUGACAUCGUAUCUUGGUGUGCAAUAUGUGUAGUCGCGUGUUGCUUUGACAUACCUGGCAUGCCGAGGGAAGGGACUCGUGUCGGAGGUCCAACAAACCGAGGUGGGGUCAAUAAUGGAUGGAUGGUGUGGGUGAACCUGGCAAACGAUGCAUGGUUUGAGUGAAGCUGGCUAGGUGUGCAUGGCUGGGGGCUAGAUGGCUAAUGAGUGCGCAUGUGUCUUGUGUACAUUGUCAAGGUUGACCGGUGAGUGUCUACUUGGCCACGCGUGCAUGCAUGGUGUGGGUCCAGUUGGCGUGCAGCGCACGGGACGAGCCUUGGUUGCUAGGGUCCACAUCUUGCGGCACAGAGUUCUGAAGUAGAUGAAGGGGCAGGCCCCGCACACCGUUCAUAGGCCAGACUCGUUUCCUCUCAAUGGAUAAUGGCUCCGAGGCGACCCUUCUCUUUGGUGGCACAUGGCCCAUAUAUAUGGACCAAAGAGCUUAGCAUGUGAUUGUUUCCCCAUUAACUGCUAUGAUUUCAUGUGGGCGCGGUAUAGAUCGUGAAUUCCCGAUGAUACUACCCUAGAAAUGCGGCAAUUGUCCCGAAUAUGGCAUGCGGGACCCAAAAAAGGCCGGGACCUAGCAUGCGCGUUUGGAUUGUUCUCCGUUGACCCGAGAGAAAGCACCAAUGAAAACGGAGGAACGGGCCCGCACUCAGUGCACAAACCGGAUGCGUUACCUCAAGGUAGCUAGAUCCAAACCAUGCACCCCCGCCGUCUAGACCCACGUGGUAAACCACUUAGACACUAGACCCACAUCACUUACGCCACCCCCCAAGCCAACCAUUCCCCAUGUAGACUCAUAUGCCGCACCCCACAAAAUAGCUUAGCACAAGACUUCCACCCCGAUUUCCACAACAUGCACCACUACACGUAAGUGUCCAAAAAAUGGACUAUCGCAUUAUCAACAUUUAUUUGCCAAAACAAGUAAGUUGUUUUUAAAUUGCUUGAAAAUAGCAAGGUUUCUGUUAAAUUAUAAUUUCAUUAAUUACACAUUAUAACGUGCAUUUUUUUGUCCCUCAAAAAGGGGUGCAUUCCUUUUUUGUAAACCCACAAAGUUACUUCCUUUCCCUCGAAAAAACGAAUCCUUCUUCACCCUCUCACGAUCACGUUCACGUUCACGGUGGCCUCACCCUAUAAUCUAGGAGUGGUCGAUCCAAUCUCCCCACGGGGGACAACUUCCACGCACUAUCUAUCUUGGUUGGUUGCAACCAUAUCGCCAUCACGGUUUUUAUGGGAAAAUCACAUUCUUUUGUUUUUCCUUCCAAAGAUAUGUGGCAAAAAACAUGGAACAAAAAUUGUAGAAGGCAUGGUGGGAUACGUGCACAUGUUGUCUUUUUGUACUACAAGUGCACUUGUUGGCAAGUUGCAUGUGCACGUGUCAUGUUUCAUUUUUUUAUUGAAAAUUAUGUUGUACACCUUUACAUAGAUGCUUGAAUUAUUGUUUUCAUAUGUUAAUAAUUCCUAAAUAUUGAAAUUCAGCAUGCACAUAACACAUGGCUUCCAAGCUUCGUCAGCGACCGCUUGGAUUCGUCUGGUAUAUGCCCGUUGUCUGGUAUUGGGCGGGGGAAUGUGGAUCCAUGCGAUGCCAUGCGUUUCAUCUGGACCCAUGUCAUGCACCCCCAGCCAAUCGGGCCGACAUCAUGUGCCGCUAGGCUUCUCGAUCCUAACCAUGCGCUAGUGUCCACCAUGGGUAGAGAUGCUUAGGUGCACAGGUUUGCUGGCACUAGUGAAUGACGUCGUAUCUCGGUGUGCAAUAUGUGUAGUCGCGUGUUGCUUUGACAUACCUGGCAAGCCGAGGGAAGGGACUCGUGUCGGAGGUCCAACGAACCGAGGUGGGGUCAAUAAUGGAUGGAUGGUGUGGGUGAACCUGGAAAACGGUGCACGGUUUGAGUGAAGCUGGCUAGGUGUGCAUGGCUGGGGGCCAGAUGGCUAAUGAGUGCGCAUGCGUCUUGUGUACAUUGUCAAGGUUGACCGGUGAGUGUCUACUUGGCCACAUGUGCAUGCAUGGUGUGGGUCCAGUUGAUGUGCGGCGCACGGGAUGAGCCUUGGUUGCUAGGGUCCACAUCUUGCGGCACAAAGUUCUGAAGCAGAUGAAGGGUCAAGCCCCUGAAAGCACAAGUGCUCCCUAGGUGGUUUUGGUAAUUAAUGUCAACAUAUCUCUUGUUGGACUAACACUUUUAUCUAGUAUAUUUCAGAUAAGUUCAACAAUGCAGUGGCAUGGACUAAAGGAUGUGGGAACUCCUUCAAGAUGCUAAGGACAAAGGAUUGGCUCAAGCUUCAAGCUCAAGACUCUUCAUUUUACAUUUCAGUGAUCCAAGAUCACAUUGAGUCUAUAGGAAAAGCCAAUACUAUCAAGGAGGGAUGAGGUGUUGCUUAAUGAGCCUCUUGCUUCAAGUGCUUAGUGAUAUGCUCCAAAUACCCUCAACUGCUUUCCCACUUCCACACAUAUGUCCUAAACCUAAAGUCAAACUCGGCCCCACUGAUUCUUUCUAUCCGGCGCCACCGAGUUUGGAUAUCUUAGCCACUGCCACAAACCCUAAGCAAAUCGGUUUCACCGAUAGGGAUCUUGGUCUCACCGAGAUGGGAUUGUAAUCUCUCUGUGUAUGUCCAUUAUCAAAAUCUGUCUCACUGAAUUUGAGCAAUCGGUACUACCGAGAUUACAAUGCAAACUUCUUGGUUGACUCAUUACCAAAAUCGGUCCCACUGAGUUUGAUAAUCGGUCCAACCGAGUUUGCCUGACCAAUUCCCUAGUUAGCUAAUUACCAAAAUCGGUCCUACCGAGUUUGUGUAAUCGGUCUCACCGAGAUUACGUUAAGCCCUAACCCUAACCAUAUCAAUCCUACCGAGUUGUAUUUCGGUCCCACCAAAAAUCCUAACGGUCACUAAAUUUGCUAAAUCGGUCCGACCGAGUUUCUCAAUUCGGUCCCACCAAGUUUGGCAAAUUGUGUGUAACGGUUAGAUUUUGUGUGGCGGCUAUAUAUACCCCUCCACCUCCUCUUCAUUCGUGGAGAGAGCCAUCAGACUAAACCUACACUUCCAACAUCCUAUUUCUGAGAGAGAACUACCUACUCAUUUGUUGAGGCCAAGAUAUUCCAUUCCUACCAUAUGAAUCUUGAUCUCUAGCCUUCCCCAAGUUGCUUUCCACUCAAAUCCUCUUUCCACCAGAUCCAAAUCCUAUGAGAGAGAGUUGAGUGUUGGGGAGACUAUCAUUUGAAGCACAAGAGCAAGGAGUUCAUCAUCAACGCACCAUUUGUUACUUCAUGGAGAGUGGUGUCUCCUAGAUUGGCUAGGUGUCACUUGGGAGCCUCCGACAAGAUUGUGGAGUUGAACCAAGGAGUUUGUAAGGGCAAGGAGAUCGCCUACUUCGUGAAGAUCUACCGCUAGUGAGGCAAGUCCUUCGUGGGCGACGGCCAUGGUGGGAUAGACAAGGUUGCUUCUUCGUGGACCCUUCGCGGGUGGAGCCCUCCGUGGACUCGCGCAACCGUUACCCUUCGUGGGUUGAAGUCUCCAUCAACGUGGACGAUAGCACCACCUAUCGGAACCACGCCAAAAACAUCCGUGUCUCCAAUUGCGUUUGAAUCCUCCAAAACCCUUCCCUUUACAUUCUUGCAAGUUGCAUGCUUUACUUUCCGCUGCUCAUAUACUCUUUGCAUGCUUGCUUGCUAUGUGUUGUGAAUGUUAAACUUGUGCCUAAACUCCACUCAAACUUAAAAGGGCUAAAAACUGCAACUUUGGUACUAAGUGUCUAAUCACCCCCCUCUAGACACCUCUUCUCAAGGUCCUACAAGUGGUAUCAGAGCAUUGGUCUCCAUUGCUUUGGUUUAAUCACCAUUGGAGGAAGAUGGAUGAGUCUACUUUGGGGAGUCUUAGACAUAGAGUGCCUAUUCUUGAUGGAGAGUAUUUUCAUGAGUGGAAAAAUGAGAUGCUUGUAAUCUUCAAUCAAUAUCAUUUGAACAAGUACAUUGCUAGUCCUUGUGCACCUUGUGUUGAUCCUAUGCAUCCUACCCUUGAUGAGUCUAUUGACAUGAUUAGGAAUGUUAGAACUGUUAAUCUUAUCACUAGAGGCUUGCCUAGAAACUUGAUUAUAAAACUGCCUACUCUUGAGUGUGCCUACACUAUAUGGAAAUUUCUUGAGGAACGAUUUCUAGAUUAUUCUUUGAAAAAUCUUGAUGAAAUUCUUCAUAAGUCUAUUGCCUUGAGUAAGAUGAAUACUAGUGAUCCUAUGUUUGGUGAUUGUCUAUUUGAGCUUACAAACCUUAUGCGUGCCAAAGGAAAUGUUGGUAUUAUUAGUGAUAUUAUUUCCGAAGCUAUAAAAAUUCAUAGACAAGAUCAUUGUCAAAAUCACUCUAACGAAUCACCCUCUCUAGGAUUUGAUCCACCACAUGACGAUGUUGAACAUGGAUACUAUGAUGAGGAUGAUGAUAGUGACUUCAAUCUUGAUGAUGCAAUGAGACAUUUUGGUCUUAUGGCAAAUCUUCGGGGAUAUAUGUCAGGAGGAAAGGAAUGGGUCCUUGAUAGUGGAUGUACCGAUCACAUGACCGGAGAUAAAGACAUGUUUCGUGAGCUUGCUGAUAAUGAUAGUCCUCGAAAGUAUGUCACUUUCGGUGACAACUCAAAGGGUAAGGUGGUUGGCCUUGGUAAGGUGGCCAUCUCACAUGAUAGCUCCAUACAAAAUGUCAUGCUCGUUGAAUCUCUUGGAUACAACUUACUUUCAGUAUCUAGACUUGCUGAUUUCAGUUUCAAUGUUUUAUUUACUGAAGUUGAUUGCCAAGUGUUUCGUCGAGACAAUCAUAAAAUGGUCUUUACCGGCAUACGUAGAGGUGAUCUAUACAUUGUUGAUUUCACUAAAAAGGCUCAACCUAAAACUUGCUUCAUUGCUAAAUCCUCAAAAGGUUGGUUAUCGCAUAGACGACUAGGUCACGUUGGCAUGAGAAACCUUGACAAUCUUAUUAAAGGGAAUCAUAUCCUUGGAGUUAACAAUGUCAUUUUUGAUAAGGAUAGACUUUGCAGUGCUUGUCAAGAAGGUAAACAGGUUGGAGGAAGGCAUCCCGUGAAGAACAUCAUGACCACAAAGAGGCCACUCGAGCUACUUCACAUGGAUCUCUUUGGUCCCAACUCUUACAAGAGUCUCGGUGGAAAUUCUUUUGGUCUAGUUAUAGUUGAUGAUUUUUUCAGAUUUACGUGGGUGUUCUUUCUCGAUGAUAAAUCGUAGGUUCAGAAGAUCUUCAAAAACUUCGCUAGGAAGGCCCAAAAUCAAUUUGAAGUGAAGAUCAAGAAGGUUCGCAGUGACAACGGAAUGGAGUUCAAGAACGCAAAUGUGGACACCUUUCUUGACGAAGAAGGGAUUUCACACGAGUUCUCGGCUACGUACACACCUCAACAAAAUGGAGUUGUUGAGAGGAAGAACCGGGCGCUCAUCAAAAUGGUGAGAACGAUGCUUGAUGAGUACAAGACGCCGAAGCACUUUUGGGCAGAAGUGGUUGAGACAGUUUGUCAUGCAACAAAUCACUUGUAUCUUCACAAGCUACUCGGCAAGACGGCAUACGAGCUCCUCACCAGUAACAAACCCCAAGUUGGAUACUUUCGAGUAUUUGGCUCAAAGUGCUACAUUCUUGAUAAGCAUCAUCGUUCUAAAUUUGCUCCUAAGUCCCAUGAAGGUUUCCUACUAGGUUAUGGCUCAAACUCUCACACAUACCGUGUCUACAACAAUUUCACCCGAAAGGUUGAAGAUACGGUAGAUGUGAAGUUUGAUGAAUCUAACGGCUCGCAAGUAGAGCAAUUGCCAAUUGAUGUAGGAGACAAAGAUCCUUCGGAAGCAAUCCAAGACUUGUCUAUUGGCAAGGUCCGUCCAACGGAGGUGAAGGAGAGUACCUCAUCUGUCCAAGUGGAAGCUUCUACUUCACGACAUGGUGAACCAAGAGUUUAUAUGGAAGCAUCCACAAGUGGGACACACCAAGGUGAAGGAAACGAGGAAGUGCAUCAAGAUGAACGUCAACAACCUCCUUCUCCACCACGACAAUAGAACGACAACGCCAACAAUGAAGAAGGCCAAGAAGAAGAAGAAGAUGAAGAAUAAGUUCAACCAAGAACCAAGCAAAAGCUUUCACGAGUUCGAGCAAGAAUUGCUAAAGACCAUCCCGUCGAGAAAAUCUACAAUGAUAUUCAAACCGGGAGAAUCACUCGCUCUAAAACUCGUUUAGCUAACUUUUGUGAAAACUAUUCUUUCAUCUCUAGCAUUGAACCUAUGAAGGUUGAAGAAGCAUUGGAAGAUCCGGAUUGGAUAAAUGCUAUGCAUGAAGAGCUACACAACUUUGAGAGGAACCAAGUUGGGACAUUGGUUGAGAAGCCCGACAACAACCACAACAUCAUUGGUACCAAAUGGGUGUUUCGCAACAAGUAAGAUGAAGAUGGACAAGUAGUUCGCAACAAAGCACAGCUCGUCGCCCAAGGCUACACACAAAUCGAAGGUAUGGACUAUGGUGAGACUUAUGCUCCCGUUGCUAGACUUGAGUCUAUUCGCAUCUUACUUGCCUAUGCUAAUCAUCAUGAUAUCACAUUGUACCAAAUGGACAUUAAAAGUGCUUUUCUAAAUGGUGAAAUAGAGGAGGAAGUUUAUGUUAAACAACCUCUCGGCUUUGUCAAUCCUAAGAAACCCAAUCAUGUUUACAAACUUCACAAAGCUCUUUAUGGUCUUAAACAAGCUCCUAGAGCAUGGUAUAAAUGCUUGACCAAGUUCCUUAUUGAAAAAGGCUUUGAAAUUGGGAAAAUUGAUUCUACUCUUUUUACUAAAAGGGUUAAUGGAGAAUUAUUUGUAUGCCAAAUUUAUGUUGAUGAUAUUAUAUUUGGUUCAACUAACCCUCAUUUUAGUGAAAAGUUUGGGAAGCCAGUGUCGGAGAAGUUUGAGAUGUCUAUGAUGAGUGAACUCAAAUUCUUUCUUGGGUUGCAAAUCAAGCAAACUAAGGAAGGUACUUUUGUCUCUCAAACAAAGUACACUAAGGACUUAUUCAAGAAGUUCAAUAUGCAAGAAUGCAAAGGUAUGUCUACACCCAUGCCUACUAGUGGACAUCUUGAUUUGACCAAAGAUGGUGAACCGGUCGAUCAAAAGGUUUAUCGCUCUAUGAUUGGUUCAUUGUUAUAUCUAUGUGCUUCAUGUCCCGAUAUUAUGCUAAGUGUGUGCAUCUGUGCACGAUGUCAAGCUGCUCCUAAAGAAUGUCAUCUUAAGGCUAUGAAAAGGAUAGUGAGAUACUUAAUACAUACACCAAAUUUUGGCAUUUGGUAUCCUAAGAGGGCCUCUUUUGAUCUUGUCGGCUACUCUGACUCAGACUAUGCCGGAGACAAGGUUGAUAGAAAGUCCACUUCGGGUACUUGUCAAUUUCUUGGUAGAUCUCUUGUGUCUUGGUCCUCCAAGAAACAAAACUCGGUAUCCUUAUCCACUGCCGAAGCGGAAUACAUUGCCGCUGGUUCAUGUUGUGCUCAAUUACUUUGGAUGACUCAAACUCUUAAAGAUUAUGGGAUAUAUGUGAAACAUGUUCCAUUGCUUUGUGACAAUGAAAGUGCUAUCAAAAUUGGUCAUAAUCCUAUGCAACAUUCUCGAACUAAGCAUAUUGAAGUUCGUCAUCAUUUCAUUCGAGAUCAUGUUGCUAAGGGUGACAUUGAUCUUAAGCAUGUUCGCACCGAAAAGCAAUUAGCGGAUAUAUUCACUAAACCUCUUGAUGAGAAAGUGUUUUGCAGGUUGAGAGGAGAAUUUAACAUCAUUGAUGCUUCAAACUUGGAGUAGAAACUCCAUUGGAUACAUGCAAGACAUGAGCUUAUGACUAAUCUUGAUAUUUCUCUUAUGAUGAAAAUCAUAUAUCUUGGAUAUAUUCGCAUCUUGCAUGUUAUCUAACCCAUGUAGGUACUUGGUUGAAUCAAAUUCCAUGAGAUUGUAAUCUACUCAUAUCUUGAGCAAUCUCUACAUCACCAAGUCUCUACACAAAGGUGGUUGAAGACAAGGAAGCACGAAACCAUUCAAACAUAUCCUCUGACAAAUUCUAUGUUAAGCUUCAUGAUUUUCAUUUUUGGAUACACAAGUGCUCUUCCUUGCAAGAACUAACCCAUGUAGGUAGAUGGACUCAAAUUCCAAGUGGUGCACCAAAUUCUUGAUGAGCUACAUCAACCUCGAGCAACUCACACAAGUUCAACUACAUGGACACCACCACCAACCAAGGUAUGUUAUUCAAUCUUAGAGAAGCUUUACUCCAAGUCAUGAGCUAAAGCAACUCGACAAGAUGUGAAUACAUCAAGAUGCUUAAUCGAAAAAUGGCAACCCCAUUUUGAUCUUAAAUGAUGAGUAUGACCUAUGAUCAAGUGAUCUCACUUGACUCCUAAGUCAAUAUACUCUAACGUAGGUGACUUCGUCGCCGACCAUCUCUAGAUGAAGUUCUCUUGUGUUUUCUUCUAUGUUUUUGCAUUUGUCUCAUGCAUAUUUGUUUCCCCUUUCAAAAAAAAACUUCAUCUAGAUUUCUUUCUUUUUAUUCUGCAUUUUAUGCAUCUAAUUCCUUGCAUAUCAUUCAGUUAAUUCCUUGCAAAUCUUUGUGAGAUCUUUCUAGUCUAGUGAGCUGAGGUGACAAGUGUUUUCUCUGCGAUGAACUCGGUUACACCGAUUUGUUAUUUUUAGUACAACCGAAAACUCUCGGUACCACCGAAGCAUACCACUCGGUGCCACCGAUUUCACAACAGGAAAAACAGUUUGCCACUUAAUCUGUGUUUCUUCUGAUCCAGCUCCACUCAAUGAAUCUUGUCCUCUAACAAGCAUCACAUUUUUAUCCAUUGCUUUAUGUUGUGACUCAAGGAUCAAACCCAUUCACGACAAACUCCAGAGGGAGAGGGAGAGAGAGAGAUUACAUCCUUAUCAAGCCCUUCUUCGAAAUUGAUGUCAAAGGGGGAGAGAGAGAUCACAUCAAAGCUUAUCAUUUUAGAGAGAGUAUCACCUUUUCAGGGGGAGAGAGAUCCUUCAGGGGGAGAGGGAGAUCUCUAGGGGGAGAGAAUACUAGUAGAAAGUAUUUCUCAAGGAUCCCAGAUGCUUGGUGUUCAAGAGGAGAGAUGCCACAUGUCUUCUUGAGGGGAAAGACAUGUUCAUAUGUGCUUACUUGCAUUAGUUUGCAUUAGCUCUAUUCAUUUAUAUCUUUCAGCUCUGAUUUUCUGUUCCCUAUCUUCUCCCAGUAUCCGAUGCUAGAUUCAUGGGGAGCAAGACAUCGAAAGAAAUCAUUUAAAUUCAUUGCAUAUCUUUACUCUUGGGGACAUGUCUAAUCAAAUGUGGUACUUAGUACUCACUUUCUACAUGUCAUCCCAGUCUUGGUAUUCUUGUGGUGUCUUUUGUUUACUCUGGCUAGUAGGUGCAUCUGUGUUAUCUAACCGUGUUUACACAGGUUCAUUCCAUCCUAAGCCAACUCAAGACUACAAGGUGAGUAUAUGCAUCACAAUCAUGCGUAUGAGGAAUUCUUGCUGAUGUACAUACUGUUUGCAAGAAGGACUCAUGGGCAUGAAGGUAUUUUUUUUGCUCUGAUGCAUAUGGCCAAGAUACAUGUAACACAUCGCCUGCUCUAUAAUGGUUAUGCUCUCACAUGCUUCUAUAUUUCAUAUUCACAUGAUUGCAUACAUGUAGGGGGAGCCUAUGCUUGUUACAUGUCUUUCCAAAGCUUUACUUGCUAUUUCUUAAAUCUUUAUCUAAAGCUUUGAUGUAUGUUGUCAUCAAUUACCAAAAAGGGGAGAUUGAAAGCACAAGUGCUCCCUAGGUGGUUUUGGUAAUUAAUGUCAACAUAUCUCUUGUUGGACUAACACUUUUAUCUAGUAUAUUUCAGAUAAGUUCAACAAUGGAGUGGCAUGGACUAAAGGAUGUGGGAACUCCUUCAGGAUGCUAAGGAUAAAGGAUUGGCUCAAGCUUCAAGCUCAAGACUCUUAAUUUUACAUUUCAGUGAUCCAAGAUCACAUUGAGUCUAUAGGAAAAGCCAAUACUAUCAAGGAGGGAUGAGGUGUUGCUUAAUGAGCCUCUUGCUUCAAGUGCUUAGUGAUAUGCUCCAAAUACCCUCAACUGCUUUCCCACUUCCACACAUAUGUCCUAAACCUAAAGUCAAACUCGGCCCCACUGAUUCUUUCUAUCCGGCGCCACCGAGUUUGGAUAUCUUAGCCACUGCCACAAACCCUAAGCAAAUCGGUUUCACCGAUAGGGAUCUCGGUCUCACCAAGAUGGGAUUGUGAUCUCUCUGUGUAUGUCCAUUAUCAAAAUCGGUCUCACCGAGUUUGAGCAAUCGGUACUACCGGGAUUAUAAUGCAAACUUCCUGGUUGACUCAUUACCAAAAUCGGUCCCACCGAGUUUGAUAAUCGGUCCAACCGAGUUUGCCUGACCAACUCCCUGGUUAGCUAAUUACCAAAAUCGGUCCUACCGAGUUUGUGUAAUCGGUCUCACCGAGAAUACGUUAAGCCCUAACCCUAACCAUAUAGGUCCUACCGAGUUGUAUUUCGGUCCCACCGAAAAUCCUAACGGUCACUAAAUUUGCUAAAUCGGUCCGACCGAGUUUCUCAAUUCGGUCCCACCGAGUUUGGAAAAUUGUGUGUAACGGUUAGAUUUUGUGUGGAGGCUAUAUAUACCCCUCCACCUCCUCUUCAUUCGUGGAGAGAGCCAUCAGACUAAACCUACACUUCCAACAUCCUAUUUCUGAGAGAGAACUACCUAGUCAUGUGUUGAGGCCAAGAUAUUCCAUUCCUACCAUAUGAAUCUUGAUCUCUAGCCUUCCCCAAGUUGCUUUCCACUCAAAUCCUCUUUCCACAAGAUCCAAAUCCUAUGAGAGAGAGUUGAGUGUUGGGGAGACUAUCAUUUGAAGCACAAGAGCAAGGAGUUCAUCAUCAACACACCAUUUGUUACUUCUUGGAGAGUGGUGUCUCCUAGAUUGGAUAGGUGUCACUUGGGAGCCUCCGACAAGAUUGUGGAGUUGAACCAAGGAGUUUGUAAGGGCAAGGAGAUCGCCUACUUCGUGAAGAUCUAUCGCUAGUGAGGCAAGUCCUUCGUGGGCGACAGCCAUGGUGGGAUAGACAAGGUUGCUUCUUCGUGGACCCUUCGUGGGUGGAGCCCUCCGUGGACUCGCGCAACCGUUACCCUUCGUGGGUUGAAGUCUCCAUCAACGUGGAUGUACGAUAGCACCACCUAUCAGAACCACGCCAAAAACAUCCAUGUCUCCAAUUGCGUUUGAAUCCUCCAAAACCCUUCCCUUUACAUUCUUGCAAGUUGCAUGCUUUACUUUCCGCUGCUCAUAUACUCUUUGCAUGCUUGCUUGCUAUGUGUUGUGAAUGUUAAACUUGUGCCUAAACUCCACUCAAACUUAAAAGGGCUAAAAACUGCAACUUUGGUACUAAGUGUCUAAUCACCCCCCCUCUAGACACCUCUUCUCAAGGUCCUACAGCCCCGCACACCGUUCAUAGUCCAGACCCGUUUCCUCUCAAUGGACAAUGGCUCCGAGGCGGCCCUUAUCUUUGGUGGCACAUGGCCCAUAUAUAUGGACCAAAGAGCUUAGCAUGUGAUUGUUACCCCAUUAACUGCUAUGAUUUCAUGUGGCCGCGGUAUAGAUCAUGAAUUCUCGAUGAUACUACCCUAGAAAUGCGGCAACUGUCCCGAAUAUGGCACAUGGAACCCAAGAAAGGCCGGGACCUAGCAUGCGUGUUUGGAUUGUUCUUCGUUGACCCGAGAGAAAGCACCGAUGAAAAUGGAGGAACGGGCCCGCACUCAGUGCGCAAACCGGAUGCGUUACCUCAAGGUAGCUAGAUCCAAACCAUGCACCCCCACCGUCUAGACUCAUGUGGCGCACCACUUAUGCAGUAGACCCACACCACUUACACCGGGCCCCAAGCCAACCAUUCCCCCCGGGUAGACUCAUAUGUCGCACACCACAAAAUAGAAUUAUCACAAGACUUCCACCCCGAUUCACAGGUUACUACCUUGUGCACCCCUAGCCAGCAUGAUACACUGCAUGCACCUAGAGCCACCUGGGCCCACAGCAUGCACCACUACACGUACGUGUCCACAAAACGAACUAACCCAUAAUCAAAUUUUUUUGCCAAAACAAUUUAGUUAUUUUUAUAAUGGCUUGAAAAUAGCAAGGUUUAUGUUAAAUAAUAAUUUCCUUAAUUACAAUAAGGUCCAUUUUGUAACCACACAAAAUUCCUACCUUCCCUCGAAAAAAAGAAUUCUUCUCUCACGAUCAUGAUGGCCUCACCCUAUUAUCUAGGAGUCGAUCCAAUCUCCCCACGGGGGCCAAGUUGCAUGCAGUAGAUAUUUUUUGUUGGUUGCAAAUUUCUCUCCAAAAUGGUUUCUUAUGAGAAAAUCACCUUAUAUUUUUUUUACUUCCAAAGACAUGUGAUGACAAAAGCAUGGGACAAAAUCGUAGGAGGCACGGUUGGAUACGUGCACAUGCUGUCUUUUUCUACUACAACUGGACUUGUUGGCAAAUUGCAUGUGCACGUGUCAUGUUUCAAUUUAUCUUGAAAAUUAUGUUGUACACAUUUACAUAGACGAUCGAAUUGUUGUUUUCAUAUGUUAAUAAUCCCUAAAUAUUGACCACGUGACACAUGUGGUAAGCAAUCCAAACAAUUCGAAAAAAAUCCCUAAAUAUUGAAUUUAAGCAUGCACCUAGAAAUUAUCAGUCAUAGAACCAACAUCUCUUUCGUAGAGAUUAAGUUACUUCCACAUUAAAUCUAAUACAACAAAUUCAAAGGAUCAACUUAAUACAUUAACAACACAUAAGGAUGUAGCCCAGGAAUCCAACGAGUAGAGAGAAAUGGAGGAACAAAAGCUGGAAGAAGAAGGAUCAGCCAGCAGCAGCACCAUCAGCCUCCUAGCCUCACAACUCCAGGUCUCCAGCCUUGUGAACUCCAGCUUUUUUCUGCGAAACACGAAUGGCAAAGUUGCUGUUACAGGUUAGGACUUAGUGAAAAUUACAGUUAUGCUGAAACAGUUAUAAUGACAAACAGUGCUAACAUGAUGGUUACAACAAGCAAACAAAACCAAGCUCACAAGUGCAACUUACUUUUAACAUCAAACAAUUAUAUUAACAUGGCCACUUUAGUGCAAGAUUUUACAAUGCAACAUAAACUUGUCAUAGCAACAAAAGGCAUGGCAUGAAAGUAUCGACAACAUAAUGAAAAUAAUUUUUAGGAAGCAUGGCCAUAGGAGUUAUAUUUUUAGUGGCAACCUUCAAGCAAAGUUGCAUAGUUUUAUAACAGAAAGGGCUGCUGUUAUUGGUAGAGGCACACUGAGGUUGGCUAGCUAUCGAGGAUGACCAGUGGGCCAGGGGCCACAUGACUAGGAGCAUUUGUGUGUGCGUGACUGCCAUGGGACCCGGAUGUUAGUGGCUUACUUUGAAAGCAAAAGGGGGGUUUAUAGUUUAGUGGGAACCAUCAAGCAAAUUCGCAAAGUUUUAUAGAUGACAGAUUUAUACUUGCUGAGAUGCACAGAGUAAAAUGAUGGCAUGUUGGAGGCAAUAAAUAAAUAUGCUACAUGGCUUGUCAUGGCAUCUAAUUGCACAGAAUGCUAGUACAAAUCAUGGAGAAUAAGACAUACAACAUGAGCAUCUCCAUAACAGCUGGUAGCUCUACCAAAAGCAAUCAACAACUCAAAAAAAAGGUUCAAAUAUAGUAUCAAGCACUUAAAAAUAGAAAGACACAUAACAAAUUUUUGGAGUAGAAGUGCAGGUGAACAUCAAAUACUACCACUACAACAGUACAAAUUUAGCCUAGGGUUCAUAUACAUCAUAAUCCAGCCCCCAAAAGCAUGUACUCAAUCACUACCACCACAACUGUAAGCACGAGCAGUAGGAAGAUUAGGAGUGGGGAAGCUUAUUCUAAAUAACAGUACCGCCGCCGUUCAGACGAGGGGAGCGGCGAGGGAAGCAUGGAGAACGGCGGGGAAGUGAUGUCGCGACCACUGUCCUCCUCCUCUUGCGCUUCAGAGUCAUCUCCGACUCGGUUGGAGGCUCCAUAAUCUGCAACGGCACCUUGUGCACCAUGGGUUCCUGAUCUAGUGGAUGCUCUACCUUGGAUCUGAACACCCACCACCUACGCCUAUCCCACGGGCUGGACGAAUUGGCCUACUCCAUCGCCCACAGAGGAUCUCGAUGUCGUGCCUCGGUUGUGCGGGCGGGGGAAAAAGCUUUUUCUUCUCCCUGGAUGUCAUUUCCCUCAAAGUGGCCAUUGCCGUCCAGUUCAACUACCUUAUGUUGUUAAACCAAGAAUGGAUCUCCAUCAACCUAGCCAUCUUGACCUGGUCGCCGCCGGUGAUCUCCACGAAGUCGGCGUUCUCGCCGCCGGCGAUCUGCUCCUCCAUCGAGGUUCUUGCGUGGAUGGAAGAAGGGGUUGGCAUGUGGAAGAGGAGACGAGCAAAGUUGCGGCCGCGAGAAGGAGGAGAAGGAGAGGGAGGAGAUGUCGCGGUUGUAAUGGAGAUGGGUGAGGGGAAGGACGAUGGCGGCGGCGGUUCUGCAUUGGAUGAGAGGGGAGGCGCGUGAUUGUUUUCUUCCUAUGACUUUUUUUAAGACAAUUUUUCCUAUGACUAAAAUGCCAGAGAUUAAAACGGUUCCAAAAAAGCCCAACCACUGUAAAACUUUGUAUAAUAAAUAUAGAUAAUUCAGGCCAGCCAAAGCCCACAACAUAAAUUAAUAGUACGCUUACAACUUAAAUAACACCAAGACAAAUAUAGAUAGAUAGAUUUUUUGGCUAAAAAAUGCUGGGUAACGUAGUAAUUUCAAAAAAAGUUCCUACACACACAAGAUCAUGGUGAUGCAUAGCAACGAGAGGGGAGAGUGUGUUCACGUACCCUCGUAGACCGAAAGCGGAAGCGUUAGAACAACGCGGUUGAUGUAGUCGUACGUCUUCACGGCCUGAUCGAUCAAGCACCGAAACUACGGCACCUCCGAGUUCUAGCACACGUUCAGCUCGAUGACGUCCCUCGAACUCCGAUCCAGCUGAGUGUCGAGGGAGAGUUCCGUCAGCACGACGGUGUGGUGACGAUCUUGAUGUUCUACCAUCGCAGGGCUUCGCCUAAGCACCGCUACAAUAUUAUCGAGGAGGACUAUGGUGGAGGGGGCACCACGCACGGCUAAAAGAUCAAGAGAUCAAUUGUUGUCUCCAAGGGGUGCCCCUCUCCCCGUAUAUAAAGGAGUGGAGGAGGGGGAGGGUCGUCCCUCUCUAUGGCCCUACUCCCACCGGGAGUAGGAUUCCCCUUUUGCUAGUAGAACUAGGAGCCCUUCCAAGUAGUAGGAGUAGGAGAGAAGGAAAGGUAAGGGAGAAGGAGAAGAAAGGAAGGGGGCGUCCCCCUUCCCUAGUCCAAUUCGGACUAGUCCAUAGGGAGGUGUGCGGCCACCCUUUGGGCCCUUUCUCUCCUUUCUCGUAUGGCCCAUUAAGGCCCAAUACGAAUUCCCGUAACUCUCCGGUACUCCGAAAAAUACUCAAAUCACUUAGAACCUUUCCGAUGUCCGAAUAUAGUCGUCCAAUAUAUCGAUCUUUACAUCUCGACCAUUUCAAGAUUCCUCGUCAUGUCCCCGAUCUCACCCGGGACUCCGAACUUCUUCGGUACAUCAAAACACAUAAACUCAUAAUACAACUAGCAUCGAAACCUUAAGCAUGUGGACCCUACGGGUUCGAGAACUAUGUAGACAUGACCGAGACACAUCUCCGGUCAAUAACCAAUAGCGGAACCUGAAUGCUCAUAUUGGCUCCUACAUAUUCUAUGAAGAUCUUUAUCGGCCAAACCGCAUAACAACAUACGUUGUUCCCUUUGUCAUCGGUAUGUUACUUGCCCGAGAUUCGAUCGUCGGUAUCUCAAUACCUAGUUCAAUCUCGUUACCGGCAAGUCUCUUUACUCGUUUAUGUAAUGCAUCAUCCUGUAACUAACUCAUUAGCUACAUUGUUUGCAAAGCUUAUAGUGAUGUGCACUACCGAGAGGGCCCAGAGAUACCUCUCCGAUAAUCGGAGUGACAAAUCCUAAUCUCGAAAUACGCCAACUCAACAUGUACCUUCGGAGACACAUGUAGAGCUCCUUUAUAAUCACCCAGUUACGUUGUGACGUUUGGUAGCACACAAAGUGUUCCUCCGGUAAACGGGAGUUGCAUAAUCUCAUAGUCAUAGGAACAUGUAUAAGUCAUGAAGAAAGCAAUAGCAACAUACUAAACGAUCAAGUGCUAAGCUAACAGAAUGGGUCAAGUCAAUCACACCAUUCUCCUAAUGAUGUGAUCCCGUUAAUCAAAUGACAACACAUGUCUAUGGCUAGGAAACUUAACCAUCUUUGAUUCAACGAGCUAGUUAAGUAGAGGCAUACUAGUGACACUUUGUUUGUCUAUGUAUUCACACAUUUACUAAGUUUCCGGUUAAUACAAUUCUAGCAUGAAUAAUAAACAUUUAUCAUGAAAUAAGGAAAUAAAUAAUAACUUUAUUAUUUCCUCUAGGGCAUAUUUCCUUCAGUCUCCCACUUGCACUAGAGUCAAUAAUCUAGUUCACAUCACCAUGUGAUUUAACACCAAUAUUCACAUCUGUAUGUGAUUAACACCCAUAGUUCACAUCGUCAUGUGACCAACACCCGAAGGGUUUACUAGAGUCAAUAAUCUAGUUCACAUCGCUAUGUGAUUAACACCCAAAGAGUACUAAGGUAUGAUCACGUUUUGCUCGUGAGAGGAGCUUAGUCAAUGGGUCUGUCAUAUUCAGAGCCGUAUGUAUUUUGCAAAUAUUCUAUGUCUACAAUGCUCUGCACGGAGCUACUCUAGCUAAUUGCUCCCACUUUCAAUAUGUAUCCAGAUUGAGACUUAGAGUCAUCUGGAUUGGUGUAAAAGCUUGCACCGAUGUAACUCUUUACGACGGGCUCUUUUAUCACCUCCAUAAUCGAGAAAUAUUUCCUUAGUCCUCACUAAGGAUAUUCUUGACCGCUGUCUAGUGAUCUACUCUUAGAUCAAAAUUGUACUCCCUUGCCAAACUCAGAGCAAGGUAUACAAUAGGUCUGGUAUAUAGCAUAUCAUACUUUAUAGAACCUAUGACUGAGGCAUAGGGAAUGACUUUUCAUUCUCUUUCUAUUUUCUGCCAUAGUCGGGUUUUGAGUCUUACUCAACUUCACACGUUGCAACACAGGCAAGAACUCCUUAUUUGAUUGUUCCAUUCUGAAUUACUUCAAAAUCUUGUCAAGGUAUGUACUCAUUGAAAAAUAUUAUCAAGCGUCUUGAUCUAUCUCUAUAGAUCUUGAUGCUCAAUGUGUAAGCAGCUUCACCGAGGUCUUUCAUUGAAAAAAACCCUCUUAUUCAAGUAUCCUUUUAUGCUAUCCAGAAAUUCUAUAUCAUUUCCAAACAACAAUAUGUCAUCUACAUAUAGUAUUUAGAAAUGCUACAGAGCUCCCACUCACUUUCUUGUAAAUACAGACUUCUCCAAAAGUCUGUAUAAAACCAUAUGCUUUGAUCAACUCAUCAAAGUGUAUAUUCCAACUCCGAGAUGCUUGCACCAGUCCAUAGAUGGAUCGCUGGAGCAUGCACACUCUGUUAGCACCUUUAGGAUUGACAAAACCUUCUGGUUGUAUCAUAUACAACUCUUCUUUAAUAAAACCAUUAAGGAAUGCAGUUUUAACAUCCAUUUGCCAGAUUUCAUAAAAUGUGGCAAUUGCUAACAAGAUUCGGACAGACUUAAGCAUCGCUACAGUUGAGAAAAUCUCAUUGUAGUCAACACCUUGAACUUGUCGAAAACCUUUUUGCGACAAGUCGAGCUUUGUAGAUAGUAAGACUACUAUCAACGUCUGUCUUCCUCUUGAAGAUCCAUUUAUACAAUAUGGCUUGACGAUCAUCGGGCAACUCCACCAAAGUCCACACUUUGUUCUCAUACAUGGAUCCCAUCUCAAAUUUCAUGGCCUCAAGCCAUUUUGUGGAAUCUGGGCUCAUCAUUGCUUCCUCAUAGUUCAUAGGUUCAUCAUGGUCUAGUAACAUGACUUCCAGAACAGGAUUGCCGUACCACUCUGGUGCGGACUGUACUUUGGAAGAUCUACGAGGUUUUGUAGUAACUUAAUCUGAAGUUGCAUGAUCAUCAUCAUUAGCUUCCUCACUAAUUGGUGUAGGAAUCACUGGAACUGAUUUCUGUGAUGAACUACUUCCCAAUUCGGGAGAAGGUACAAAUUACCUUAUCAAGCUCUACUUUCCUCCCACUCACUUCUUUCGAGAUAAACUCCUUCUCUAGAAAGGAUCUAUCUUAGCAAUGAAUGUUUUGCCUUCGGAUCUGUGAUAGAAGGUGUACCCAACAGUUUCCUUUUGGUUAUUUUAUGAAGACGCACUUCUCCGAUUUGGGUUUGAGCUUAUCAGGAUGAAACUUUUUCACCUAAGCAUCACAACCCCAAACUUUAAGAAACGACAGCUUAGGUUUCUUGCUAAACCAUAGUUCAUAUGGUGUCAUCUCAACGGAUUUAGAUGGUGCCCUUUUAACGUGAAUGCAGCUGUCUCUAAUGCAUAACCCCAAAACGAUAGUGGUAAAUCGGUAAGAUACAUCAUAGAUCGCACCAUAUCCAAUAAAGUGCGGUUACGACAUUCGGACACACCAUUACGCUGUGUUGUUCCAUGUGGCGUGAACUGUGAAACUAUUCUACAUUGUUUAAAAUGAAGGCCAAACACGUAGCUCAAAUAUUCAUCUCUACGAUCAGAUCAUAGAAACUUUAUUUUCUUGUUACGAUGAUUUUUCACUUCGCUCUGAAAUUCUUUGAACCUUUCAACUAUUUCAGACUUAUGUUUCAUCAAGUAGAUAUAUCCAUAUCUGCUCAAAUCAUCUUGUGAAGGUCAGAAAAUAACGAUACUUGCCACGAGCAUCAACACUCAUUGGAUCGCAUACAUCUGUAUGUAUUAUUUCCAAUAAGUCAGUAGCUCGUUCCAUUGUUCCUGAGAACGGAGUUUUAGUCAUCUUGUCCAAAAGGCACGGUUCUCAAGCAUCAAAUGAUUCAUAACCAAGUGAUUCCGAAAAUCCAUCUUUAUGGAGUUUCUUCAUGCACUUUACACCGAUAUGACCCAAACGGCAGUGCCACAAAUAAGUUGCACUAUCAUUAUUAACUUAGCAUCUUUUGGCAUCAAUAUUAUGAAUAUGUGUGUCACUUCGAUCGAGAUCCAACAAACUAUUUUCAUUGGGUGUAUGACCAUCGAAGGUCUUAUUCAUGUAAACAGAAUAACAAUUAUUCUCUAACUUUAAAUGAAUAAUAGUAUCACAAUAAACAUGAUCAAAUCAUAUUCAUGCUCAACGCAAACGCCAAAUAACAUUUAUUUAGGUUUAACACUAAUCCCGAAAGUGUAGGGAGUGUGCGAUGAUGAUCAUAUCAAUCUUGGAACCACUUCCAACACACAUCGUCACUUCACCCUCAACUAGUCUCUGUUUAAUCUGUAACUCCUGUUUCGAGUUACUAAUUUUUAGCAACCGGACAAGUAUCAAAUACUCAGGGGCUACUAUAAACACUAGUAAGGUACACAUCAAUAACCUGUAUAUCAAAAUAUACCCUUGUUCACUUUGCCAUCCUUCUUAUCCACCAAAUAUUCAGGGCAUUUCCGCUUCCAGUGACCAUUUCCUUUGCAGUGUAAGCACUCAGUUUCAGGAUUUGGUCUAGCUUUGGGCUUCUUCGCGGGAGUGACAACUUGCUUGCCAUUCUACUUGAAGUUCCCUUUCUUUCCCUUUGCCCUUUUCUUGAAACUAGUGGUUUUGUCAAUCAUCAACACUUGAUGCUCUUUCUUGAUUUCUACCUUCAUCGACUUUAACAUCACUAAGAGCUUGGGAAUCGUUUUCGUCAUCCCUUGCAUACUAUAGUUCAUCACGAAGUUCUAGUAACUUGGUGAUGGUGACUAGAGAACUCUGUCAAUCACUAUCUUAUCUGGAAGAUUAACUCCCACUUGAUUCAAGUGAUUGUAGUACCCAGACAAUCUGAGCACAUGCUCACUAGUUGAGCGAUUCUCCUCCAUCUUUUAGCUAUAUAACUUGUUGGAGACUUCAUAUCUCUCAACUCGGGUAUUUGGUUGAAAUAUUAACUUCAAUUCCUAGAACAUCUCAUAUGGUCCAUGACGUUCAAAACAUCUUUGAAGUCUCGAUUCUAAGCCGUUAAACAUGGUGCACUAAACUAUCAAGUAGUCAUCAUAUUGAGCUAGCCAAACGCUCAUAAUGUCUGCAUAUGCUCCUGCAAUAGGCCUGUCACCUAGUGGUGCAUUAAGGACAUAAUUCUUCUGUGCAGCAAUGAGGAUAAACCUCAGAUCACGGAUCCAAUCCGCAUCAUUGCUACUAACAUUUUUCAACACAAUUUUCUCUAGGAACAUAUGAAAAUAAACAUAUGAAAGCAACAACGCGAGCUAUUGAUCUAUAACAUAAUUUGCAAAAAACUACCAGGACUAAGUUCAUGAUAAAUUUAAGUUCAGUUAAUCAUAUUACUUAAGAACUCCCACUUAGACAGACAUCUCUCUAGUCAUCUAAGUGAUCACGUGAUCCAAAUCAACUAAACCAUGUCCGAUCAUCACGUGAGAUGGAGUAGUUUUCAAUGGUGACAUCACUAUGUUGAUCAUAUCUACUAUAUGAUUCACGCUCAACCUUUCGGUCUCCUUGUUCCGAGGACAUAUCUGUGUUCUAGGCUCGUCAAGUUUAACCUGAGUAUUUCGCAUGUGCAACUGUUUUUGCACCCGUUGUAUUUGAACGUAGAGCCUAUCACACCCGAUCAUCACGUGGUGUCUCAGCACGAAGAACUUUUGCAACGGUGCAUACUCGGGGAGAACACUUCUUGAUAAUUUGUGAGAGAUCAUCUUAAAAUGCUACCGUCAAUCAAAGCAAGAUAAGAUGCAUAAAGGAUAAACAUCACAUGCAAUCAAUAUAAGUGAUAUGAUAUGGCCAUCAUCAUCUUGUGCUUGUGAUCUCCAUCUCUGAAGGACCGUCGUGAUCACCAUCGUCACCGGCACGACAGCUUGAUCUCCAUCGUAGCAUCGUCGUUGUUUCGCCAUCUAUUGCUUCUACGACUAUCGCUACCACUUAGUGAUAAAGUAAAGCAAUUACAGGGCACUUGCAUUUCAUACAUAAAGCGACAACCAUAUGGCUCCUGCCAGUUGCCGAUAACUCGGUUACAAAAUAUGAUCAUCUCAUACAAUAAAAUAUAGCAUCACGUCUUGACCAUAUCACAUCACAACAUGCCCUGCAAAAACAAGUUAGACGUCCUCUACUUUGUUGUUGCAAAUUUUACGUGGCUGCUAUGGGCUGAGCAAGAACCGUUCUUACCUACGCAUCAAAACCAUAACGAUAGUUCGUCAAGUUAGUGCUGUUUUAACCUUCGCAAGGACCGGGCGUAGCCACACUUGGUUCAACUAAAGUUGGAGAAACUGACACCCGCCAACCACCUGUGUGCAAAGCAUGUCGGUAGAACCAGUCUCGCGUAAGCGUACGCGUAAUGUCGGUCCAGGUCGCUUCAUCCAACAAUACCGCCGAACAAAAGUAUGACAUGCUGGUAAGCAGUAUGACUUGUAUCGCCCACAACUCACUUGUGUUCUACUCGUGCAUAUAAUAUCUACGCAUAAAACCUGGCUCGGAUGCCACUGUUGGGUAACGUAGUAAUUUCAAAAAAAAAUCCUACGCACACGCAAGAUCAUGGUGAUGCAUAGCAACGAGAGGGGAGAGUGUGUCCACAUACCCUCGUAGACCGAAAGCGGAAGCGUUAGAACAACGCGGUUGAUGUAGUCGUACGUCUUCACGGCCCGACCGAUCAAGCACCAAAACUACGACACCUCCGAGUUCUAGCACACGUUCAGCUCGAUGAUGUCCCUCGAACUCCGAUCCAGCCGAGUGUUGAGGGAGAGUUCCGUCAGCACGACGGCGUGGUGACGAUCUUGAUGUUCUACCGUCGCAGGACUUCGCCUAAGCACCGCUACAAUAUUAUCGAGGAGGACUAUGAUGGAGGGGGGCACCGCACACGGCUAAGAGAUCAAGGGAUCAAGUUUUGUCUCCAAGGGGUGCCCCUCUCCCCGUAUAUAAAGGAGUGGAGGAGGGGGAGGGCCAGCCCUCUCUAUGGCCCUACUCCCACCGGAGUAGGAUUCCCCUUUUCCUAGUAGAACUAGGAGCCCUUCCAAGUAGUAGGAGUAGGAGAGAAGGAAAGGGAAGGGAGAAGGAGAAGAAAGGAAAGGGGCGCCCCCCUUCCCUAGUCCAAUUCGGACUAGUCCAUGGGGAGGGGUGCGGCCACCCUUCGGGCCCUUUCUCUCCUUUCCCGUAUGGCCCAUUAAGGCCCAAUACGAAUUCCCGUAACUCUUCGGUACUCCGAAAAAUACUCGAAUCACUCGGAACCUUUCCGAUGUCUGAAUAUAGUUGUCCAAUAUAUCGAUCUUUACGUCUCGACCAUUUCGAGACUCCUCGUCAUGUCCCCGAUCUCAUCUAGGACUCCGAACUCCUUCGGUACAUCAAAACACAUAAACUCAUAAUAUAAUUGUCAUCGAAACCUUAAACGUGUGGACCCUACGGGUUCGAGAACUAUGUAGACAUGACCGAGACACAUCUCCGGUCAAUAACCAAUAGCGGAACCUGGAUGCUCAUAUUGGCUCCUACAUAUUCUACGAAGAUCUUUAUCGGUCAAACCGCAUAACAACAUACGUUGUUCCCUUUGUCAUCAGUAUGUUACUUGCCCGAGAUUCGAUCAUCGGUAUCUCAAUACCUAGUUCAAUCUUGUUACCAGCAAGUCUCUUUACUCGUUAUGUAAUGCAUCAUCCCGUAACAAACUCAUUAGCUACAUUGCUUGCAAGGCUUAUAGUGAUGUGCAUUACCGAGAGGGGCCAGAGAUACCUCUCCGACAAUCGGAGUGACAAAUCCUAAUCUCGAAAUAUGCCAACUCAACAUGUACCUUUGGAGACACCUGUAGAGCUCCUUUAUAAUCACCCAGUUACAUUGUGACGUUUGGUAGCACACAAAGUGUUCCUCCGGUAAAUGGGAGUUGCAUAAUCUCAUAGUCAUAGGAACAUGUAUAAGUCAUGAAGAAAGCAAUAGCAACAUACUAAACGAUCAAGUGCUAAGCUAACGGAAUGGGUCAAGUCAAUCACACCAUUCUCCUAAUGAUGUGAUCCCGUUAAUCAAAUGACAACACAUGUCUAUGGCUAGGAAACUUAACCAUCUUCGAUUCAACGAGCUAGUCAAGUAGAGGCAUACUAGUGACACUUUGUUUGUCUAUGUAUUCACACAUGUACUAAGUUUCCGGUUAAUACAAUUCUAGCAUGAAUAAUAAACAUUUAUCAUGAAAUAAGGAAAUAAAUAAUAACUUUAUUAUUGCCUCUAGGGCAUAUUUCCUUCAAAAAAGAUAGAUAGAUAGAUAGAUAGAUGGCCGCCGCUUCUCCACUAGGCUCCUCCUUGCUCCUCCUCCGGGCGCCCUUCACUGCUCCUCCGCGGUGUUGUUGAUGGGGUACGGCAGAGUGUGCAUGCGCUCGUCGGUGGGGAAGACGUUGUCGUAGUCCGUGAACAUGUUACGUGUGGUGAAAGCUAUGAACUCGUAGCCACAUCAGAACACGCGGCCGAGGAGGUAGAACGCGUCGAAGGUGUUGGUGAAGUGGGCAAGGAUAGCAACCACAACCCCAUUGUGGAUGACCUCCUCGACUCGAUACAUCCUUGGAGAUCCCCGAGGGAGGUGCCCGUAGCCGGCCCCAAGGAAGAAGUCUGUGAACCCCCUUGCGCCCCUCCACCUUGACAUCACCCACACACGAAGGGUGCUCUCGACGUACACCCCGGCAGGGUAGAGCAUCUCCGGCACGGUGGGGGGGGGGAAGCGGUAGGUUGGCCCGGUGUACUACAUGGCUGCGGCGGGCUGGUUCUUGGGGCUGUUUGUGGUGAAGAAGAAGAAGGGAAGGCGCAAAAUGCAGGUGGGAGAGUAUGGGAAUGGAUGAAGGGUGUGAGAGGAAGAGGAACAUGAUAGGUGGCUUAAAUAGCCACCGUGGCAGUAAUGGGGUCAAAUGUGAACAAAUUUUCCACCCACCGCGCCAUCGGGAGUGUACACGCGUGGGAAACUGUAGUGUGAAUCAAAACGAGAAGUUUAAGUGCUGCCCUAUGUGCCGUCGGUCGGGUUAACCGGGGACGGCUCUGCGGCGCAUGCUCCUUCGCGUAUGUGCACGCAUGCAACGUAGGCUGAAGCGGACGCAUGCAUGCAACCGCAUGCAACGUAGGCUUGCUCGGGCGCAUGCAACGGCGGCGGACAUCGCUCGGUCCAACGGGUGGGCUUCUUUACACAGCCCAACGGCACGCAUGCAUGGCAGCCCACCCUCGAGCGCAGAAAAAAAUAGGCGCAGAAAAAAACGUAAGUAUUAUAUGAUUUAUCGACGCGAAAGCCCUAGAUAAUCCUUAGAACGUCAAAAAGCUACGGAACUUGGCAAUGAUACUAGUCAUGUUGGUACAAGGUUGUUGGUCCACUUCAAGGAUGCCGACAAAAACAUGCUUCGAGACGGACCCUUCCCGUCCCGAAAGGCCUCCCAUGAAGCAGGUUCAGAAUGACACCGAAUUUUGCCAGGAUGUAAGUCCAAUGAGAUCAACACUUGUUCAUGUUGGCUAAUGUGGCACUGACCGUCGAAGGAGAUAAAGAUUGAUACUUGUCAUGUGGGCCCAUAUUUUUUUUACGUUUGUUGUCGAUAGAACACAAAAAACAAACAUGACUAUAUGCUUUUAGGUCUUCACCCUCCCCAAUUUGUUGGCCAACUCAGCAGGUUUUGCCUUAAGGUGCCACCUCUUUCUGUAAGCUGCAAUUGCUGUGGUUUUGGAAUAAUGGUUCUCUUUCUUGCAGAACGGGCAUUUAUAGCGACCGUUACACCGGUACACAAUCUUUGCAGCCAUGAGCCACUUGAAGAUUUUCUUUCUGAGAGCUUCCCUCAGCUGUAGGUAGUUCUCCCAUUCUUCCAAAUCUGUAAUCUGGUAUUAGAAGAAAAACAAUCUCAUGCCAGCGAAUUGUACAUUAUAUCAAAGGCAGGCAUAAAUGGAUUGUUUUUUCUUUGUAUUGGUUUCCUAAAACUUUGGUUAUAUGAAAGAAAGGCAUAAAAUGGAAGACAAAUGAUCCAUUCAUCUAAAUUUGCAAACCCUAGGACUGAUAACCGUACGAUCAAUCAAAAAAAGGCGAACAGUACGAUUGUCUAUACGAAUAGCGAGGAAUAACAAGAGAGUAAUUUAUGGGGUUAACCUCGAGAAGGAAAAUUCUAGGGUUAAUAUCUGCAGACACUAACCGAUUCGUCGUCGUUGGUGCUGUGUUGGACCAGCUGCGGCUGCGAAUCGGCGGAGACGAUGUCCUUGUCGACCAGUUCCUUCAUGGGGUCCACAUCCGUCGCACGGAGCUCACCAGCCACGCCCCUCCCCCGACAGGUAGGAUCAUCCUCGCCGGAAAGAAUGUGGUCUUUUUGGCGGUGGCUAGUAGUGGGCGGCGAUGAAGACGUGGGUGGAUAGGCAGAGGCGAUCGAAGGCUGGAGGCGGGAGCGAGAUUUGUGGAGUGAAAAUUCAAUUUGUUUGGGAGAGAGAGGUCAAGGCCUCGCACAAUUCGUCACUUUUGAAAUUUAGGUAGAAACAUGCACGUAUACGGCAUCGUGCACAUCCAGAGAUUUGCCCGAACCAACCAAUCAACCAACCAAGCAAAAGAAAAAGUGCACAAUGUCGGUCCACAAACGUGGCAACAUAAACCAAACACCAAAAUGGUGUGUUAAAAAACAGCAAAAUAGGAGGGACAUUUUUUUGUUUUGCGCAAUACUACUAAAUACUAGAAGGGAGAACUACUGAAAAAAUACUACUAGAAGGGACAGUUGGCACAUUUAAUUUCACAUGGCAUCUAGCUUUUUUGUUCAUCGCUAGCUAUGUUGUACCGAUUAGGUAAAAUGAAUGGAUAAUUAUAAAACCCUGGCUAUUGUCAAGGUUUAUCGGUGUGUGUCUACGUGGCCAAGUGUGCUUGCACGGUGUUGGUCCAGGUGAGUGUGAUGCAUGGGACGGGCCUUUGUGGUUAGGGCCCACAUGAAGCAGCACCGAAUUUUGAGGAAAAUGAAGGAACGAGCCCCACACACCGUCCGCAUGCCGGACUUGUUCCCUCCCAUUGGCUAGAUCCAACAUGUGAUAUGGCCUCGUUUACACUUACCCCGCGUGAGGGUUUAUGCAUGCCCCUCUUGGUGUUUGACCAUACCCUUCAUGGGUCAUAUGAUGAGACCACGCCAGGCCCCGUGAUGCACCGCCUAGGCACAAACCGGACGCGUUACCUCUCGGUAGCUAGAUCCAAACCAUGCACGCCCGCUGUUUAGGCCCAAGUGGAGACCCGCGACACUUGUGCCAGCCCCCGAACCAUGCAUCCCCGCUGUGUAGACUCAAAUGUGGCCAUGUGUGCAUGCAUUUUGUGGUUCCAGCUGAGUGCAAUGCAUGGGACGGACCUUGGUUACUAGGUCUAACAUCACGCGGCAACGAGAUUUGAGGCAAAUGAAGGAAUGGGCCCCGCACUCCCUUCACAGGACGGACGCAUUCCCACUCUAUGGCUUGAUCCAGCAUGGGAUAUGGCCCCAUUUGCCCACAGCCUAUGUGAGGUCCUACACAUGCCGCUCUCGAUGUUUUACCACACCCUCUAGGGAUUGUAUGAUUACACUUGCGCUAGGUCCCGUGAAUUUUCGGCCCCUCGAUAAUUUGCAUGGAUUAUAACGGCAGCUGAUGAGCAUCAUAGCCUAGAGAACGGCGUCGAGGAACCCCACCCUUUGGUAGCAUAUGGUGCAUAUAUGGACCAAAGAGCUUAACAUGGGGCUUUCAUCCCAAUCCUUGCUAUGAUUUCAUGUGGCCUCCGUAGAUCUUGAACUUUCGAUGUUACAAUCCUAGAAAUGCGGUAAAUGUCCCGAAUAUGGGAGGGAGGAGGGGGGAGGAGAAAGGCCACGCAAUAAACUAUCCCCAUAAUUUUAUGUUUGUUUUAUCUGGCAAGACAAACAAGUUUUUAAAAUAAGGAUUUUAAGCAUGUUUUAAUAAGGAUUUUAUAAUUUCACAUUAUAAGGUGCUUAUUUUUUCCUAAAACAAAGGUGUUGUAAACGCACAAAGCUCCACAUUGAGCCUCUCACCAUCACGUUCACGUUGAACUCACCCUAAAAUGAAGAGAGGUAGAUCGAAUCUCCCCACGGGGGGAAACCUCCACCUAGUAGCUAAAUAUGGUUAGUUGAGAAUUUCUCCCCAAGUCGUUUUUUGAGGCAAAAUCACAUUCUUUUUUCCCUCCAAUAUUGUGGCGAAAUACAUGGAAGAAAAAUCGUGGGAGGCACGGUGGAACGAGUGCACAUUUUCCCCCCUCCAAAAGUGCACUAGUUGCCAUAUUUCAUGUGAACGUGUCACCUGUACAAACAAUUGAAUUGUCAUUUUUAUUUUGUUAACAAUUCCUAAAUAUUGAAUUUCAGCAUGCACCUACCCCAUGUCAGUUAGGUCAAAUUUGUUUUAUCCAAGCUCCACCAGCAACUGUGCAGAUUCUUGUACCAUGCACUUGCUGCUCCGGGCCUCUGGCGUCCGGUACCGGACAGGGGAAUCUAGAUGUGAUGCAAUACAAUUCAUGUUGACCCAUAUCAUGCACCCUUAGCCAACCAGGCCGACAACAUGCACCACUAGCCACCUCGAUCUAGACCAUGCGGUAGUGUCCACGAUGGGCAAAGAUGCUCAGUUGGACAUGUUUGCUGGCACUAGUGCAUGAUGCCCAAUCUCAGUGUGCAAGACGGGUAGUCGUGUGUCGCUUUGACAUGCUUGGCUUACGGAGGGAAGGACUCGUUGGAGAACUAACGAACCAAGGUGGGGUCAAGGGUGGAUGGAUGGUGUGGGUCAACUUUGCUAAAGGGGAACGGUUUGAGGCCAUUUGAACAAUGUAUGCCAUGGGUAUGGUCAUGAGCUACCUCACUUGCCUUACCACGAAAUUUUUCAUAAGGGGACAGUGUAAACCUAAAAUAUUUGAGUUUUUUUUGGAUAUCCUGUUUGUUAUAUUUAUGGCACCGUGUACAACAAAUUUGGGGUUAUUUUGGAGAUGGUCAAAAAAUUCACUUCAUUACAGACGGACGUUUGGUCUCACUUAAGCGAGUUUUUCUAACAAGGUGGUUUUUUCGACCACUUUUGUACACAUGAUUUUUUCAUUAACAUAGACAGAAUUUGAAAGUUUUCCAUUUUUUUAGAAUUUUAUAUAAUUUAUAGUGGCUCAGUGAAACUCAUGUACAUACCUCUGACUUUACCUUAAGGGCACAAUGUAAACUUCAUUAUUGCUGAAUUUUCUUUUAUAAUCAUGUUUAUUACAUGGAUGUGACUGUGUAAUUUUUUUGGGUGAUUUGGAAAAGAAAAAGCCCACCUUCUAAUAGGAGAUAUCAAACCCCACGGCCUGCAUACGACUAGAAACCCAACCAUAUGGGCUAGGAUGCAGGCCCGUGGGAUGUUGAUUUCUCCUGCUAGUAGGCCCCAUAGGGUAUACACAGAAGUGGAUAGGGAACAUGCUGUUUCAGUGAGAGUGGCUCAUGCAAGUGGUCUCUCAGCUGCGUAUAUAAGUAGGUGCGUGCGCGUCUCACUUGGCGAGGUGGGACUAAACUCCCACCAGCCGUCAGUUGCGCCCGGUGCGUCUCAGCGUUGGGCCAAAUUUUGUUGGGAUGUCCCAGGCGAACCACACCCGCGUGCCGGACCACGCGUCCCUGUAGAUGGUUGGGCUGGCCCAUCAUGCAUGCAUAUCCUUUUUAUUUUUUGUUUUUCACAUAUUCUCUUUCAUUUGUUAUUAUAUAGUUGUAAAACAAAGGUUGUUGUAAACGCACAAAACUCCUUCUUCAGCCUCUCACCAUCACGUUCAUGUUGAACUCACCCUAAAAUCAAGGAGAGGUAGAUCGAAUCUCCCCACGGGGGACAACCUCGAUGGAGUAGCUAAAUAUGGUUACUUUAGAUUUUCCAGAUUUUCUUCCCAAGUCGUUUUUUGAGGGGAAAAUACAUUUUUCUUUUUCCCUCCAAUAUUUGUGGAGAAAUACAUGGAACAAAAAUCGUGGGAGGCACGGGGCUACCUGUUUUUUCCCCUCCGAAAGUGCACUUGUUGCCAAAAUGCAUGUGAACGUGUCAUAUUCCACAUUAUUCUUAAAACAUGUUAUACACCUAUACAAACAAUUGAAUUGUCGUUUUUAUUUUUUUAUCAAUUUCUAAAUCUUGAAUUUCAGCAUGCACCUAUCCCAUUGUGUCUCAUCCAAGCUCCCACAUCAACCGCACAGAUUCUUCUACCAUCUGUGUGUGCUGCUCCGGCGUCAGGUACAAGAGAGGGGAAUCUUGAUCCGAUGCGGUGCGAUUCAUGUCUACCCAUAGCAUGCACCGCUAGGCAACCGGGCCGACAACAUGAACCGCUAGCCGCCUCGAUCUAGACCAUGGGCAAAGAUGCUCAGCUGGACAUGUUUGUUGGCACUAGUGCAUGAUGCGCCAAUCUCGAUGUGCAAGACGUGUAGCCGUGUGUCGUUUUAACAUGCUUGGCAUACCGAGGGAAGGGACUCGUCGGAGAUCCAACUAACCGAGGUGGGGUCAAGGGUGGAUGGAUGGUGUGGGACAACUUGGCUAAAGGUUUACGGUGGGUGUCUACAUGGCCAAGUGUGCAUGCAUGGUGUGAAUCCAGCUGUGUGUGAUGCACUAGACGGGCCUUUUUGGAUAGGGCCCACAUGAAGCAGUACCAAAUUUUGAGGAAAAUGAAGGAACGGGCCCCACACUCCGUCUGCAUGCCGAACUCGUUCCCUCCAUUGGCUAGAUCCAGCAUGCGAUAUGGCAUCAUUUCCCCAUAGCCCGCGUUAGGCCUUAUGCGUGUCGCUCUCGGUGUUUGACCACACCCUUCAUGGGUCAUACUAUGAUACCACGCUAGGCCCCAUGAACCACCGCCUAGGCACAAACCGGACGCGUUACCCAUUGGUAGCUAGAUCCAAACCAUAUCCACCCCUGCCGUCUAGACCCACGUGUGGAGCAUCACGUAGACGUUUAGAGACUCAUACGUGGACAUGCAUCCUCUUGGUAGACGUUUAGACUCGUGUGUUACCUCUUGGUAGCUAGAUCCAAACUGGACUCACACCACUUACGGCAGUCCCCGAACAUGCAUCCCCGCCAUUCAGACUCAUACAUGGACAUGUGUGCAUGCAUGUUGUGGGUCCAGUUGAGUGCGAUGCACGAGAAAGGCCUUGGUUACCAGGUAUAACAUCACGUGGCAUCAAGAUUUGAGGCAAAUGAAGUAACGUGCCCCGCACUCCUUUCACAGGCCGGACACAUUCUCUCUCGAUGGCUUGAUCCGACAUGUGAUAUGGCCCCAUUUGCACACAGCCUAUGUGAGGGCCGAUGCAUGCCGCUCUCAAUGUUUUACCACACCCUCUAGGGGUUGUAUGAUGACACCACGCCAGGUCCCAUGAAUUUUUAGCCCCUCACGGAUUUGCAUUGAUUAUAACGACAGCAGCCGGGCAUCAUAGUCCUAGAUUGCAUGCGUCGAGGCCACGCCUCCCGUUGGUAACAUAUGGCACAUAUAUGGACCAAAGAGCUUAACAUGGGACACUAAUCCCAUUCCUUGCUAUGAUUUCAUGUGGCCGCGUAAGAUCUUGAACUUUCGAGAUUACAACCAUAGAAAUGCGGUAAAUGGCCCGAAUAUGCGAGGGAUGGAGGGGGGUGGGGGCGAGAAAGGCCACUCAAUUACCUACCCACAUUAUUGAAGUUCUUUUUAUCUGGAAAGAAACAAUUUUUUAUAAAUAAGGAAUUUUUAGCACUUAUUAAUAACGAUUUUAUAAUUUGACAUUGUAAGGUGCAUUUUUUUGUCUAAAACAAAGGUGUUGUAAACGCACAAAACUCCUCCUUGAACCUCUCUCCAUCACGUUCACCUUGAACUCACCCAAAAAGCAUUUCCCUAUUUUUUACGAUUUUCCUUUGUUUUUGUUUUUUAGACAAAAGGAUUUUCCUUUGUGUUUUUUUAUUAGUAACAUAGGAUUUUACUUUGUGAUAGGUAAGCGGCAUGUGGGCCUGUUUGGUUGUUUCUUUACGAACUGGACCCACGGGCCGUUAUUUUCUAUGCUUGACACGGAUAGGGUCCGUGUCAUCACCCCCAUCACCCACACACCCCCGCCCCCUCAUCCCCACCCUCCCCACAAACCACCCAGCCGCGACCCCGCCGCCGCUCUCGACGGUUGGAGCAGAAGAGCGCGGAGUGAGACUGGGAGGCCGCCAGCAAGCACCUAGCGACUACCGGCGACUAGGUGAAGUGAGAAACCCUAACUUGUAAUCUUAGACUUCUUUGUUCCUUGUUGUGUUGCCGUUUCGGGAGUUGGAUAUGGUUUUCAAAGUUGGAGAUUAAAUAGUUAGGAUUUUCAAUCGGAGGUUAGAUGGAAGGCGAUGCAGAGAUUGAAGGAAGUUUUCUACAUCGGUAGCUUGCUCGGUAAUUUUUUUCCUAGGGUUUCGGUAUUCCAGGGUUUUCAUAACAAUGAGCAAGUGCAGAUGCGUAGCACAAUAGUAGCAAAUAUCAACAAACAGUUCUUUAAAAACUUCGAAUUUUUUUGGCAUUGUGCAGUGGCAAAUCCAGGAAGAAACCGGAGGGUGGGCCCAAAACUUAUAAGCUGGGAUAGUGGACUAAAUUCCUUUUUAGGUCGAAAUUAGGUUGGGUUUAGUAAGGCAACCAUUAACUUGUAGCCCUAGAUUGCAAGUCAACUAAACACUACCUCAGUUGUGCGGCAGAGGAGGAGGGGCCAAUGCCGCGCGUCGACGCUCGGGGUGAGCCCAUGCUGUCGGUCGAGGAUCAAGAGAAGGACAUGUCUGAACAAGCUGUGGUGCGGCGGGCACGCGCUGCUUUGCGGGGUUAUGCGGAGUGGAGGGCGAGCCACCCGCGCAGUUCAAGUGUAUGUUUGUUGAUUACUGAUGCAGUACCUUUGUUGAUUAUACUGUAUGAUUGUUGUCUAGUGUGUUUACAUUCAUAAGCCCAUUUCUUUAAUUCUCAUCCUUUGCUUUUCUUCAUUUUAUUUUGUUUACACAGGUGGUUCAACAGGUACUUUUGUUGACAGGACUGCAACAGGCCCGAUGCUGAUGGGUUGACAUUUACCAUCAGGCUAGAUGGGGACACUUCAGCUGUGGUAUAAAUAACCAUGUCAAUUUUUACUUGUAUUGUGUUUGUUCCCCUGUACUUUGAAGAUUAAAAAAAUGUAGGAAAUAAAUAGCAAUUUAAUUCUACAUCUACAGAUCGUGCCAUGCUACGCAUGGCACCAGUUCAGCGCCAUCCCAGAUAGUUCAUUGCUUUUUCAAGCGAGAGGGAGCCACACGUAUGAUUUUGGCGUGUACAAAGGGAAUUCAAGGGCGAUCAUCGGUGGUGAAAAAUGGUGCAGGUUUGUUGAAGACUUCGACCUGCGAGAAGGCGACCUUGUCUCCUUCGAUUUGACUGAAGACAUUCCUAUGGUGUACUGCUGCAACCUGCCAAUGACAUGCGAUCAAAACAAAGAGCAUAAUCCUCUAGAAUCAGCUGUCAUAACAAAGGGAAUUAAUCUGACGAAGCAAGAGGAGCGUAACCUACAUGACCUUUUGGCGAUGAAGAAAGGUUAUAUAGGUGUAUUCUUUGUCCACCGCUUCACCAAGUCGAACAUAGCAGGAAAGACGAUGGUAUGUUUUUGGUGUACUAGUAUUUUUUAUUUUGUAUGCAAUUUUCUUUGUUUUUUCAUGGAGAGAAAGAUUAAUGAUAUGCUAUUGUAGCUAAAACCAGUGAAUACACUGAUGUGUAUUUUUGCAUAUCCUUUUGUUUCCCAUAACUGAAGAUCCUUAUGUAAUAUAUGUAGAUGUAGCUGAAGAUCCUUUUGUUUACUGCUCCUUCACAUAUUUGAUAAUUUUUCUUCCUAUGAUGGUGCAUAUAGAGAUUACCGGCGAAAGUUGUCGACGCUCUGAAGACCCCAGGAGAUGGGGAGAUACCAGGAGAUGGGCUUGCUGGCAUUCGGCUGUGCAAGGACAGUUUCAUGCCGGUCAAGUACCACAAGUAUGAUGAUGGGCGCAUCAUCUUCGGCAAGGGAUGGAGUGAUUUUGUUGACAGUGAAGAGCUCAAGGUUCAUAAAUCCGUUCUUUUCGGUUUCAAGACCACCACCCGUGAAGAUCUUCAGAUCGAGGUGGUUAUGAACAUGCUGACCGAGGAGCCACAAAUGUAGCACGAUAACGCAAGAGUGUCCUUUACACUAGGUAUGGUGCGAAAACUAUGUUGAUAGCAGUUAUGCAUCUAUGGGGUUACGUCUUCAUUCUGUCUUGGGUGAUGAUGACUAUGAGAGGAGGACAUGUUGCAGUUAGAGUAAAUGCUAGGAUUGGGUCCUAUUCAGGACUCAAAAUAGGGCUUACACGGGUGGUUGCUUUAUUGGCUGCUGUUUCCCUGGCUAUAAUCAUGAACGAUGGUAAUGCGAAUGGAAUCUUUAAGGGGGUUUUAUUAAUAAUUUAAAUCAUAGAGUUAAGAUGGUAGAACUACCUAUGAGUGUUUGCGUUGGACAUGCAGGAAGGGCAUCAUUUGUGUUCUUCACUCUUUGGUAAUGCAGGAAUAAUGUGAGAUUACAAAAUAAAUGGUAUAGUGAUCUUAUGAUUCUUGUUUAGCUAAUUUGCUUGUUGAUCAUGGGAUGGUCUAUAUUGCAGAUGAAGGUGAUAAACAAAGAGGUGCUGAUGGUCUAUAUGCGCAGGCUAGAGCAUGUAGCACGUGGAUUGUACAGUUCAUUGCAAGUGUGGAGUCACAGGGUACUGCGAUGUCGCCUGCGCAUCUCUCAGCUAUAUUUUCUAUCCUUUGCCGUAGUCUUAUUUUUUGGACCUUGAUGUUAAGUCUGGCUGGGUUUGCUACCAUGUAUGAUUUGUGCUACUAGUUGAUUACUUUAGUUUCUAGCUGUAGUUUGUAUCAGGGGCUUCAAAGACCAUGUGGUUUCUGUUAAUGGAAAAUCAGGGGGGCGACCCUUCUUUUGAUUAAAAAAUAUGAACUUUCUCUAUGCAAUUAAAAAAUAAUUUUUCUCUAUUCAAACCCAGUUGAGAACAGUAUUCAUUAUAAAUCUGAAAUAAUUUUUUGGUAAAAAUGGCUAUCGCAUUCUGUAUCAUAGCUAGCGAAACCGAAACAAAAUAAACGUCUUAAGUAUAAUAUAUCUUGAAUGCGGAUCAAAUUAGGCAAGACAGCUAGAAUAAAGGAUGAUUCAACUUGCAGGAAAUUUGAACUUACGACUUACUAGCAGUAUAAUAAAGUUUACAAACUAUUGGCUAGAUAAAUAGAAGAAACAUUUUAGUUUGAUUCAUUCUUGCUUUCGGACUUCCUUGACCGCCUAGAUGGUUUGGCGAGAUGUUGGCACAGACUCUCGAACCCCUUUUGGGAGUUCACCAGUCGCCUGUAUACAUCGUAGGUGGCAUACGCGUCCCUGGAAGCAUAAUAGAUGUUCUUCAAGGGCAAGGGCGCUUCUGCCCAUAUAUGGUGGUCAUCUUCUGUGAUAGCAUCCUUCAUCUUGUUGUAGCUGUGGUGGAUGAUGGAACCAGCAUAGUCAGCCAAGCCAUACUUCAGCUUAAUCGUCACUGGAUCAGGCACUCUCCACAAACUCUGGAUAUCCACAAAGUUUCGUACCACCAGACCAACACGCUCGAGUUUUUUCUCGUCAUUGUUGAUGUCCACCCCAACAAAGGUGUACUUCUCGUCGAGCAGGAAGGCGGCAAGCAGGCCGCAGUGCUCAUCAGCAACGCUUAUGUGGUACAUGAGGACAUAGAUGCCAACACAUAACUGGACCACGUCAGCCAUCUGUGUUGGACCACGAGGCCAGGUGAACUCCACAUCCAGUGCAACUAUCUUCUGGUCGUCGUUCUGCAGCCAGUAUUUGUAUCUACGAAUGCAGUACUCAACACUGCUAGCCUUGUUCGUGUACUUCACAAAAAUUACGAUAUUUCCAUCUGCCCUGACAGCAUAAUCUUUCACGAAUGCCAUGCCGAAGGAUUGUAAUUGAUGAAACCAGUAUAAGACAUGAAUCAUGACAAUAACAUGAUAACAAUAAGCCGAGAUGAAAGAUAGUAUAGUAAUUCUGGCACUAUUGAAAGUUUAUGUAAACAAGUGCAUGAACAAUUUAAACUAAACAUGUACUCCCUCUAUAAAGAAAUCACUAAAGUAGUGAGCCAAAAGUUGUUAUAUUUCCUUGUAGAGGGAGUAUAUGCAAAUUAACAAUCAAAAUUUACGCUCUUGAAAUAUUAUCUAAACAACUGCAUCAACAAUCAAGAAUAAACAUGUAUCUAUGAAUUUUUCAUCUCCCAUGCAGAUGAAUCUGUGUGUACAAACUAAAGAAGCAUGAGAAAAACAAUAAAUUGACAAGACAACGGACUAGAUGUUGCAUGCAGAUGAAUCUGCGUGCAAAAUUCUCAUAAGGCAACAUACUACAUGUUGAAGGUAGUUGAAUCUGUGCGCACAAAAUAAAGAAGCAGGAGAACAAGAAAUUGACAAGAAGAAGGCCAUCGUAUGUGCUGCUACUGGAGAACUACUAACAAAAUUGACAAGAAGGACAACUCACCGUUCCAGAAGCCAGAUUGUUGGGAGAGUGGGCGACGCAGAGGAAGAGGAAAUCAAGAGGACACAGAGGCAGAGAAACCGUUUUUGGAGAGUCGUGGCAGUGAGGACGAAGCGCCCUCGCGCAUGCCCAUCCUAAAUAAUUGUGGCGGGGCUCGUCCCGCGUGUUGGAGUCCUCCCGCAUGUUGGAUUCCUUGCUUUCUUUCUUAUGUUCUCAUUUAAAAUGGGCUCAUCCCAUUGUAAUAGGCCCGUAUAAGAAAGCACAAGAAGCCCAAACGCUUCACGGUUGAGAUCAAGUUGAUAAAAAAAUUCUCAAAAAAAACUUGCUAAAAAACAACAACCGGAAAUGCUCUUUGACGAGCGAGCCUGGCAACGCUUGAUCCCAAUAUCUCCCCCCCCAUGAUUCUAAUCUUUCCGCCCCCUGAUUUUCAGGUGGGCCUAAAGAGAUCUCCCCUCUAAUCUCUAUGCCCCCCUGAUUUCAACGUGGGCAGGUAAGAUAUUCUCUGUAAAAUCUCUUCAGUUAUCUCUCUCCUUCCUAAUUUAAAGGGAUUCCUGUUUGGACGUGGUUACCUAAUAAAGCCUGUCUAGUCGGAAAUCGCUCGCCAGAGCGAGCGCGCACGCAAUAGCAUCGCCCAAAAAAACAUUACGUGAUCUAAAACUACCUCUUCGUGAGAUCCCAAAUCCCCUAUAAAUACUCCACCCCACGCCUCCCACCCCACGCCUCCCAUACCUAGCCUUCCAUGACUACACCGAAUUACCACCCCACGCCGCCCAAAGUAGCUCCCAGGUCGGUGAAACUGACGGAGCCGUCAUCUUCGGAGCCUGCGUCGGCGAAUCCUGAGAUGAAUGAGAAGGGCAUGUCAGAGAAGCCGACGAAAGAGAAGGGCACGUCGGAGAAGCUGGCGAAGCAAAGAUGAAAGUGAAUGGCAAUGGAGCCGGUCGCCAUCGAGAGAAUCCUCCGGUAACAAUCGAGAUCCUUGUAUUCUGCAUACUCCCUCCUUCCCAAGUAUGCAUGCAAUCCCAUAAUUUUCCCUAUUUUACCAAAGGGAGAUGGGUGUGUCUAGAAAGAAAAGAAAAAAUGACAACAAAAAAAGGCUUGCACGAAUCUUAGCAUAAAAUCAAUGACAUAGGACUUAGAUGUGAAAUAAAAUCAGGGUUAUCGUCUCUGUUUAUAUACCUUAAAAUUUGGAAAUUGCUAAUUUUUUGGCAUAGGCUUUCUAAAUGAGUUCUUAAUAUCCAGUGAUUGAAACUAUUCGUGAUUCCCCUUAAUUUUGCAUGGUCUUUACUAAUUGAUCUUUUUAAAUCUGAUCGGAACUAAGGAGUAUAUGCUCUUGAAUGCUUGCAAUGGAACUGCUACAUUCCUUUUUCAAGAUUAUCUAUAAACUAUUGAUCUUCUCAUCAUGUAUUCAAUUAUUUUCGUAAGCGUGACGCCUGAAACUUUAGUAGUGUACAUAGACCAAAGUCUGCAAUUUCUACUAAAAUCAAUGCUAUUAUCGGUCAAUUUGCCGACAGAGAUAGCUUGUUUUUCUAUGUCUGGUGUUCAUUAUAUGGCCCAGAAGAUUUAUGAUUUCAUGCAGUACUGUAGAUCACAAUUUUGAUAUUGGCAUAGAUUAGUCGGUUCUAUGCGUGUUUAAAUGAAUACCAUACAGAAUCUAAUCACACUAUUUGUACAUUUAGGGAACUCGGGUUGCUUGUUUGCUGCAAUACGAGAAGUUCAUAAAAGAUUUAAACACACAGCAACUGACGUACAUCAAGUUGAUUGGACUGGGUGAACUUCCCAAGACACAUGGCAUGAGAAUGAGACAUCUACUGUGCCAGGCCAUUGCUUAUUCAUAUGAUACAGAGCAGGAUGCCUUUAUAAUUAAUGGGAGACCAUGUAGGAUCACACUAAAAGAUGUGGAGCAUAUAACAGGCCUGCCCUGCAUGGGGAAGAAUCACGUCUCUUCAAAUCACAACGAUACUUUGGAGUUGUGGAAGGAACUGAAAGACCCCAGUGACACAAAAGUAACUUUGAAAGGAUUGCUAGCCAAGAUGAAAGGCGACAACACACCUAAUUUUGUCAGGACAUUUGUCUUGUACACCAUAGGCAAAUAUGUAUGCCCGACAACACAACAGUAUGUGGACAACAUAUACCUUGGGAUUGUUAGAAAUGUUGAGACAAUAAAGAGCACCAAUUUUGGACAGCUUACGCUUGACCAUCUUAUGGCUAGCGUCAGGAAAUUUGUAAAUGGUGGAGCAAAUCUGGAGGGCAACCUACCACUGCUGCAGGUAAUACAAUCAUUAUUAACAUACCAUACAUUUAAUUUUAUGGAAAAUUGUCUAAGCUGUUUUUGUUGUAAUGCAGGCGUGGUACUAUGAGAAGUGGAGGGUGCACCAAUUGGACUCUACCAUCUCGUAUGCAUCAAGGUUAAGGCCGCUGAUCCAAAACUGGAGUGACGAGAAGGCACAGAAGGUUGACAACAUAAUCAACAUAAACUAUAUAGGGGUUGGAGAGGUAAAGUGUUAGUACUGUGUGCUUGGAUUAUGUACCAUAUGUUUUCAAUGAUACUAACGACACUAACAUGCAGUAUGUCGAUGACCUGCUACGGCCUUUCAAUCCGCCACCAGUUGGGACGACGGUCAAACCAAAGAAUGACGGCCAGGUAAAUGAUGAACAUCACGCAAAAAUAUAUAUUGUAACUUUGCAAGUACAAUCGAAGUCAUAUGCUCCUAACUGCUUGUAAUUUGCAGGAUAAGGCACUCAUGGGCCGUGUAUUGUCUGAUUUAAAAGAAGUUGUCUCCAUUGUGCGGGAGGCCAGUGCAAAAUAAUUUGAUUGGAUGUGCACCCUUGAAAAAAAAAUGGACGAGUGCCUUAGGCCCCUUGCGAACGGCAGACGCACGGACAACCUCAUCACAGAAUUCAAUGUAAAUAUACCAUUGUGAGUUUCUAUAAAUAAUUUUACUGUCAAUACUCUCCACACUAACACAUUUUUUAAAGAACUACCGCUAUGGAAUAUUUGAUGUUGAUCGCCCAAGAGUCGAGGACAUACGGCUAUCUGACCUGGGAGUACCUGCGGACCCAAUGGAGGUCCCAGGAGAGAAUACUACUCGCCAGCAAAAACAAAAAGAUGACACGGAGGUCAUUGCCAAAGGCAUUUCUGCUAAGGGAAUACAAAAAGAUUACAUGGAUGCCCCCAAGAAGAACGUAUCUGAAGAUUUGCAGCCUGCUCCUAGUUUGCAAUCGCGAAAGCAUUCAAAAGCCAAGAUUAGCCUUGAAGCUUUCAUGGUGAUACACAUUUUACAUCUAACUGAUUUUGUUUUAAGUUAACGCAGAUUCGUAGCUAACAUAUGAUCUUUCACGUUCAGGAUGAAGAAGACAGCUUUAUAAAGAGGUGGAUGCAUCGCAGGGUGCUCCGAGUUUGGAUUUGCGAAAGCAUUCCAACACAAGCCUUGAAGCUUUCCUGGUGAUGCACAUUUUACUGUUAACUGUUUUUUUAUUUCGCGCAGAUUGCAAGCUAGCAGGUGCUUCAUUUCGAAUCACAGGAUCCUAUGAAUUUGCGGCACAAUGAGAAUGUGCGAAAGACUGAAGAAAGAAGUAAUCAAGAUGAUGAAGAUGUCAGUAUUGAGGUGGGUGCAGAGGCAGGUACCAAAAGCAACCACUGGUCUGCCAAGGCUAAGGGGAUAAGGGAGCCAGAAGAGCCCCAUGUCUUCCUAGUUGAUGAGGACAACUAUGAUGAUUCUUUAGCAAAGCAGCGACAAGAUAGUGGGGUUGAUUCCAUGCUACCAACUUGUGCGAGCAGCCGGAAAAGAGUGGCAUCUUCAUUAUUGUGCAAUGAAGAUUUUGUUCUGUACGAUAGUGAUAAGAAGAGAAAAAAAAAUAGGACUCCAUCGGAGUCUACCAACGAUUCCAAGGACACAAAGAAUACAAAGAGGAAAAACCGUGCAAGCAAUUUAAAGAUACAGACACAGGUGCUUCGACGCUGGAGACGAACCUUGACAAGUUUCGACAGAGUUAUGUGGCCGAAAUUAUCAACACCUCAGAUCUUGAUAAACAAUUGGUGGUAAUUAAUGACAUUGUUCUGCAACAGAAGCAUUUGCAAUGCCUCACCAUGACAGAUGUAGGUGAAGAUGACAAAUGGUUGGGUGAUGAAGUAAGAUAUUUGCCCAAAUUAGUUUAUCAAUUUUCUUUUGCAUAGUACAAUUAACUUGAAUUUUUUUGAAUGCCACAAUUAACUUGAAUUUUGUUUUAGUUGGUUGAUGCUGUGAUUCAGAUAAUGCGUCAUGAUCAUCCUAAUGACAUAAGGGAUGGGCAGCUGGUUUACAUUGAGAGGGUGGCCAGCGUCGCUAUGCUCGAAAGAGAUGGUAAGGUAGAGAACUGCCACGAGGCUGCUUUGGCGGGCAGUCAUGGAACAACAAAAGGAGACAACUACCUUAGACAUGAUCUGGUACCAUCUCACCAUGACAUAAACACAGUUAUUUUUCUAAUUAUUAUGCAUGUUGAUGUAAUCAUCUUUGCUGUCCAGGUUUUUUUGCCUACAAACAUGGCGAACACCCACUGGUUCCUUGUGGUCGUAAACCCCAGAAGGAGGGAGAUUCAGAUUCUUGAUUCACUUUUCGGCUACCUAGAACGCACACAAGUGGUUCACGUGGUGAGAUUUUAAACAUCUUUCAAUAUAACACAGGUUUAGCAUCAUACCUACCCAUGAACCGUGAUCAACUUCUCAUACCAUGGACUUUGGCAGAUACAUGGGGUGGAAGCACAUCUGAGAGCAUCGCUGCGAAUCAAUGGACCACAAAGCCAUGCAUGGCAAGACAUUAACGUGACCCAAUGGACAGUAAAGCAUGUGCCUGUGCCAAGACAAGAUGACAAGUUAGUCAACAAUAUUAGCUUCUAAUUAUGUUUUUCAUUGUUAAUACGUGAAAUGCUGCUAACAGAAUUAAUUGUUGUAGUUCUUCUUGUGCACUCUACAUGCUAAAGAACAUCGAAUUCUUUACGGGAGAAGAUCUUAGACUGCAUUAUGACCAAGUACGCAGAGUAACACCUAAAAUUCUCUCAAUUUUGUAAACAUACGGAACGAUACUAACAUAUCCUCCCAUGCAGGCAUACAUCAACAAUUAUAGAAGAGAGCUGCCUAUUGUCCUUCUUAAUUCUCCCUACAACAAAUUGAAGUCCAUGAAAAGGCUGAAGACGUACAAUGCUAGCCUAUCGGAUGCAGCUGCAAUUGAAGAUCAUGAAGAUGCAAGCAUUUAGUUCAGCAAUGGUCCAUUCUUAGAUAUGGAGUGUACAUUUGGUUAUGAAGCGGUAGAGUAGGGUGUGGUUUGGUUUUAGUCCCGAUGAAGGUUUCCUAGCCAUGUGCUUAGUCCAGUGCGGAUUAAUCAAGUUGUAAUACUUCACAGUACUAGUUUCAAAUACUAUUCUUGAAAUAAAUUUGGUCUGCAUGGGAGACGCUGAAACAUAUAUUUACUUUUGACAAGAAUUUGAAGCUUAGGAAGGUUAACUGAAUUCUUAAAUUUAUAUUUGAGUUCCGUUGAAGUCUGGACAAGAUUCAGAACAAUUACGUCGCUAGUUAGAAGUUUUAGAUUUUUUUUAACAUCGCUAGUUAGAAGUUCGAGAAAAAUUUCAGCGAGUGCUAAAAUAUUUUGAUCGAAAUUCAGUGAGGCUGAAAUAUUUUGGCCGAAAGGCAAAUAUUGCAGUGAGUGCUGAAAUGAAUGAAAUUCAGUUAUUUCAUCGAAAUCUCACUGAAGCGAAAACCAUGGUGUCGUGCCAUCUUGAGCAGCACCAGACAUGAUUCAGUAUUAUCAACAAAAUUUGGUCUCACAUGUACGAGGAAAAAAUGUAUGAGCACGGAUGGGCAAUAAAAUAGCUUCACAAGAGAGAGGAAAAUACUUCACAUGUGAACAGACAAUCCUAGUUGACUUUAGAACCAGUUUUCAUCCUAAAAGAGGUCUAGUGAUUUACUUAUAACCAAUAAUAAAAUCGGUCCAGUUCUUUUGGCUGUUUUUCAAAGAAACGGGAACUAUAUCUUUUUGACGAUCAUGAUUCUCAAGAGACCUAAGUGUUGUUACGCAACUUACCUUAGUUUUUUUACACCACAACUUACCUUUGCUAAACUCUCCACGCCCCCCUAAUAUUCAACCAGGUGGGUCCCCUCCCUUGAUUUCCUCCAACCGAAGAAAUCUAUACGUGGAUAUAUGCCCGGGUUGUUACGAUCCCUAUAAAUAGGGAUCCUUUGAAACCUCAUGGAGCAUAGUUCGUCCUUCUGUGCCACCCAAAGCAGCAAGACCGAAGGACGGAGCAACCCAGGAAUCCAGCAAGACCGAACGAUGGAGCCAAACAUGAAUCCUCAGGUAACUCCCCACGAUCUCCUGCUGCAGCCGCUGCUAUUUUUCGUGCCACGAUCUUAAUCCCAUGAUCUCUUGCAGCAACCCCACUCGUUGUUUGCAUAUUCAUGUAACUCAGCAUGUUUUUAAACAAAGUAAGUUGGGGGCGUUAGGGGAGGGCGCUAGGAUUUGUUUCCUACCAGAUUGGCAGUUCAUUGAUUAAUUCCAGGCUAAAUCUUAGGUUCUGGUCUUGUCGAUGCCAAUUAGGGCAGCAGGCGCUUGCCUUCUUUUUUCCUUCCGCACGAGUUAUGGAAGGCAUCGAUGGCCCAUGUUUUAAUUCCAUACUACUGACCAUGAUUAGCGCCUAGAGUUGAGGAGACCAGGGUUGGAUAGUUUUUUAUUUUCGAAUCUUGGUUUUAUUUCAGAUCAGUGCCUUGCAAUGGAGAUUACCUUAUAUGACCGUUCAAACGUAACCAAGCCGAAUCUAAUGCUAGUAUUUGCACAUUCAUGGAACUCAGCUUGCUUGUAAACAAAUUACCUCAUGAAGUAGCGUAGAGCACAAUUUGGUAUAUAUAAGCUGUAUUCGUCUGUAUGAGUGUUUAAAUUGUAUAACAUGCUGAAUCUAAUCACACUUGUACAUCCAUUGAACCCAGGAUGCUUCUUUGCCACCAUAUGAGGAGUUCAUAAAGGUAUUAAACACGCAGCAAAGGAUGUACAUCCAGUUGAUAGGACUGGGUGGACUUCUCAAGACACCUAGCAUCAAAAUCAGACGUGUACUGUGCAUGGCCAUCGCUAAUUCAUAUGAUGCAGAGCAGGAUGCCUUUAUCAUCAACGGGAGACCAUGUAGGAUCACACUAGAAGAUGAAAGGCGACAGCACACCAAAUUUUGUCAGGCCAUUUGUCUUGUACACCAUAGGAAAAUAUGUAUGCCGAACAAAAGAGGAGUAUGUGGAUAACAAAUAUAUUGGAAUUGUUAGAAACGUUGAGACGAUAAAGGGUACAAAUCUUGGACAGCUAACGCUUGACUAUCUUAUGGAUAGCGUGAAGAAUUUUGUAAAUGGUGAGGCAAUUCUGGAGGGGAAUCUACCACUACCGCAGGUAACUCGUAGUAGUACAAUUAUCACUUACCUAACAUACAUUACAUAAUGUACGAGAAUAUUUGUAAACUGCUUUUGUUGUCAUGCAGACAUGGUACUACGAGAAGUUCAGAGUGCACCAAUUGGACUCUAGCAUCUCGUAUGAAUCAAGGUUAAGGCCGCUGAUCGAGAACUGGAGUGAGGAGAAGGCAAAAAAGGUUGACAAUAUAAUCCAGAAUAAUUAUUCGGGAGUUGGAGAGGUAAAAUGGUCAGCACAUUGCCUGGAUUAUGUAACAUGUAUAUUUUCUAAAUCAUACUAAUGACACUAAACUGCAGUAUGUUGAGGACCUAAUGAGGCCUUUCAUUCCAGCACGAGAUGGUACACUGGCCAAAUCGAAGACUGGCGGUCAGGUAAAUGAGUUACAUCAGGCACCCAAUAUAUAUUGUAACAUUGUAACUAGUAUGAAGUUAUAUGAUUCUAACUGUUUCAAAGUCUCAGAUUAAGGUACUCGUCGGACGUGUAUUGACUGAUUUGCAAGAAGUUUCCUCCCUCGUGCGGGAGGCUGGUGCACAAUAAGUUCAUAGGAUGUGCACCCUUGAAAAGAAAAUGGAUGAGUUCCUUAGGCAUACCCAUACAAAUGGCAAGCUCACGGAGGACCUCAUCAAACAAUUGAACGUAAGCCUAGAAUUAUGAGAUUAGUAUAUAUAAUUGGAAAUUUACGUGUAGAAGGUUUUUCCUAAAUUAGUUUACUAUGAAAACACCCCAGACUAACAUGUAUUUUUUAAAGACAAAACGCGACGGAAUAUUUCCAGGACUGGAGGACAUACAUCUUUCUGACCUGAGGGCAUCUUUCUAAACAUGGCUGCCUCUAUGCUAUAAAAUAGGGUUGUUGCCCCUACGUGGGUGGGCUGGUCUCUAUUUGGGCAUGGUUAUUUUCUCACGGCCCAUCAUCUAUUCGGCAACCCAGUUUUGUUUUUUACUAGAAACUGAAUUUGGGUGUGUACUCUGUUAACUGAAGAAUAAAAACAAAGGAAACAGAGCAUAAAUACUGAAUAAUUUGUGUUCCAAAUUGCUGUUUCAAUUCAGAUACAUGAACUUGGCAUGGCGCACAGAUCACAUCCUCUACCCUGACAGGCCUAAAUGCCCAUUCUAAUGACAGAUGAACAACAAAUAAAACAAAAACAGAGCAAUGAUACAGCAAUAGAACCCCCUGCCAUGAUAUUUGCUUGCUUUUGCAAAUCGAUCAUCUGCAUUAGAUGUUUCUUGAUCUUCUUCAGUUCCUCGGUCAGUUUGGACCCCGCAUGCAGUUCAUCAUUGCGCGCAUACAUCGCCAUCGGCACGACUCUGCCCGCCCCUCCGCCAAAGCUCCCCAUAUUCUCCAUAGCAAUCGGCGGCACCCCGCCCAAAUUGAGCUCCCAGGUUGCGGCCACGCUCAAAUCCUAUCAAACUAAAUCCUAUCAACAUAUUCAUCAAUCCACUUGAAAUGGUAACAUUUCUUCAGGAUCUGAAAACCACAAUAUGAACCCUAAAUCCCAAAUUCAAGGAGAAAAAACAAAAUAUGGAGAAAUCAGAGCAAAAGACAGCAAAAGAACGGGCUUAGAACUGAGAUCUAACCUUGCCAUCCCUUCCGGCCAUUGGUUUGCUCAAGCAUUUCACAAAUUCCCGUCCAAGAUUGCCAUUAUCAUCCUUCUUAGUGACCAACCGUUUAAGAGGCUCUGGGCAUGGGCAGUCAGGGCACCUUGUGAGCAGCAUUGGAUCAUACUGUCGCCAUUUUGAGUGCAUGGCGGAGGAGAUAGACAUUUGCGCUAGGUCGUCGGAGAAGAGAAAGAUUGGGGAAAGGGGCUGAAUGGGCGGCGGCGGGCGGACGGGUACGGGCGCUCGUCUCUUCUAGCUGCGAGGAGGUGGGUCCCGCGAGUAGACAAGUGGUGUGUCCCGCGCUUACGUGGAUUAGUGGUGGGUCCAGCCCCCAACAGCUAAUGAGGGCAUCAGUUGAGUUUAACAACCAUGUCAUGCAUGGGCUAUUUACCUGCUCAAAAUUGUCGCACCACAGCAAUUCGCUCGAACAACGUCGCACUCUUGCCAAUUCACCUCAAAUGUGUUGCACAGGAGCUAUAAGCCCAUAGUUAAUCGCACUUUGGGUCGUUCCCGAUCUGAAUUUUAAAAUUCACUUUGAGGGGCGGAGCAGGGGUUGUAUAUGCAAACUGCGCCGACGUGCUGAUGAACAGGUUGGGUCUAAACCAACAGUUCAGAAAAUCACCACGGCUUGGCAGGUUCUUAGUUUACUGACUUUAUAAUGAGAUGAGAUCACAAAGAACCCAAAUACUUCAGAGUGCAUGCGCACUAUCUAGGCAGAACGAGCGGCCGAACACAAGCCGCUCGAUCAGCCCAGAUCGUGCGGUCCUCGGCGUCAGGUCGUACCUGGUCAGGAGGUGACCAAACACGCACGUGGCUGGGCCCGCCCGCAAGCGCCGCUCUCCUGCUCCAGACGGUUUGCGUCGCGUAGGAAGCACCCUUGCCACGGGCCUCUGUCUACUUCCUCUCUUCUCGCCCUGUUCUUUCCCCAAAUCCGACGACGAGAGACAACCGCUGCCGCGACGCAGCCGAAGACGGGGGGCAGGGAAGGGGAAGGGCUGGAGCGCGGUGGGGACCCGCUUCUCGUCGCCGGCGUAGGUACGGUCGCCCAUUCGGCUGCUCCCUGCCCAACCAGAUCCAGCCCCAUCGUCCUUGUUCCCCGCCGUCGUCGACGGGAUGCGGCCGUCGUCUACUUCCUCUGCCCGAGGUCAGCUGAGAUCCUUCCCCUCUAGAUCCGACUGAGUCCACUGCGUCCCAAAUGGCAGGGGUGGAGGAUCCUCUGGUCGCGGUGGCAUGUGAUGUGGGCGUCACGCGAUGGCAGAGAUGGAGCAACCUCCGGUGGUAGUGGUGUCUGAUGUGGUCUUUCCAGCGUCAUGAUCUGCUAGGCCUAGGUACAAAAAUGUCAUGUCCAUACGCCGACAGCGUUUCUGGGCUGAUUCGGGCAGAGGGGUCCCAUGGGAGAGCGUUGCAUUCGCUCUAAGCGAGAGCUUCUAUCGGAAAUUUUUUGCUUGGACCGUCACAUCCUAGCAAUAUCUACUGCGGCAGCACAAUGUUCAGAGGCACCGGUGUAUUUCUGGGUGCCUGCAUGUCAAUACAAUCUAGUACAGUAUAGUACUAUUUUGCUAGUAAACCUGGCACACGAGUCUAGUUUGUCUUUACAUCUUUAAUUAAUGUUUAAUUUCCUCUUCUAAUUUAGCGCUAGUCUGCUACAGUACAUGAUGAUAGUUGCUGAAGCAAACUAAUCCAAUUCUAUAUAUGUUUCAUCUUCCUCGCAAAAACUUAUCAAUCAGCGGACGAUUGUGUGGCGAAAUAAGUGUUUUCUAGUCAGCUAACGUUCAAUGAUUGGGUGGUGAAAUAAGUGUUUUCUUUAGUUGGCUAACACCGUGACGCUUGUAUGUUCUGUAAAUUAUCAAUCUUGAAUUUUUUGAAGAGCAUAGAAAGAGUUGCACAAGAGUAUCUAAAUGAGCUGGCAUCCUCAGGCUUUUCUAGUUGCACAAGAGUACCUGGUUAGUUGGCAUCCUCAGCAUUUCUAGUUGCACAAUUCAAUCCAACUAGUUGACAUCCUCAGUCUUUUUGUAGCUGCGUUGACACCCUCAGCAUUUUCUUCUAGAAGCCCGAAAUCUGAAUAUUUCAUUUCCCAAGAGUAUCUAAUUAAUUGGCAUCCUCAACAUUUUUAGUUGCACAAGAGCAUUCAGAAACAUCCAUUUUGCCUGAUUUUUUGGUUUGACAGGGAUGGAAACGUCGGCACUGGAGUCGUGGCCGUGGCGGGGAAGGCGAACCCAGCGCAGCUCUGCCAGUGGCUCAAGAGGAAGAUAAGCAAGGAUGUCAAGAUUUUCCGCCGUUGUCCAAACGGGCUGAGAAUUGUAAUAAGCAGGUAUGCAUCCCUCUUGUCUACUUGUACUGCAGAAUGAAGGACGAUGUGUGUAAUAUCCAAAUGAAUGCACGUUAUUACGAAGGGCUAGCCGUGUGGGGUUAAGGUGCUCGCCGGCGGCGACCUGCGUGGCUCUCGGCCUGCAUCCUCGCUGAACUCAACACCAACUAUCGCGCGCCCGCGAUGUGACUGCUGUUGCAACAACGACGGCCAACGGCUAUUGAACGACGAGGAUGCCCUUCGGGGGUUAUAGCAUGCAAAGCAAAGAAGUUGCUCGAUACUCACAGCCAAUAUAUCUCCCUGUAGAAGCAGAAGAAGCAGCAAUUGAUUCAUAAGCAACAAUUUUAUCUGUUUCGUUCCUUUGUAUUUUUGCCCUCUGUUUCUACUGAUUGUAUGUAUCACUUUUUCAGAUAUAUUGAUCUUCACAUUCUUAGUUGGCAUCCGUAGUGGUUGUAGUUGUACACAUAGCAGUUCUUGGUUGGAUACGACAAUUAGAAAGUUGCACAACACUAAACCUUUUUCCUACGGCGGUGAAAGUGGAACGGAAUACAUUGAACUGAAUACACAUGGUGAUCAUUUUUUUGGCAUUUAUAGUAAUUCUUGUUACACACAUAGUUGUUUUCGUCGGAGACGAUCAUUACUAUAGUAGUUGUAGUUGCACAUACAGUUGUUCUCAGUUGGAUCCUAUUAUUGAAAAAUUGCACACAUGGCAAUCAUUUUUUGUUUGCAUCUAUAGUAGUUCUAGUUGCACACAUAGUUGUUUUCAGUUGGACACGAUCAUUGGAAAAUUACACACACGGCGAUCAAUUUUGGGUGGCAUCUAUAGUCGUUCUAGUUGCACACAUAGUUGUUUUCAGUUGGAUACGGUCAUUGGAAAGCUGCACACACGGUGAUAAUUUUUUGUUGGCAUCUAUAGUAGUUCUAGUUGCAUACAUAGUUGUUUUCAGUUGGACACGGUCAUUGGAAGUAGUUGGCAGGGGCAAUAGAAGUAGUUGCACAGAAUCUGCUAGGCAAAACUUUAUGGUGGCGAAAGAUUCCUCUUAGUAAAUCUGCAGAGAAGAAAUGUGCGCGCGAAGGCAGUAUCCAAAGGGGUAGAUGCCACAUCUUCUGCAGCAGCCGCUGUGGUAACAUAAAGUUCUAUCAUGAAUACUUUUUACUCCACAUACAGGCAGCCAAGUGUAUGAAUUUUCAUACAUGGUUGCAGAAGGACUAAUUAAGCAUUGGCAUGCUCUACUUUCUCAGUUGCUCAACGUUGCCAUCUUCAAGUUUUUUAGAAUUGUCCCAAGAGUAUGUAACGACUUGGCAUCCUCUGGCUUUCUAGUUGCAGAAUAAUAUCUAAUUAGUUGGCAACCUCGGUAAUUCUAAUUGCACAACAAUAACUAGUUGACAUCCUCAUCUUCUCUAGUUGCACAAGAACUCAGAUUAGUUCCAUCUUAAAAAAAAUGAGGAUUUCCCUACAGUAUGUAGCGACUUGACACCCUUAGGCUUUCUAGUUGCAGAAGAGUAUCUAUUUAGUUGGCACCCUCGGCAAUUCUAGUUGGACAAUAUUAUCCAAGUAGUUGACAUGCUCAGCCUCUCUAGUUGCACAAGAAUUCAGAUUAAUCCCAUCUUAAAAAAUUUGAGGAUUGCCCAACGGUAUCUAAUCACUUGGCACCCUCAGGCUUUCUACUUGCAGAAGAUUAUCUAUUUAGUUGGCACCCUCUACAAUUCUAGUUGGACAACAUUAUCCAAGUAGUUGGCAUCCUCAGCCUCUCUAGUUGCACAAAAAUAUCUCAUUAGUUGGCAUCAUCAGCAUUUCUAGUCGCACAAGAAUAUCUCAUUAGUUGUCAUCACCAGCAUUUCUAGUUGCAGAACAAACAGGAUAUCAAGUUGCCAUCCUCAACAUUUUAAUCUAGUUUUCCAGAGAACAAAUAUUUGUAUGUAAUGAUAACUAAUCACCUUUGCCUUUUUUUUGCAAACCCCGAGAUAUUGUUCCAGGAAAUGAGAGUAAUGAAGCAUAUAAUGUUGAACGAUAGUCACAAGCUGGCUACCUGAUGGAGACUACGCUGGAUACCUGAUGUUUGAGUUGGAUAGAAUACAUGUUUUAGUUGGCUAUAAUACAUGGGUACCUGCACACAACCUUGUGUAUGCUUGUUGCACACAUCCAGGGGAAAGUUGGCUAUUUAACCAUGUUUAGUUGCACAGGGAACUACAUCAACCUUUUUUCUACUAUGAUGCAUUUUUUCACCCGUGGAUAUGUUUGUUUGCACACAUCCAUGUGAAAGUUGGUUUGAAACCAUGGUUUUCUUGCACAGGGAACUGAAUUUCUUAUGCUUUUACUUGAUCUUCCUUCUCAAAAUCAUGGAGUUUUUUUUACUUGAUUUGGGAGAUUUAGAGGGAAAGGGCAAGGGAGAUAGUCAACAAGGUUUGCACAUGGGAGAGGAGAAGGAUUUCUUACCUUGGCGUUGCUUGGUAAGCUUCUCUUCUCUUCUUCCUGUUUUUCUGACCAAGAUCUCCUCACCUUGGCUGCUUUGCCAUGGCAGCUCUACAGGAUCUGGUUCAUGGCAUUGGAUCUGGUUUCUUUCAUGGGGAAGAAGCUGACGACCAGCGAGGGAGAGAGGGUGGGUGAGAGGGGCGUGGGGUGCGCUAGUAGUUUGAUGGGUAUCACGUGACAACGACGGGUGGUGAGGCGACUCUAUUAAUCUGCUUUUUCCUUUGUUUGCGCGUGGGAACAGGUGAGAACAGCUGGCGCGAAGGAUCUUUCCUUCCUGGGACCAGCGGACAAACGCUUAUUUUUUCUGGCCUGCCGCUCGCGAGCGCUAGCGAGCACUCUGCCGCUCGCUAGACGCGUCCCACAAAGAAACGCAUACUCCACGGAGCAAUGCUCGUGUAACCGCAACAACGUCCACCACAGCAGCGACGCAACGCAGGAGGGGUCACGGUAAAAGCUAAAGCAGCACAUCAACCGAACCUAGCAUCUGCCACCGGAGGGCAUGGCGGGGGUGGUGCCGGCGGCCGCAGAGGCUUCGCCCCUGUGGACUUGUUGGGCUUGGGUGGAGGGGGCGCCUUCGCCGGCACCUUCCGCCCCAGCGACCUCCCUGCAGUUCUGCGGCCACCGUUGACUCCCUCCACCGCCAAUGCCGCUGCGCUCCACACCUUCGCUUCACCGCUCGUGCCAACGGUGUAGCGCGACGAGCCGACGGACAUCGCGCAGGAGCACAGGAGGAAGGCCGCCAUGAGCAGUGAAGUGAGAAUCUUCUUGCAGUACAUGACGAGUGUGCAGUUACUUACUGAGCUACCACUAAUUAUCUGUCAAUUGUCGAUCACCGUCGAAGCUGUUCAUAUAUAUAUAUGUGGUUGUUGAGGCCGAAGCAUCCGGAACCAUUUUUUUUUACACAAUGACUCUGCCGACAUGUUGCCACCCAACUGAUGGGCAUACGGUAUCUUGAGAAACAUAACUGGUGGUCAUCGAUGCUUGGCUGCAGCAUCAAUGUACGCAGGUAUUCGUGCUUACUUUGAACCAUCUUCACAACUUGCACGGUUAGCAUUCACUAACUUUAUUUUUCUGGAUAUGUGUAUUUAUUCAAAUCCGUAAUAAAUUUCUUUUGCACAAGUUUAUCAAACCAUGAGUGUUAGCAUUAAGAAAAUGAAAUAAUUUAAAUUUAAAACGAAGUUUGUGUCAAGUGUACAAAACAAUAGUAGAACCAAGAAAAACAACACAAUUUUUGAAUUUUAAACUUGAUAGGGGCCGCUCAAACGCGUAACCCCUUCUUUCAUAAAUUAUGACAUCCAUUCUCCCACGAAAAAAAGAUGGUAGAUCAACACGCUCACAAAGUGCAAUGUGAUCCGUUAAACUAUGCCAUGAGCCUUAUUGAUCACCUAUAGACCUCGUACAGGUAGGUAUGUUUCAAAGUGUUCCUACCCUUCAAUUAUAUACUCGCUUUUGGCACCAAUCUUCUUAAUCCUCCCAUAUGGUACGAAACAAAACGCAGUUAUCUUGUGUUUUUUACGCAAUUACCUUUACCUUGCGUUCUUUUUUUGAGCGGUACCUUUAUCUUUACUUCACCUUGGGUGGCCUGGUUAAUCUCAGACCGACCACAAAACUGGUCUACAAUUAUUUUCUAGCCCACCGGCCUCUGGAAGGCAGAGUGAUUAAUGGGCCCAGUAGCAUCUAGCCCAUGAACACAUCAAUCAGAGGAUAUAACGGCAGGUCGGGACGAGCCGGCUGAACAACCCGUGAUCCAUGUUGAUAACGAUUUUCGGUUGCUCUUAACUGAAGAGCUUGUCCUGCAUAUCAUCUUGUGAUUUUAUAAAGUUAGGGAAACGUUUGGAGACGGUGCGCCGGCCGAAGCUUCGACCGGUCGCCCGCUACCUCGUGCUCCUGUGUCGAUGAGACCUACAUCCGCACCCCAUCUGCUGCAGCCCAAUCUCGCAGGCGAGGCCGCCGUCCACCCCCGCAUCGCGUCCCUACCCCGCUGCAGCCCAAUCUCACCGGCAAGGCCGCCGUCUACCCCCGCAUCGACCCUCUACCUGCGGCAGCCCAAUCUCCCCGGCGAGGCCGCCGUCCACUGCACGGCCGGCGAUUUCCCCACGCGCACGACACGUCCACCGCCUACCUACAGUAUUCACGCGCGCGCAUCCCCUCCCCCCUCCUUUCGGGCUGUGUUUGGGCCACCACAAGCUCCAUCGCCAGCCAUGCCCUGAUCUCCCCGCGUAUACAAGUGUUGCAACCGUCACCUAGAAAAGCUUCAACAGCCGUUGAAAAAAGCUUCAACCAUAGACAUAGAAUGCUUCAAUGGCACUGCACAACAAGGGAAAGCUGCAACCGAUGUUGGAUUUUGCUACUACCGGCAAAGCUUUUUGCUACAUCCAUCAGGCAGAGCUGCGACCUCGCGAGGACGACAAUGAUUUUUUUGCUGCAACCGUAGUAAGAUUUUGCUACUACCGUUGGAGGUUUUUGCUACAUCCAUGUAAGGCGGAGCUGCGACCUCGCGAAGGUGGCGACGUCGUUUUUGCUGCACCCAUAUUUUGAUUUUGCUACUACCGGUGAAAUUUUUUGCUACAUCCAUUCAAAUGGUGUUGAUUGACUCACGGCCGCCGUCGACGUAUUUUUCCUGCAGCGAGCAUCAAUGGCGAGGGCGGCGGAGCUACAACCUUCAUCGUCAAGAGCUGCAAUCGUAGGUGGAGCUGGUGCAUUGGUCGAGGCGAGAACGAGGCCGGGAGGGUGGGGGACCGUUGACGAGGACGGCCGGCGAGGGCGGGGUCCGGUGGGUGACGAGGAUGACCGGCGAGGAUGGGGACUGACGACGGGGACGACCACCGGAGGGGACAGGAGGCGCGGCGUCGUGCUCCCCGAGUGGGAGAUGCGGAUCCAGGCCGCCUGCGUGAGGAAGAAGAAGCUGGGGGCGAUCUGUUUUUUUUUUUGCCUGGAUCCAACGGCCGCCUAGCUCACAUCCGAUGGCCUGGGCUGGACCGGCCGAAAGUUUCGGCCGGUGCGCCGGCGCCUAUAAGCGCCCAUAAAGUUAUUGUAGGCGCCUCGUAGUCCACAGAAACGUCUUCUCCCACUGAAUGCACAUCGCCGGAAAAUCCUGAAAUAAAUCCAGGAUAAAUAUGAGCAUCAGGAUUUGAACCCUGGUGGGCUGGAGAUACCACUAUCCAUCUAACCAUUCAACCACAUGUUGGUUCGCGAAUCACCUCAUGUUGAGGUGAUACCUUCGAUUGUAAACGACACAAUCCUUGUGACGACUGAAUAAAGGAGGAGGAUGUUUAUAAAAAAAUACUAAAGAACUUUUCCUAAAGUAAAUAAAAAACUGAAGAGCUUUUCCUAAAAAGAAAGAAAAAAACUGAAGAGCUGGUACAACUUGCGGGAGAAAAUUGCACAAACCAUCCAUUUUUGGUGACAAACCUGUAAAGUAGGUGUUUUGUGCAACACUAGCAUCAAAAGUAGGUGGUUUGUGCAAUUUCCUCCAACUUGCCGUGGUCAGCAGCAAAGCACAUACAAAAGAACUGAACUUUAAUCCUGUGCUAUUUACUGGAGCGGUCUUGUCAUGUUGGACUUUGCUAGCCAGCUUCAUGAUAGUCUAUUUCACGUUUCGGCGUUCGUUUUGUGCCCGCAAAUCGGCGGAUCUCGAGCUGUGAGCUCUUGAAGAGCACCCACGCUUGAUGCUUCAGAAGCAAAUUCACAGGUGCACUGCAUCUGCACUAUACCUUUGAAUUAAGUUUUUAUUAGGUCUCAUAUCGAGACUGACAUGUUGCUACCAAACGGGUAGGCACGCCGCAUCUUGGCAAACAUAGAUAAGCUCUGUUCUUCAACUUGCAUGGUUGGCAUGUGCUGCAGGAUGAUACACAGACGGUGACCGAAGUACCGAACACUACUGGAAGGUUUCAGAUAUAAAUGUAUCAAGUGAACAUAAGAAACAUGCCUCAUUUGAUGGCCAAGAUUAAAGAGGAGUGCUCGCUUUGGUGCCGUGUGGGAGCAAAGCAUUUGUGUAACAUUAUGCCGCGAGAGUGAUACUUUGUAAUCAAUGAAAAAGGCAAAUCUUUUGCCUAGUUUUAAAAAAUAAAAAAACUGUGCUCAGUAUGUUGGUCAAAUUGUUAAUGCACUUCUCUGGCCUAUUGUAAGUAUGAUUACAAGCUGUCCUACCCUCCUUUUAUAUGCACUUCUCUCCCACGACAAUCUUCUCCAGCUUUCCGUAUGGCAGUAAGCAAAAUACAAUCUUCUCAAUAUAAACUUUCUUCAUCUACUUAACUUGUAUGGUUGGUGUGCCGUCAAUUUGAUCUGGCCUGCACUUGUUUCAUCAGCAUUUACUCAACUACUUUUUUGGACAUGUGUCUCGAUUGUGCUCUGUGAUGAAAUAAUAUUUAUCAAAGCAGAAAGUUUGCAAAAGAAAUACUAUACAUAGAAUUUGGACCAAAAAAAUAUAAAGACAAAUUUCUCAAAAGAGCCAUAACGAACACAAAUUUUAGUUUAAAAACUUGGCAGGGGCCGCGCGAACGUGUACCCCCUCUAUCACAAAUUAUGACGUUCACUCUUUCUCAAAAGGAAGAUGGUAGAUCAACACACUCACAAAGUGCAACGCGAGCCAUUGAUCUAGGCCAUGAGCCUUAUUGAUCACUCAUAGACCCCGUCCAGGUAAGUGAUUUUCAACGUUGUCAUGCCCUCCACUUAUAUACACAUCUUCCCUGAGCCGAUUUUCUCAAUGUUUCCGUAUGGGACUAAACUAGACACAGAUUCGUUGGCUAACCAAUAUUUUCAGACUCGUCGGCCGAGGUAUUUAAGAGCCCAGUUGUACAUAUAGCCCAUUAACACAAUGGCUGAUGCCGAAGACGUGGCGGCCUCAUGCCCAAAUCCCGGCGAACUCGCAUGAUAAUCAUGCAUGCGUCGUUGGAGCGCCAUGAGUGAGACAUGGUGGACUUUCCUAGCAGCUUCACAUGCCGCACGUGGGGCCGUUGGUGAUCUAAGCAAGGCCAACCAUCAGCACGAGUACGUUUGCUAGCUCGACCUCGACCGUGUGUGUUUUUAUUGGUGACGCGAGGAGUGAAUCCUCACCUAAAUAUUUACAUUCAUAUUGCCUAUAGAGCCUUGUGGCUUUGUACAAGAUAGAUCGAUACCAAUGAAGUUUGGGCAGACUCCAGGCCAAGCCUACAUGCUUAUCAGGGCCGGUCCUGAGAUUUUGGGGGCCCGGGGCAAGACAAAAAUUUGGGACCCUCCUAAUAUAUAUAACCAAUAACAUUUUAAUGCAACCAAUUUUGAUACUAUUUUCGUUCAAUACUUUCUACAUAUUAUUCUAGAAGUUUCUUCUAAAACCCCGCUGGCCAUCGGGGACCUAGUAGUAAGGCCAUGAUUCGUGUCAAGGGAUCGGUCAUUCUUCUGUAGGCGAAACAUGUUAGACAUAUGUUUAUCCUGAGAAACAUUCGAAUAACUAGGCUACAAAACGACUAAGCAAGCAAAGGACAACAAUAUAUAUAAGAUCUAGUCUCUUAAAAUAAUUUUUGAUACAAAUCCACUUAUCAUAGGGUCAAUGUCAAUUUUAUCCAACAAUUUUUAUAGAUGUGUAAUAUUGCCAAAUUAUUUAGCAGUGGAAGAUAUGCAUCUUAUAUGUAUGUGAAGGUAAAUUACUUCAUCAGCAACAUAAAUAAUAGGGAAUAGUACGAGUGAUAUACCUCUUCUUUUUUGCGCCUACAAAUGAUAUACCUAAAACCAAUCGCAUCAGCGUCCGUGAUUAGGCGCUCAACAACGAUCCGAUAUGGAUGUCAAGCAGGAGGCACCCGGCAAUAUACUCCCAACACCUAGAAAGUGGAUAACGAACGCACUCGGUGCUGUCAAUUGCCAUGGCCUGAUGAUGUACGUGUGAGUCCUGCGUGGCUGCGUCCAGCUACUCGAGCUGCCGGCAGCCAGCGACUUUUGAUCUAAAGUUCGGGACCAAGGAACAAAGAAUAGGGCAGUGGAUUAGGGAUGCGAUCUCACGUCGCAAGAGUUACACCGUGAUUGCGUGCGUACAUCAAUGUGGGCCUAGUUUUGUUUACUUGAGCUAAUUUCGUUUCGCGAGAAGAAAGUAAUCAAUUCCUGAUUGCGUACUUGCGCCUAGGCUGCUACCUCUUUCCUUUUUUUGAGAGUAACUAGGAAUUUUAUUCAAAACUCAAAACAUCCGGGAUACAAGCAAUGUCUGGGAGAUUCCCUAGCCACACAUGGCGACCCACCGAAAGAGACGCAACUCCUUUUGCUAUCCAGUGGGCCUCAAAAUUAUUAUUCCUACGCUCAAAAUGGAAAGAAACUGUAAGAAAACUAUUCCUACUCACAAGAAUUUCCUUUAUGAUCGGAGCAUAAACCGGUGAUGCAUUAUUGUUGAUGUUCGAGAUCACCUCAAGGCAGUCCGAGGCUAUCACCAGAUUUUGAAGAUUCAAAUCCCGAGCUAGUGCAAGAGCUUCACUACAUGCAUGUGCCUCCAAACUCGCUGGUUCAAUCAGGCCAUCAAAAACCACAGCUGAAGCUCCUAGAUACUUGCCCGUGCUAUCCCGACAGAUCGCAGCUGCUACACCUCUCUCCCCCAGAGAUGAAACUCCACCGUCACAGUUUAGUUUGGCCGCAUCAUCUCCCGGUGGACCGAACACAGAGCAUUGUUUUCUCGCGUGGAACGAACAGCAACAAUGUCCAGGUCUUCUAGGAAUCGUUUAAUAAAACACAUUGUGGACAGUGGACUCUGAAACUCAUCCUCGUGAAUUGCCUUUCUCCGUGCCCACCAGAUCGCCCACAUGGUGACCAGCACACGGGCAAUGUCCUGCUGACUUGUAGUUUCAAAAAGCCAAAAUAACCAGAGUCGAGCAUCCUCGCUUUGGUUCGAUAUCACAUGCUCCAGCAGCUCUUCAUCCCCAAGAGCCCAAACACAUCUGGCCAUGCGGCAACUAAAUAGCGAGUGCCGCCAAGUAUCAUUCACUGCUCCGCAAAUAGAACACUCAGGAUCAUAUGCCAUGUUCCUAUCAUGUCGUACUUGGCCAGUCGGGAUCGAUGUAUGUGCUAGCCUCCACGCAAAAACCCUCACCUUUGAUGGUACCUUCACCUUCCAAAGUUGAGACCACGACUUUUUCUCUGCUGAGGUAUUGGAGUGCCCCGGUCGGUGUUCCAACCAAUCCUCUCUUUGGAACUUGAUUGCAGCGAGCAUCCUAUAAGCUGACCGAACCGAAAAAACUCCCCGUUUAUCGUAGUGCCAAGCCCAAAAGUCGCCCUAAACCCGAGUACUGAGGGGAAUAUUAAGGAUCACCUCGACAUCAGGAGCGAUGAAGUGUUCGACAAGGACUGGCUUGUUCCAUACCCGUGUGGCAGGAUUAAUCAGAUCCGAGACCAGUGAUGGAGGGUUUACAGAUCGAGCACAAAACGGCCGUAGAUUAUAAUCUCUCGGCAACCAGUUAUCGUACCAGAUAUUACUAUCUUGUCCCGAUCCAAUCCUCUUAAUUAGCCCCAGGGCUAGCACAUCCCUGCCUUCCAAUAGGGAACGCCACACCUGAGAAGGCGCAGGUCCUAACGUUGCUUCCAGCAGGUGAUUAUUUGGGAAAUACCUUGCCUUAAGAACACGGGCACUUAGCGAAUCAGGCUCAUGUAGCAACCUCCAAACUUGCCGCGCUAGUAGGGCUAGAUUAAACAGCUCCAUAUCUCUGAAGCCCAAACCACCCAUGAAUUUCGGCUUUGUCAUCGUUCUCCACGUGACCCAUGCUGUUUUCCUCUGUCCAUCCUUGCAACCCCACCAGAACUUGAGGAUGAUCUUAUUAAUAUGUUCACACAGCCCCCUUGGAAGCUUAAAACAGGCCAUCGAGUACAUUGGGAUAGAUUGAGCCACAGAUUUGAUGAGCACCUCCUUCCCUCCUCCUGAUAAACACUUCUCCAUCCAACCUUGCACUUUCUUCCAAAUACGAUCUUUUAAGUAUUUGAAUGAUCCCUCCUUUGCCCUGCCCACGUCCGAAGGCAAACCAAGAUACUUUUCGGAUAAUGAUUCAGUAUGAACAUCAAGAGUGUUUUUAAUGGUGUCACGAGCAGAAACAGGAACCCCCUUACUGAAAAAGAUGGACGAUUUCUCCAUGUUGACCCGCUGGCCUGAAGCAUUGCAAUAAGUUCUCAGGAGCUCAUUUAUGCGUGCUGCACUCAGCUCAUUUUCUUCAAAAAAGAGAAGGUUGUCAUCAACAAAAAGUAAGUGAUUGACUGCCAGGGCAUUGGGUGCCACAGAAAUUCCACAUACACCUCCUUCCCCCUUGAGCAAACAAGAAAGCCCUUCGGCUGCGAUCAAAAAAAGAUAUGGCGAAAUAAGAUCUCCUUGUCGCAACCCGCGGGUGGGCCUGAAAACAUCCAAACUAUCACCAUUAAACAAAACAGAGAAAGAAACCGAUGAGACACACCUCAUAAUUGUCUCGGUGAAACGAGGGCUAAACCCUAUUUUUAGCAUCACUGCCUUCAGAUAUGCCCACUCCAAACGAUCAUAAGCCUUCAUCAUAUCGAGUUUUAAAGCACAAUAUAUGUUACCCUUAACCCGCUUGGUUUUCAUAUAGUGUAAGCACUCAUAGGCUGUAAUGAAAUUAUCUAUAAUGAGAUGUCCAGGGACGAAAGAGGACUGCUCUUCGGAGAUGAUCUCAGGGAGGAUAGUUUUCAGGCUAUUUGCUAAGACCUUUGAAGCAAUCUUAUAGAUCACAUUACAAAGACUUAUUGGCCGAAAUUGUCCUAAAACUUUUGGACUUGCAAUCUUGGGAAUCAAAACAAUGAACGUAUUAUUAAUUUCCUCCGGCGAAUCCACCCCAUCAAGCACUCUGAUUAUCAUCCUUGUAACUUCAUCACCACAUAAAUCCCAAUGUUUCUGGAAAAAGUGUGCGGGAAAACCAUCUGGGCCCGGGGCCUUAGUACGGAACAUCUGCAAGAGAGCAUCUUUAACUUCCUCCUUGCUAUAGCAUGCAUUCAAACGAGCAUUCAUAGUACCAUCCACCCUUGCAGGGAUGUGUGACAACACUUCCUCCAUACCAAUAGUACCUUCAGACGGAUAUAAAUUGGAGUAGAACUAAGUUGCCAUAUUUGCUAGCUCGUUCUGAUCUGUACAAACGGUUCCAUCCUGGCGGUCCAACUUUGUGAUCCUGUUCUUUGCUCGCCUAGCACUUGCCUUUUUUUGAAAAAAAAAUCGUGUUGUUAUCCCCCUCCCACAUCCAGGUGAUGCGGGAUCUUUGUCUUGCCAUGACCUCCUCUAUGUAAGCAAGCUCGAUCAUACGAUCCUCUACCCUCUUCUCUUCUACAGUAGGACCGACCCUCAAGGGAUCCGCCCUGAGUGUGGUAAGCUGACGUCUCAGGGAAAGCAGCUCGUGGCAAACUCAACCAAAAGUGUAUUUGUUCCAGUGAGUCAUAGUCCUCACCAUAGUGUGAAGUUUUGUUGCCAGGUCAGAAACUGACAGCGCUGGUCCCUCGCCAUUCCAAGAAGAUUCCACCACAUCUCUGAACCGACCAUCACUUUCCCAGGCACACUCGUACCUGAAAGGUUUUUGCAUGCCGAGUCGUAUACUUUCUUCCUCCAGCUUGGUCACGAGGAGAAUUGGGUUGUGAUCGCUCUUGACUGCAGUCAGAUGCUCAACGCUAGCAUAAGGAAACAUAUUUGACCAACUUGGCGAGGCAAGGGCCCUGUCAAGGCGUACUCUACAGAACUGACCUCCCGCGACCUGUUUUUCCCAUGUCCAGUCCAGGCCUUUGUAUCCAAGAUCGGCUAGGCGGCACACAUCGACCGCUUCUCUGAACCCUCCCAUUUGAGCACUAUCACGGGGAUUGGGACCCAUCUGCUCUUCUUGAUGCAGUAUUUCAUUAAAGUCCCCAAUGCAUAGCCACGGAAGAGUACUUUCACCUCUCAACCUUUUCAUAGUGUCCCACGUUUUGUACCUCAAACCUCUGUUAGCGUCGCCGUACAAACAUGUGAGGCGCCAUUGCUCCCCGCUCCGAUCAGAUACCCAAGAAUCAAUGUGAUACUGAGAGAAGUUUCUUAUUUCCAAAUUAACCUCCGACUUCCAAAAAACACAUAAACCGCCACUCCGGCCAUUGCUAGCUACUGCAAAACUGCUCUGAAAACCUAACGAAGCCGCCAAACCUUCCACUCGAUUCUUUGCGAUCUGGGUUUCAACGAUGCAAAGAACCGACGGCGCACUAGCCCCCACGAGAUCGCGGAGCUCAUGUACUGUCGCUGGGUCGCCAAUCCUGCGACAGUUCCAGCACAAAGUCCUCAUCAGGCCCGGCGGCCCUCCUCGAAGGAGGCCUCCUCUCUUGUUUGAUCCACUAAAGCACCUUCAUCUCCAUCCUGCCGCCUCCUCUUCACAAUUGGGUCCUUCUCCGGGGUGGAGGUCACACCACUUGUGCUUGCUGCUUGAGAACCCCCUUCGAUCAUCAUGACAGUACCGGCUACCCGUCCAGCCAAAUGAUUGAGCUAUUGUCCCCAGACGUUUAGGGUGCCAUCCGCCUCAACCAGCCGCUUCCUCGCUCCCCUUUCCACUAAACCUCCUACGCCGUCUUCCUGACCCUCCAUAUCCAUAUGCUGCGUUCCAGCGGGCUGCACCCCUGCUCCAGGAUCCCCUCUCCUCCUUCCACCCAUCGAUCCUCUCCCUCCUCUACCUCCUCGGUCCCCCUACCUGCUCCCAACCUCUUCCCCUACUACCUCCAUCUCCUCUACCCCGACCUCCUACACCUUGGGCUGUAGGCACUUCAGGCUCCCACAGCAGCCACUCACCCCACUCAAAGGAGUUUGGGUCAUGAAUCCCAUCGCCACACUCAUCUGCUACAUGGCCCAUCUUGCCACAAGCAAAGCAAAAGUCCGGUAGCUUCUCGUAAUAAACGUUGUAUCUUUUAUACUCCUUCAAGGUUAUUGGAACAAAACGAACAAGCGGAAUAUUUACAUCCACGUGAACCCUCACCCGGAGGGUACUAGCUGGGUUGAUUCUCCCCUCAUUCAUUAUCACGGUGAAAGGUGGGUCACCUACUUUAGCUGCAACCUUCUCUGCUAACUCUUUCCUUCUUGUGAGACCAUCCGGCAACCCCUUCACCCUCGCCCAUACCGGAAUUUUAUUGAGUCUAUAGCCUUUGACGUCUGAAAAGCCAUCAUACUCCUGGAUCACCACUGGUGCCCUCCUAAACAGCCAUGACCCUCCAUCCAUAAUCCUCCUCCAAUCACCUAGACAGUGGCAUUACACCAGAAACAAAUUGGGUCCCUUGAUGUUGAACGUCACCCCUUGAGCCGCCGACCAAGCAUUGCGCAUCUGGGACAAGAGCGCAGCGUGGCUAAAGGGUUUUGUAGUGUGGACACGGAACAGGGCAAGCCAAUGGACAUCCUUAAUCAGAUCGUCAACUUCCGCUGAGAAAUCCAGCUCUUCCUCCUCCCUUCCAUGGAGCUUCAUCCCUGCAAAUUGGUCCUCCAAAUCAGGUUCAGGCCCAUGAUAAUCUCCAAACUCCUCUUCUUCUCCUCCGAAUUGGUUCUGCACAUCCUGCGAACUGUGAACAAACCCGUCCCUACGCCUGCUCUCCUCCGUAACCCCCUCCUUCGUUCCCCCCGACCCGCUCGGCCUUCCUGCUGCUGCCAAAACUUCCACCGUCGCCAUCGCAUCCUCCUUGCCCCCUAGCACCUGUUGCGUUGGAUCCGCCAUGCACACCUCUGCGCAUGACGGGAGAAGGUAGAUCUCACCCGCGGCCGGAUCAGUCCGGCACUCUGGUGAGAUUUUACGUGGACUCCGGUGCGGCGGCGCCGGAGGAUAGGUGGAACCCUAGAAACCCUAGGGAUGCGAUCUCACGUCGCAAGAGUUACGCCAUGAUUGCGUGCGUACAUCAAUGUGGGCCUAGUUUUGUUUACUUGAGCUAAUUUCGUUUUGCGAGAAGAAAGUAAUCAAUUCCUGAUUGCGGACUUGCGCCUAGGCUGCUACCUCUUUCCUUUGUUUGAGCUAAUUUCGUUUCAGGAAAUGAUAUGGGCCUAUGGGCUACCUUCGUACCACAUCUAGGAGGCCCCCCCUGGAUUUCGGGGGCCCGGGGCGGCCGCCCCCCUGCCCCCCAUCCGGGCCGGGCCUGAUGCUUAUUCCGAGAUCGCAAAGUUACAAACUAGGGAGCAGCUAGACAAACGUUACUUGACAGGGCGACUUGGGCGUCACCUCCUUCUCCGCCCGCCGCGGCCACCCCAGCCUCCUCCUCUCCUCGACGUCGCCGGCGUUAGCCGCCGAGGCAAAGUCCCCGUCUCGUGUUGGCGGUGGCGAGACAGCCUCUCGCCCGCGUUCAUAGGUUUCUUCAAGCCCCCGUCUGGUACCUUUGCCAGAUCUGUUCAGGGUGGCUGCUCCGACGACGCUGCACCUGCUCGCGGCCUUCAUGGUUGCUGCUCCUCGGUUGCUCCGUGGCACACUGCUCCAUGUCGACGGCUCGCUGGUGAGGCUCCGCUGGCGCGGCGACCAUGGAUCCAUGUGGAUUUGGUCUUGUGCACCGGCUGCCUUGGCCUCGUGUUGACCGGCAUGGCGGCACCGGGUCACGCCGGUGGUGCCUCGGGUUGGCUCCUUACUGGCAUGUGCUCGCGGCGGCAACCUGGAUCUGGUGGGCACAGAGGCGGGUGGCCGUCAGCAUGCGCUGGGACGCGAGGUCCUAGCGGUCGGCGGAGGGGCUCGAUGGCUGGCUGGACGCGAUUGCAGCGGUCCCUAGCAGCUGGUUCACACUGCUACGGUGUGGGCGUGUGGUCGCUGGUUGGGUUGCUUCUGCAAGCAGGCGUGGACUUGUUCCAGCGGAUGCUGCCGAUGCGUGCGUCCUCCAGCGUCGCUUGGGCUAGGCCUUGCUAGAUGGUGGCUUGGGCUCCCCUUGUCUGCACGUGCUACCUCGGUCGGCAGCGGUGAUCUAGAUCUUGACCGGCAUAGCGAUAGUCGCUGCAAAUUGGGAAGGUGCAGCGACCUCUUGUGGCUCCAUGGCGGAGGUGGACAUCGAAAGAUCUUCGGGGAGUUCAUUUUUUUAGAUCUGAUGGUUCAUUUUGGCGGUGAGAUGCAAACUAUGGAUGGAGGCUUGACGCAGAUGAAUGGUUGUGAAGUGGUGCAUCGCAUUUAUCUGCUGGGAUCAUGGAAAGUGGUGGCGACAACUCAUUUGUGACGUCGAUGGCGGUGCUUCUUGAGUACCCGGUAUCGAGCUUCGGGGUGAAAGCCCAGAUUUGAACUCUGGCAAUGGCGAUGGCUAUACAUCGUUACCUUGUUGAAGGCAUUACUCGGAUAUGUUCGGACAAUUCCUUGAGGUAAAAACCUAGAUUCCUGCCUCGACUGCUGGCUCCGGGCGUUUGAGUGUUGCUCACUUCCUGAAGGCGUUGCCAUUGAAGAACCUCGUCGAUCAUAAGGUGUCUUGAGAUGGUUUGUGCGGAUAUGGUCUUUCCUAUAAUUUGUCGAUCAUAGAACUGGUCACUUUGGAAUUUUUUUUCUAUCUUUAUUUUCUCGCCCAUGCAUAGCUUUGGUCUUAUAUGACUCUGCUAUUUGUAGGUGUGUUCUUGUGUGAGUUGAUGUUGGUUGUGUACAUUCUAACUAUGCAUAGGCCGGGUAUGUGCUCAUCGUGUUUGUAUUAUCUCGAUGCUUCAUUUUGAGCUAAUAAAAUCCAUCCUUUUUCAAAAAAGGGAACAGCUAGACAAACGUUACUUGACAGACAACAAUCUUUUCCAAUGGACUAAACAGAGUGCAAUUUUCCGACCUGAACUUGUCGCAUUAGCAUGUUUAUUAUCUAGUUAUAUUUUUUGGCGUCUGUGAUCUAAGUGCUCUUAUAUUUCUUUAUGGAGGGAGUAUUUAUUACAAAUUUGUGAGUGAAAUCAAAUAGGAAAACACAAAAUGUGGAUUCAACAUCAUGAUUCAACACAAAACUGUUUUAAAAACAAGAAUUGCCAAAAUUUUAAAUUCAAAAUUUCGGACUCAUCAUCGUUCAUACAACAGAAAGGGCCAGAAGGAAUCUUGGGGCCCAGUUGUAUCUGGCCCAUUAACUCAAUAUUGGCCAGACUCGCAAGUGGCAACCCGCCAGGAUCGAGCCCGACCACGAGCAAGGAGAAGCAACCAUGGAACAUCCUUCAACGACUUCUUGUCGCUCUCCUCACCUUGAAGAGCUGAUUUACGUUGGUAGAUUUGUGUGAGCAGAGCUGGCCAGCCGGAGGGGGGCGAAGGCCUGUUAGAUCAACGUCAACUCGCGUUGUGGUCGGAGGGCGAUGAGUGAGCCUUCCAAGUUCCAACCGUCGUAGAUCGGCAACGCCUGCUUGCAAGCGGUUUGACACAGAGUCGCAGACGCUAGCACUAUAUUGCUGCUAAUGCAUGGAUUGUCUAAUGCGACUGGAUAUGAUUCUGGAUCCAUGGUUUUACUUUUGCGUUGUAGUCACUACCACACACACGGUCGAUAGCAUCAAACCACAGACACGUAUGAAUGAUUUCAUUAAUUUGCAUCGAACAUCACGAGAGAAUACUUUUCAAGAAAAAGACUAAGAAUCAAAUGUCUGUCCAACCCGGCUUCAAACUAUGUACUGUACCACUUCCGACAACAGGUGUCCAACGCGAGGAAUUGGGCUCCGCUCCAAGAGAACGUUAUUAGCUUCUCAAAACUGAACCAGACUCUGCUUCCAAUACAUGUAUUGACAGAAACUACAAACUAUCUACGGAUCUGUGCUCGCAGCUUAAAUGCAAUCUAUACAUGUUUGCAGAUCACAUGCACCUAUACUCUCUACUUCCUAUCCCUCCAAAAAAUAUGAGCACUCCAGCAGCUAAAGAAAAACCAACAAAAAAAACCUUCCUAGAUCACAUGCACCUUUCUCCGUGAUCGCCAUUUCGCUUUCGCUCUGCAGGUGCACUGUUGAAUGUAUGGUUUGUGCAUGUAUAUUGUGUAGCUUGGCCCACCUCCUAGUCUUUGUAUAGUUGAGGUUGUGGCCCACUUUGUACUCCAUAUAUACGUGCGCUUUGCACUGAUCAAUACAUCGUGAAGCAUUGCCAAAACAAUCGUUUCCAACAUGAUAUCAUACCUAUGAUCCUAACCCUAACCCGAGCCGCCGCGGCCGCCGCCGCGAUCCCAUCGCCNNNNNNNNNNNNNNNNNNNNNNNNNNNNNNNNNNNNNNNNNNNNNNNNNNNNNNNNNNNNNNNNNNNNNNNNNNNNNNNNNNNNNNNNNNNNNNNNNNNNNNNNNNNNNNNNNNNNNNNNNNNNNNNNNNNNNNNNNNNNNNNNNNNNNNNNNNNNNNNNNNNNNNNNNNNNNNNNNNNNNNNNNNNNNNNNNNNNNNNNNNNNNNNNNNNNNNNNNNNNNNNNNNNNNNNNNNNNNNNNNNNNNNNNNNNNNNNNNNNNNNNNNNNNNNNNNNNNNNNNNNNNNNNNNNNNNNNNNNNNNNNNNNNNNNNNNNNNNNNNNNNNNNNNNNNNNNNNNNNNNNNNNNNNNNNCGCCCCCGCCGCGCCGCCCCGAAGCUGCGCCGCCUCCUUCCCUGCCGCGCCGCCGCUCAAGCGCCCCCUCUAGGCCAUGGCCUCCCCGGUUCCACCGAUACCACCCGUAGCCGCCGCACCAACCCGUUCGAAGGUCCCGAUCCCGUCGUCAUCCGCGACCUCAACAUCCUCGCCCGGGUUCCCGUCGUCCUCGACCACCUCACCUCCACGUACUAUGCCCGGAAGACGUACUUCUCCCUCGUGUUCCGUGAGUACAAUCUCCGGGAUCACAUCGAUGGCUCCGUGGACUCCCGCUUCAUGGAGGACAAUGAGGAGUGGACGGCCAUUGACGCCACUCUCAUCCGUUGGUUCUACACCACCAUCUCGAAGGACCUCUUCCACACGGUGGUCUCCGCCGAUGAUGACGCUCAUGCCGUUUGGACCAAGCUCAACGGCCUCUUCACCAACAACGCGCUCCAACACAAGGUCUUCUUGCACGGCGAGUUUUUUGGGUGCCAGCAGCUUGAGUCAUCUGUUGACGAUUAUUGCAUGCGCCUCAAGAAGCUUGUUGACGAGCUCCGUGAGCUCGGCGAGAAGGUCUCUGAUGAGCUUCUCCUCAGCACCCUCAUCGUCGGCCUGAACGACGACUUCGGGAACGCCGCCUCCAACAUCCCCCUCAUCACCAACCCGACCUUCCCCAAGAUCGUCGCGUACCUGAAGCUGGAGGAGCGGCGGAUGCGGAUGUCGCGCACCCGGGCCACCCACACGGCCCUCACCGCCGGUACCCGUGGCGGUGCGCCGCCCACCGCCCCGGCCCCACCGCCACGGCCCGCCCCCGCCUCCCGCCGAGCAGCAGCAGCGCCGGGGCGGGCGUCGCGACCAAGGUGGCCGCAAGCAGCAGCAGCCGGCUGCCCACGGCGGGGCCCCCCGCCAGCCGCAACACCAGCUACCACCGGCGCCCUGGCAGGCCGGCCAGAACCCUUGGACGGGGGUUGUGCAUGCGUAUUCCAUGCCUAUACCACGUGCCCCCGUCCCCGGCUCCUUCGGCGCCCGCCCGGCCCCUCAUCAGGCCCUGUACGUGGCCCCUCAGGUGUACCAGCCCGCUCCACUCUACGACCCCUUGGGCUAUGGGUUUGUGGCGCCACCGCCUCAGCCGUCGCCGUCCGCCCCGGCCCUCCCGCCGGUGCCUUGGGAUCCCGCGCUCCUAGCGGCUCUACACACCGCCCCCACGCCACAGCAGUACACUGGCGGUGGCGACUGGUAUAUGGACACUGGAGCCACGGCUCACAUGGCCGCCAACCCCGCUAACCUUCUUGCCGCUCAUCCCGUUCACACCGCUGCUCGCAUUACCAUGGGUGACGGUUCUUCCAUGCCCAUUACUCAUGUCGGCCAUGCUGCUUUUCCUUCUACCUCCAUGCCAUUAUAUCUCUCUAAUGUGCUUGUUUCUCCUGACAUCAUUAAAAAUCUUGUUUCCGUUCGUUCUCUUACACGUGAAAAUCCUGUUACCGUUGAAUUUGACAUGUUUGGCUUUUCUGUCAAGGAUGCCCGUACCCGGAUGGUGCUCCACCGAUGUGACAGCCCCGACGAGCUCUACCCGGUCCACUCACCUACCUCAUCCGUUGCUGCACCCAUGGCGCUUUCCGCCGGAGUGGACCUUUGGCACGCUCGUCUCGGUCAUCCCAACAUCGCCGCCCUUCGUCAUAUUCUUCGGAGUUUUUCAUUCACGUGUAAUAAGAUCGACGAUCACACUUGUCAUGCUUGUCGCCUCGGCAAACAUGUUUGUCUUCCUUUUAGCAAUUCCUCGCAUGUCGCACCAUACCCGUUUGAGUUAAUUCAUAGUGAUGUCUGGACCUCUCCUGUUGCAAGUAACACGGGUUAUCUUUAUUACCUUGUCAUACUUGAUGAUUUUUCGCACUAUGUGUGGACCUUCCCGUUGCGGCAAAAGUCGGACUCUGUUGCCACUCUCACCGCCUUCUACUCCUAUGUCUCCACGCAGUUUGGACGUCCCAUUCAUGCGUUGCAAACAGACAACGGGAAGGAGUUCGAUAACCUUGCGAUCCGCAACCUUCUCGCCACACACGGCACGAUCUUUCGUCUCACUUGCCCGUAUACUUCGCAACAAAACGGUCGCGCUGAGCGCGUGCUUCACACUCUCAAUGACUGCGUUCGCACCCUCCUCUUUCACGCCAACGUGCCCCCACGUUUUUGGCCAGACGCGCUUGCCACCGCAUCACUACUCAUUAACAUUCGUCCUUGUCGCACUCGCGGGAAUUUUGCACCUCAUCACCUCUUGUUUGGCACGCCACCCUCCUAUGCUGAGCUCCGCAUCUUCGGUUGCCUGUGCUAUCCUAGCAUCGCUUCCACUGCUCCUCAUAAGCUCGCACCUCGGUCUAUGGCCUGCAUCUUUCUCGGCUAUCCUCCUAACACCAAAGGCUACCGCUGCUAUGAUCCUAUCUCUCAUCGGGUGAUCACUUCACGACACGCUUACUUUGAUGAUAUGGUUUUUCCGUUCCAGCAGGUACCUUCGGAUGUUGCGGCCUUGCCCGCUCCCGGUGAUGGCCGCCCAUGUGCCUCUCUUGGGCCGCCUCCCGGCUUUGAGGGUGCCCCCCGCGCCACGGGUCGAGUCUCUCCCCCAUUGGUUGCCGUAGGGGCCGCACCUCCCUCGACGCCCGCGACGCCCUCGGCGUCCCCGGUCUCGACCCUGCCGGCGGCUUUGCCGGCCGCCUCGGCCGCGGUGGCCUUGCCCGCUGCCACGCCGGCGACCUCGUCCGCCGCCAUGCCGGUGGCCUCGCCCGCCACCUCACCGGCGGCCUCGCCCGCGGCGGCCUCGCCUGCGGCGGCCACAUCAGAGACGGGCUCGUCUUCGUCCUCGCCCGCCUCACCUCCGGACCCGCUGCCCCGCCCGAUGACUCGCUCUCGGGCUGGCACCCUUCGCCCGAGCACGCGGUACCCCAGUGAUGAGUAUCUUCUCGCUGCUUCCACCUCUGGGCCGUCUCCUCUCCCAUCGUCAGCUCGAGCCGCCCUUCGGGAUCCUCAUUGGCUCGCUGCGAUGCAGGAAGAGUUCGACGCGCUCCAGCGGAACCGUACCUGGCAGCUCGUCCCUCGGCCGCCCUGUGUCAACAUCAUCACGGGCAAGUGGGUCUUUCGGCACAAGACUCAUCCGUAUGGCACUCUCGAGCGCUAUAAAGCUCGCUGGGUGGUUCGGGGUUUUCAGCAACGCGCGGGCGUGGACUUCACCGACACAUUUGCCCCGGUUGUUAAACCGGGCACAAUCCGCGCCGUGCUCCAGCUAGCCGUGUCCCGCGCAUGGCCUGUGCAUCAGUUGGACGUGUCCAAUGCCUUCUUGCAUGGCCAAUUGGCUGAGCAGGUGUUCUGUGAGUAGCCCACCGGCUUCGUCAACGCCACACAUCCAGAUCAUGUGUUCUUGCUCUCCCGUUCGCUCUACGGGUUGAAGCAGACACCUCGAGCCUGGUAACCAGCGCAUCGCCGCCUUCCUGCAGACGCUCGGAUUUACAUCGACUCGCUCCGAUGCGUCCCUCUUCGUGUAUCAUCAUGGAGUUGACACGGCCUACUUGCUGUUGUACGUCGACGACAUCAUUCUGAUGGCAUCCGCUGUCGCGCUCCUCCAGCGGCUUACUGCUCGUCUUCGUGAUGAGUUUCCCUGAAGGACUUGGGUCCUCUGCAUUAUUUCCUUGGCAUUGAGGUGGUUCAACGACCAGAUGGGUUCUUCCUGCAUCAGCAGCGCUAUGCCCAUGAGCUUCUCGACCUAGCUGGCAUGCUUAAGUGCAAGCCCGCUCCCACGCCAGUUGACACCAAGGCCAAGGUCUCCGCUUUGGAGGGUUCGCCUGCAUCUGAUGCGGCCUUCUACCGCUCCAUUGUGGGCGCCCUGCAGUACCUAACCCUCACGCACCCCGACUUGCAGUAUGCCGUUCAGCAGGUCUGUCUUCACAUGCAUGCUCCGCGCGACUCUCACUGGACUCUGGUGAAGCGUAUCCUCCGAUACAUACGCGGCACCCAGUCCUUGGGACUUACGUUGACGGCCUCCGCCUCCACCGACCUCGUCGCCUACUCUGAUGCGGACUGGGCCGGCUUCCCGGACACACGGCGCUCCACCUCGGGGUACUGUGUUUACCUUGUGCCGUCCCUGAUCUCUUGGUCUUCCAAGCGACAGCCCACCGUCUCCCACUCGAGUGCCGAGGCUGAGUAUCGAGUAGUGGCUAACGCCGUCGCUGAAUGCUCUUGGCUCCGGCAGCUGCUCCAGGAGUUGCUUUGUGAUGUUCACAAGGCUACGCUCGUCUACUGCGACAACGUCUCCGCCGUUUACUUCUCCACCAACCCGGUCCAUCAUCGUCGAACGAAGCAUAUUGAGCUCGAUAUACACUUUGUUCGUGAGCAGGUGGCUCUUGGGCGCAUCCGGGUCCUCCACGUCCCGACGGCGCAACAGUUCGCCGACGUCAUGACGAAAGGACUGCCUACCUUCUGUUUUCGAGGAGUUCAGNNNNNNNNNNNNNNNNNNNNNNNNNNNNNNNNNNNNNNNNNNNNNNNNNNNNNNNNNNNNNNNNNNNNNNNNNNNNNNNNNNNNNNNNNNNNNNNNNNNNNNNNNNNNNNNNNNNNNNNNNNNNNNNNNNNNNNNNNNNNNNNNNNNNNNNNNNNNNNNNNNNNNNNNNNNNNNNNNNNNNNNNNNNNNNNNNNNNNNNNNNNNNNNNNNNNNNNNNNNNNNNNNNNNNNNNNNNNNNNNNNNNNNNNNNNNNNNNNNNNNNNNNNNNNNNNNNNNNNNNNNNNNNNNNNNNNNNNNNNNNNNNNNNNNNNNNNNNNNNUGCAUGUAUAUUGUGUAGCUUGGCCCACCUCCUAGUCUUUGUAUAGUUGAGGUUGUGGCCCACUUUGUACUCCCUAUAUACGUGCGCUUUGCACCGAUCAAUACAUCGUCAAGCAUUGCCAAAACAAUCGUUUCCAACAUGCACGAAGAUGCCAACCAUGGGCACGGUGUUGUACGUGCACGCUUGACCUCUGGAAAUCGAUACCUGGUAUUAGUGUCCCCGGAGACCGGACUCGGCGUCUGCAUGCACGCCUAUCCUGAACUGGUCAUGGUGGUCAGGCCCGCCGAUGAUGGUGCCCACAACCACAGCAAACCACUCAAGGGGGAAAAGUUAAAAUGUGGUCAUCAAACGACCAGGCACAAUCUGUUGCAGGGACGAGUCAGAAAUAUGGACAGCAGAAUUUCAUUGUUAAGACAGAAUGCAGGGAAACACACAUGUAAAUAUAUUAAACAUAAAUAAAAACAUAUAAUCAUAUCAGUCUCGAGCACCAAAUCCAUAUGCAUUUUACUAGAAGCUUCAUAGUAACUGACAGGAUGCAUACCACUUAUGAACACCUCUACGUCAUCUGAUACUUUUAAUCUCAGACUUAAAGUGUGCCUUGGACCUUUGCGACCUUUCCGCAUGUGCAAGAUACCAACCUGUAAAUUGAAACGAUUCAAAUGAUAAAGAUGGUGGUGAAAAGGGAAAAGAAACUCCAACAGGAGAAGAAAUCUUUAAAACAUUACAAGAGUGUUUGGAUAUAUGAGGUUUUAGCCCAACUUGGCAGGAGAGGUUGGAACUCACGUGCACUUAGUGCCAAAUUACUAACCAGAUAAUCACACGUCAGGAAUUAUAAAGGUGUAAGGCAGUGCUGCUUGUAUUAUAGCUCCUGACAUAUGCCCGCGUAAGGGCAGCUAUAGAUGCGAAAAAGGAUAAUAGCAAGAUGAGACACGAGAGACAUUUGGCGGAAAAGGAUGAUGUGUUUUUUAUGUCCAGUAAUCUCUUUUCUCUGAAUUUUUGUCAGGUGCCUCUUCUAUACUAGCCUUUUGUAGGCUAGUUUGAGUUAGUUAAUUCUGUUUGCCUUAGUUUCACAGUUUCUCUGGCUUCUAAACUAUAUUUCCAUCUGCUACAUACAUAAUAUCUCAUUUUCCAUUCAUCUAUAGUGGAAAAAUGGACUCCAAGCUUAAAUAAAAGAGUAAGUAAACACUAACCUGAACAAAAUUAGAAUAAUCUGUUUUGAAUUGAUUUACAAGAGAACUACUGCAUUUUAUAUAGUAUAUAGACGUCUUCGUAUGAUAUUUUAGCUUGUAACUAUGGGUAAACAUAAGGGCUUUGAUAGCAGAUAUAAAAGUAAACUGCAGUUAAACAUCGCAUAAAAAAACAUACCAGAAUGUCCAUGCAGGAACCGAUGGCUCCUCCUUGGUCAAGAUGAUUCUCACAUAUUCUCAUAAUUAAGUUCUCUAACUGAUAGCAGAAACAAGAAUAAUAAAUGUGAGUUAUUUAUUAUUACUGUUAACAAGAAUAAUAACUGUUCACAAGUAGACCAUAAACAUGAGAUGUGAGUUUUUUCUAUCCACUUUACUCACGAAGUAACAUAACACAUUUAUUGCUAUUACUGUUAAUAAUAAUUACCUCAACUGUGGUAGCAACGCACUCUCCAUUGACGGAAUCAUUGACAUCACCAGGUCUAACUCCUAGUUCUUCAGCAAUCGAUCCAUGGGACACCUACAGUUCAAUUUGUUAUGCAUUACUCAAUAGCAUUUAGUAAGCAAUAUUCAAGAAAACAAGGAACAGUGGACAACAUAUACCUCUUUAACUAUCAAACCUGAAUCGACAUUACACUUUCGGAAGAUCCUCUCCACAUGAAUUGGAUCGAGAAAUUUAAUGGGUGAAAGCUUCAUCCCAAUAUGCAGGCGAGGGAUACACCUUGCAACAUUGUCAUUUAUCAAAUUACAAAAACUAAAACUACGAACAAUAUCAUAUAACUUAAAAAACAAUUUUGAUGAAUGAAGCUUUGUGUCUAAAUAUCCAACAGAAAUUAGACUUAGCAAUAUAAGAAGAAAUAUAUCAACACAAGCAUAUCACAAGAUCAGUUGUGUUUCGUCAAGAUAUUUUCUUAUGACUAAAUCAUACAAUGAUACCAACAGAAGAAAAACUUACUGAAUUUUUUUCCACAUAUCCAAGCACUUCAAUACAAUAGAGGAAGGAAUAUAUGCUGUCCCGGGAAAAUUAGCCAUCCCCAAAACGUGUCCAUCAAAAUCAAUAACCAUUCCUCCAAUGCUAGGCUAAGAUAUUUAAAUUGCCAACAUCAGAACUAUGAGCAACAUAAGUUAAUAAUUAGUAUUUAUAAGAUAAUCACGAUGAAGAUAUUAUACCUCACAACCAGUGAAUAGAUAAUGAUGACGUUCGUAUGUAGUUGGGCCCAUGAAAUUAACACAUCCGUGAGCAACUGUCAGGUUUAAACGUUCAUCUCUACCGAGCACAAGUAUCUCCUGACCGUAGUUUAUGUCACUACUAAACCUAGGAAUCUUAGCACACAAGUCUAAAUUAACCUUCAACAUGGCAAUAUUGAUGUGCUUGUCAUAGCGAAACAAGAUUGCAGGUACGGUUGUCUCAUCUUCAUCCAACAAAUGAGCAAUAAUCU
rnacentral:lncRNA from 1 species